UCAGGAGUAAGAAAUCUGUGUCUUCUCUUAUGGAAGGGAAAGCUAUUCUUCUUUGCCUUAUGGUGCUUGUGCACCUAGGAAAUUCCAUUCAUAUUGGUAAGAAAUCGAUCUCCCCAUCCCUACAUAUGUUUCCGUUCUCCUAUCAACCAAAGUAGGAUAAUGUUGUCACUUAAACAUCAUGCAUAUUUUCUUUUCCCAAUUUGGACUUCUUUUUAUGGUGUGUGUUUUUCUUUACAGAUAAAUGCAAGGAUUUAGUUCACCCGCAAACAAAAACAUGCAAGGAUCGACUUGCUAGUAUCGCCCGUGAGUGCAUUCUGUCAAAAUGCCAGACGACCUGCAAAAAUUUGUUUGGACCGCAACUCAUAGCCUCAUGGUGUCUCAACGCCGUCCCAUACUAUUGGCAUUGUUGGUGCCGUGUCUGUUCGUAGAGUUGCACUGAACAAUCAUGUCGAAAAAUGGACAAAUGAUGUGAUCCAAUAAUAAAAUCUUCUUGUGACAUGCAUCUAAAAAUACAUAACGAUUGCCAAAUUUAGGUGUUCUAUUCGAUUUUCUCAUGUGCGAUAUUUGAUAUGGUAAUUUUAGGUUUGCAUGGCCUCGUGAUUUAUACGUUAAAAAGACAACCUUAUACGACAUGAAUGAAUUGAGCUAACUAUACCGGCAGUCCCGUUUCUGAUGGGCCCAGAACACAAGGAAGUAGUAUAUAUUUUUCUAGUCGGUUAGUAUGUUUAGUGGUAGAAACUUGUAGGAUCAGAUAUCGACCAGAGCAAUGUCCUAAAGAAAGAUAUCGACUAGAGGGGGUAAAUGUGAAUUGAAUAAUUUUAGCAAUUUCUAGAAAACAGAUAGAAGACCAAAGAAAUAGAUUGUUAAAAUCAAAAGGAUAUUGGCAAGUGGAAGAAUAACUCAACAAGAAACUAUACAACUUAGUAGCAUGCGAGGCAAACUAGUAAGAUACAAGUGCAUAAAUGCCUACUAUCAGUGUUCAAAAAAUGUAUUUAGUGGCAGUAGGUGCCGAUUCCGCUAGUCUAACGGUAGUGGUAAGCUGGUACUACCGGCGUCCACACCCAACGCCGCUUGUAUAUCUCUCAUCUGUGGCGUUUGGUAUGCAACGCCACUAACUAACAAAUUAUAAGCAUUGCACCAUGGACGGUAGAUGCCAAUAAUAGAAGUCAUGUGCCAUGUGGCUGAUGCUCGCUUUGUCUUGUGGGUCCCAAUGUCAGUAAACACCUACUGUCAGAUAACCCCAGCAUGUUACACUAAUCUAGUUAAAACAUUAAUUAAACUAAACCUUACUCAAACAUUAAUAUUAAACUAGUCGGCAUCCACAUUUUACACAAAUAUGAACAACACUACUGAAAUGACGAAAUUAAAUCUAAUUAAAACUAAAAGGUACGCCCGAUUCCUCGCAUGCACAUCGUCGUCCGAGAUGGCGACAACGGCCUCAUGGUCCUAGAUGGAGCCUCGACCCUGAAACCUUCGACCCUUGACCCCUUAACGACCCUCAACCCUGAAACCUUCAACCCUUGACCCCUUAACGACCCUCGACCCUCUACCCUAGUUCCCGACCCUCGCCCCCUCGGUGAUCCUCGACACCCUCGUUAUAUCGACAACGACGCAACAUACAUAUACAUGGGAAAAUAAUGUUAUCGGGGAGGGGGUAUCGGUACCCCCCCUCGUGUCAAAGUUUCUUCUUUCUCCUCUAUUCCUUUCUUUCUUCUUCUCCUCUUCUUUUUCUUCUUAUCCCUCGAGAAAGGAAAAUAAGGAAAAAGGAAGAAAAGAGGAAGAAGGAAGAAGGAAGAAGAAGAAGAAAAAGAAGAAGAAAAAAAAAGAGGAGAAGAAGAAAAGAAUAGAGGAGAAGAAGAAAAAAUANNNNNNNNNNNNNNNNNNNNNNNNNNNNNNNNNNNNNNNNNNNNNNNNNNNNNNNNNNNNNNNNNNNNNNNNNNNNNNNNNNNNNNNNNNNNNNNNNNNNNNNNNNNNNNNNNNNNNNNNNNNNNNNNNNNNNNNNNNNNNNNNNNNNNNNNNNNNNNNNNNNNNNNNNNNNNNNNNNNNNNNNNNNNNNNNNNNNNNNNNNNNNNNNNNNNNNNNNNNNNNNNNNNNNNNNNNNNNNNNNNNNNNNNNNNNNNNNNNNNNNNNNNNNNNNNNNNNNNNNNNNNNNNNNNNNNNNNNNNNNNNNNNNNNNNNNNNNNNNNUUUUUUCUUCUUCUUAUUUAUUUCUCCUCUUCUUCCUCUCCCCUCUUCUUCUCCUUUCUUCCUCUUCUUAUUUCCUUUUUCCUCUCAUUCUUUUUCUUCUUCUUCCUUCUUAAAAAUACAUGAAGUAGUAUUGCCUAAUUCAUUGUUCAUAUGAAUAUACAAACAUUUGCAUAUUUACAAUAAUUAAUAUCACCAAAAAAAUCUAUGAACAGAAAAAAAAUCCUAAUUUUUCUAAAAAACUAUCUUUUGCAUUGUUCACAUACACAUAUACAUUACAGCCACAUCUCCCUCUCCCCUAAUAAUAAAGCAUCUAUUGCUUCUGGUGGUACGUCACCUAAUUUACCCCUAAAAUUGCUAAAUAUUACCCGCCAAUGCCACCUGUAAGUGAGGAAAAACGUUUCAGUUUUUUUUCACGGUGGUGGUCACUGGUUUAUCUAGAUGCGGUGUCCAAAUGGUAGCAGGAUGACUCAAGUAUUGCAUUCGCUUGAGCGUUGGUCUUGUAUCCGUGAGACGUAGGUUCGAGCCCCGGCUCUGUCAUGUUUUUCAUCUUUUUUUGUUUCUUUUCCCCUGAAUGAUCUUCAAAAUAUUUAUCUUUCAAACACUAACUCAAAAUAUAACAUGCUAUAUAUGAAAAAAAAACUGAGAAAAUAACACCAGCUUAAAAUAUAACAUGUUAUAUAUGAAAAAACAAGAGAAAUGUGUAUAAAUUUUAAAUAUACAUACAUACAUACCUGAAAACUUAAAAUAUAACAUGUUAUAUAUGAAAAAACAAGAGAAAUGUGUAUAAAUUUUAAAUAUACAUACAUACAUACCUGAAAAAUCCUUUCGUCAGCCUAAUAUUUUUACGUCUAACAAAUUAAAAUGGUGUUCGAAAUAUUUAUCUUUCAAACACUAACUCAAAAUAUAACAUGUUAUAUAUGAAAAGAAAACUGAGAAAAAUGUGAAUACAUUUAAAAUAUACAUACAUACAUACCUAAAAAAUCAUUUUGUCGGCCUAAUUUUUUACGUCGCAUUCCUCCGAGUCAGGCACAAAACCAUACCAUUUAUACGUGCAUGCAUUCCAUGGAGAGACCGGAAGAAGAAGUAUUGCUACCGCAACUUUUGAUCGCCCUAAACAUACUUGUGAUUUGGCAUUGAUUAGUCUACAAGUGUACAAUGAGAUGGGGAGCUUGCAGAUGUUGGGAACCAAGCUGGCUCUGCAUGCCUCGCUUCCCUCGAGUGGGAGCUCACAGGAGAAGCAGCUCUCUGACUGGGAGGCCGACAUGGCCAUCAACGUUAAAUCGGUCACUCAGAUAUCUUCUUUGACUCAGAGCUCAAGUUGAUGUACAUGCCUUUGCCUGCUGAUCAACUGACCAUCAACUGCAACAACACCUGCAGCAACGGAUGUCGCAAAAGCUAGGUAGAUGCUUUCUACGGGACCAUACAAUAUUUGACACGUACUCCCUCUGUAAAAGAAUUAAAUGCUCUUAUACUUCUUUAUAGAGGAAGCAUUAUUUUUCAAGUUGAAUAUAUUUGUAGGUAACCUACAUCUUUCUUACCCUUCAUCGUCGAUAGUACCAAAUAUUUCCAUGUGCAUCAUCCCACCCAAAUAUAUUCGAUGCAACAUCACAGCCUUCUAUUGCAGCUAUAAUUAUUACCAUCAAGGGAUGUGGACACUAGCUCCACGAGGAGCAUUUGGUUAUAUAACCCGGAUACAAGCAAAUCAAAAUCAUUAAUUGUGCUGACAAGGAAAGCAAAACAGAUCGAGGCUCCAGUUAUUAAGACGGCACUCAGAGUAGGCCUUGACCUCCACCUCUCCUUUCUAACUGGCAUUUGCUCAGUAUGACGAUGGAAACCACAAGACCGUGUACAUAAUAAAACUUGCAAAAGGGCGGAAGGAUGAAUAGGUUGAUGACAAUGACGAGAUGGAGCAAUUGUGAUAAGUGACAAAACAUAAUUUUGUUACCCCGUUGCAACGCACGGGCUCUUUUGCUAGUACACAUAUACAUCACAUAUGAACAAAAAAAAUUAAAACAUAAAAAACAGAGCAUAAAAAUAAAAAAAGAGCUUAAACAUUAAAAGAGCCGGGCGGCGGCUCACAGCGCGGGGGCAGGCGAGGGCGCCGGCGCGCGGGGCGGGACGGGGCAGGGGGGCAGGGCGACGGCGACGAGGAGCGGGCGGCGACGGCGAGCCCGUAGCAAGGGAGCUCGAGGCGACGGCGGGGGUGGCAAGNNNNNNNNNNNNNNNNNNNNNNNNNNNNNNNNNNNNNNNNNNNNNNNNNNNNNNNNNNNNNNNNNNNNNNNNNNNNNNNNNNNNNNNNNNNNNNNNNNNNNNNNNNNNNNNNNNNNNNNNNNNNNNNNNNNNNNNNNNNNNNNNNNNNNNNNNNNNNNNNNNNNNNNNNNNNNNNNNNNNNNNNNNNNNNNNNNNNNNNNNNNNNNNNNNNNNNNNNNNNNNNNNNNNNNNNNNNNNNNNNNNNNNNNNNNNNNNNNNNNNNNNNNNNNNNNNNNNNNNNNNNNNNNNNNNNNNNNNNNNNNNNNNNNNNNNNNNNNNNNNNNNNNNNNNNNNNNNNNNNNNNNNNNNNNNNNNNNNNNNNNNNNNNNNNNNNNNNNNNNNNNNNNNNNNNNNNNNNNNNNNNNNNNNNNNNNNNNNNNNNNNNNNNNNACAACAAAAUACUUAUUGUUGCUAUUUUUAUUAUUUUUUAGUUUUUUGUUCUGUUUUUUGCAUUAUUUAUUUUUUGUUGUUUUUUGCUUUAUUUUUUAAUUCUUUUUGCUUUUAGUUUUAGAAAAAUUAUAAACUUUCUGUUAGUGCCAUUAGUUUUCAAAUUUGAAAACACUUUUUUUCUUUAUUUAUUUAUUUUAUUUUGUUUCUACUUGCAACAAAAUACUUAUUGUUGCUAUUUUUAAUUUUUUUUUCAAGUUUUUUUGUUUUGUUUUCUACAUUAUUUAUUUUAUUUUGGUUUUUUGCUUUAUUUUUUAAUUCUUUUUGCUUUUAGGUCAGCAAAAUUAUAAACUUUAUGUUUAUGCCAUUAGUUUUCUUUGAAAUUUGUGUGAAUCACAAGUUUGUGAGCUCAACAAGGCGUGUUGAGGGACGGGCUUAUAAACCGGUGUGAGCGCCCUUCGGUUGGCGAGGUUUUCAAAUUCAUAGUUUUCAAAUGAACUCUGAAAAAGUUGGCAUAGCAUGUGCAUGUACAAAACGGACAAUGGUAUCAUACUCGUCUGUUACAAUGUUGGCAUGGUAUCAUCAUAAUAGUUGCGGGAGAAAGUCUUCACUUUUUCUUCGCUUGUGUCGUUUGCUUAUUGCGCCGUAACCAUGGAUAAUCUUCAUCGUUUAUCAGGAUGCUUGGGUCAGCCUUGACUUUGAAGGGGGUAAUUUCAUGAAACUUUUCAUACUCUUCAGACAUGUCUGUCUUGCCCUCCACUCCCAGGAUGUCCCUUUUUCCUGAAAGAACUAUGUGGCGCUUUGGCUCAUUGUAUGAUGUAUUCGCUUCCUUAUAUUUUCUUUUCCUCGGUCUAGUAGACAUGUCCUUCACAUAGAUAACCUGUGCCACAUUAUUGGCUAGGACGAACGGUUCGUCAGUGUACCCAAGAUUUUUCAGAUCCACUGUUGUCAUUCCGUACUGUGGGUCUACCUGUACCCCGCCUCCUGACAGAUUGACCCACUUGCACUUAAACAAAGGGACCUUAAAAUCUACUCCAUAGUCAAGUUCCCAUAUGUCUACUAUGUAACCAUAAUAUGUGUCAUUUCCAUUGUCGGUUGCUGCAUCAAAGUGGACACCGCUGUUUUGGUUGGUGCUCUUUUCAUCUUGGUCAAUCAUGUAAAAUGUAUUCCCAUUUAUCUCGUAUCCUUUCCAAAUCAUUACAGUCGAAGAUGGUCCCCUGGGCAACAAGUACAACUCAUCACAAACAGUGCUGUCACCUCGGAGACGUGUUUCCAACCAACUGCUGAAAGUCCUGAUGUGUUCACAUGUAAUCCAGUCGUCGCAGUGCUCCGGGUGUUUGGAGCGCAGACUGUUCUUGUGUUCAUCGACAUACGGGGUCACCAAGGUAGAGUUCUGUAGAACUGUGUAGUGUGCUUGAGACCAAGAAUAUCCGUCCUUGCAUAUUAUUGAGUCCCUUUCAAGCGUGCCUUUUCUAGUCAGUGUCCCCUCAUACCGCGAUUUAGGGAGACCUAUCUUCUUAAGGCCAGGAAUGAAGUCAACACAAAACCCGAUGACAUCCUUUGUUUGAUGGCCCAUGGAGAUGCUUCCUUCUAGCCUAGCGCGGUUACGAACAUAUUUCUUUAGUACUCCCAUGAACCUCUCAAAGGGGUACAUAUUGUGUAGAAAUACGGGCCCCAGAAUGACAAUCUCGUCAACUAGAUGAACUAGGACGUGUGUCAUUAUAUUGAAGAAGGAUGGUGGGAACACCAGCUCGAAGCUGACAAGACAUUGCGCCACAUCACUCCUUAGCGUUGGUACGAUUUCUGGAUCGAUAACCUUCUGAGAUAUUGCAUUGAGGAAUGCACAUAGCUUCACAAUGGCUAAUCGGACGUUUUCCGGUAGAAGCCCCCUCAAUGCAACCGGAAGCAGUUGUGUCAUAAUCACGUGGCAGUCAUGAGACUUUAGGUUCUGGAACUUUUUCUCUGGGAUAUUUAUUAUUCCCUUUAUAUUCGACGAGAAGCCAGUCGGGACCUUCAUACUGAGCAGGCAUUGAAAGAAUAUUUCUUUCUCUUCUUUCGUAUGAGCGUAGCUGGCAGGACCUUCAUACUGCUUCGGAGGCAUGCCCUCUUUUUUGUGCAAGCGUUGCAGGUCCUCUCGUGCCUCAGGUGUAUCUUUUGUCUUCCCAUACACGCCCAAGAAGCCUAGCAGGUUCACGCAAAGGUUCUUCGUCACGUGCAUCACGUCGAUCGAAGAGCGGACCUCUAGGUCUUUCCAGUAGGGUAGGUCCCAAAAUAUAGAUUUCUUCUUCCACAUGGGUGCGUGAUUCUCAGCGUCAUUUGGAACAGCUAGUCCGCCGGGACCCUUUCCAAAGAUUACGUGUAAAUCAUUGACCAUAGCAAGUACGUGAUCACCGGUAUGCAUGGCGGGCUUCUUCCGGUGAUUUGCCUCGCCUUUGAAAUGCUUGCCUUUCUUUCGACAUUGAUGGUUGGUCGGAAGAAAUAGACGAUGGCCCAGGUACACAUUCUUCCUGCAGCUUCCCAGGUAUAUACUAUCGGUGUAAAGUAAACAGUGCGUGCAUGCGUGGUAUCCCGUGUUUGUCUAUCCUGAAAGGUUACUGAGAGCGGGCCAAUCGUUGAUGGUCACGAACAGCAACGCCUUUAGGUCAAAUUCCUCCUUUUUGUGCUCAUCCCACGUACGUACACCGUUUCCAUUCCGCAGCUGUAAAAGUUCUUCAACUAAUGGCCUUAGGUACCACAUCAAUGUCGUUGCCGGGUUGCUUAGGGCCUUGGAUGAGAACUGGCAUCAUAAUGAACUUCCGCUUCAUGCACAUCCAAGGAGGAAGGUUAUACAUACAUAGAGUCACAGGCCAGGUGCUGUGAUUGCUGCUCUGCUCCCCGAAAGGAUUAAUGCCAUCCGCGCUUAAAGCAAACCAUACGUUCCUUGGGUCCUUUGCAAACUCAUCCCAGUACUUUCUCUCAAUUUUUCUCCACUGCGACCCGUCAGCGGGUGCUCUCAACUUCCCGUCUUUCUUACGGUCCUCACUGUGCCAUCGCAUCAACUUGGCAUGCUCUCCGUUUCUGAACAGACGUUUCAACCGUGGUAUUAUAGGAGCAUACCACAUCACCUUCGCAGGAACCCUCUUCCUGGGAGGCUCGCCGUCAACAUCACCAGGGUCAUCUCGUCUGAUCUUAUACCACAAUGCACCGCAUACCGGGCAUGCGUUCAGAUCCUUGUAGGCACCAUGGUAGAGGAUGCAGUCAUUAGGGCAUGCAUGUAUCUUCUCCACCUCCAAUCCUAGAGGGCAUACGACCUUCUUUGCUGCGUAUGUACUGUCGGGAAAUUCGUUAUCCUUUGGAAGCUUCUUCUUCAUUAUUUUCAGUAGCUUCUCAAAUCCUUUAUCAGGCACAGCAUUCUCUGCCUUCCACUGCUUUGUGUUGCCAUCUUCGCAAUUGGGGUACAACCCCUUUUUGUGAUCCUCUAACAUGCGAUCGAACUUCAGCUUCUCCUUUUGACUUUCGCAUUGUGUCCUUGCAUCGACAAUGACCCGGCGGAGAUCAUCAUCAUCGGGCACAUCGUCUGGUUCCUCUUGAUCUUCAGCAGCUUCGCCCGUUGCAGCACCAUCGUGCACAUCGUCUGGUGCAUCUUGAUGUUCAGUAGCAUCACCGUAUUCAGGGGGCACAUAGUUGUCAUCGUACUCUUCUUCCUCGCCGUCUUCCAUCAUAACCCCUAUUUCUCCGUGCCUCGUCUAAACAUUAUAGUGUGGCAUGAAACCCUUGUAAAGCAGGUGGGUGUGAAGGAUUUUCCGGUCAGAGUAAGACUUCGUAUUCCCACAUAUAGGGCAUGGACAACACAUAAAACCAUUCUUCUUGUUUGCCUCAGCCACUUCGAGAAAAUCAUGCACGCCCUUAAUGUACUCGGAGGUGUGUCUGUCACCGUACAUCCAUUGCCGGUUCAUCUGCGUGCAUUAUAUAUAAUUAAGUGUGUCAAAAAUCAUUACAGAACAUCAUGAAUAGAUAAUUAAUAGAAGUUCAUCAUCACAUAAAAACCAAAGUACAUACAUAGUUCUCAUCUAACAACAUAAAGCUCUGCAGAGCAUCUAAAUUAAUUAAACCAUACAUUGAAACUAUGUAAAACAUUUCAAUGCAAAAACAAAUGCGAUCAUAAUCGCAACCAAGGUAACAACUGAUCCAACGGCAUAAUGAUACCAAGCCUCGGUAUGAAUGGCAUAUUUUCUAAUCUUUCUCAUCUUCAAGCGCAUUGCAUCCAUCUUGAUCUUGUGAUCAUCGACGACAUCCGCAACAUGCAACUCCAAUAUCAUCUUCUCCUCCUUAAGUUUUUUUAUUUUUUCCUUCAAGAAAUUGUUUUCUUCUUCAACUAAAUUUAACCUCUCGACAAUAGGGUCGGUUGGAAUUUCCGGUUCAGCAACCUCCUAGAUAAAUAAAAUCUAUGUCACGUUGGUCGGCAUAAUUUUCAUAAACAAUAAACGAACCAAUAGUUAUGGAAAGAUAAUAUAUACCACAUCCGAAUCAUAGACAGGACGAGGGCCGACGGGGGCGGAUACCAAAACCAUCACACUAUAUAAGAUGCAAUAAUAAAAGUAAGAAAAUAAUACAAGUAAGAAUAUUUUUCCUUUCAGAAAGAAGAUAAGAACAAGAGGCUCGCCAUGGUGGUGCUGGCGAUGAGAUCGGCGCGGGUGAUCGACGGCGGUGAAGAUGGGGAUGGGGCGUGAUGGACCGCUAAACCUAGACAAAUAUUGAGGAAAAUAGAGGUUGGAGGUCGAGCUUGGAGAGGAGAAAGCUUAAGUAGUGUGGCUCGGGCAUUUCAUCGAACACCUCAUGUGCUAUGGAGGUGAGCUAGAGCACCACAAAGCCCCCCCUCGCCGGCAAGAGAAAAACAGAGCACUGGAGUGCUCUGCUCGCGAGCGAGGGGGUAUAUAUAGGCAGCACUAUUGGUCCCAGUUCGUGGCAUGAACCGGGACUAACGGGUAGCCAUUGGUCCCGGUUCAUGCCACCAACCGGGACCAAUAGUGGUGGGCCAGGAGCCAGGCACAUUGGUCCCGGUUCGUCCCACCAACCGGGACCAAAAGGUCCGGACGAACCGGGACCAAUGGCCCACAUGGCCCGGCCGGCCCCCUGGGCUCACGAACCGGGACCAAUGGCCCACGUGGCCCGGCCGGCCCCCUGGGCUCACGAACCGAGGAAAAUAGCUCCAUUGGUCCCGGUUCUGGAUUGAACCGGGACUAAUGGGCUGAACUGGCCUGGGCCAUUGCCCCCUUUUCUACUAGUGUAAGUGUUCCACAUUGGAUGGAAGAGCAGCCGGAGCAGGAGUUGGCUGGCUCAGCUCCUAUAGCAUCUCAUUGGGAGGAAUCCACUUGAAUAUCGCCUGGACCUAAGGAAGCGUGUGCGACAUCCACAACUCCUUAGCGUUGUGGCAUGUUGGAGGUAGUGGCAGAGGUAGCACUGCUAGGAAAACCCCUAUAGGCGACCACUUAGUGGUGGUGCGGGUUAGUAAGGCAGCGCUACUGCCACUUAGUAGUGGUGCGGGUAAAAACAGUGCGCUAGAGGUAGAGAAUAGUAGCAGCGCGGGCACAGACAGACGACGCUACUACUAAGUGCUCAUCACCGUGCCCCAGCACAAGUCAGUAGGGUGGGCUGUUGAAGACCCACAAGUAUAGGGAAUCAAUCUUAUUUCUUUCCAUAAGUAAGAGUGUCGAACUCAACAACGUGCACAAGGAAUCAAUAAGUGGUUUCCAGCAAGGUAUUCUCUGCAAGUGAUGUAAAAUAGUGGUGAUAGAUAGUUUGAUAGCAAGAUAAUUUGUAGCCGCUAAUAAGUAACGAUAGUAACAUGGUGCAGCAAGGUGGCCUAAUCCUUUUUAUAUGGACAAUCCGGAAUGGUUUCUUAUAGUGAGCAAACCAUUCUAGAGGACACAUGCGAAUGAUGUCUAGUUAACUUCAUCAAGAUUCAGACUUGCAUUCACUGUUUUGAUAAGUUAUUAUGUGGGUAGACUGGUGGUAGUGUGUUGUUCUUACUUGAACAACCCACUUAUGAUUACCUCCAUCGCAAGCACAUCCGCAAUUAUGUAAAAAGAAUUCAGACAAAUCUGACAUAGAAUGAAACAUAUGGAUCCAAAUCGGCCACUUACGGAAUAACGCAUAAACUAGGGUUUAAAAUCAUGUCACUCUCGUAACAUAUCAUCUACUUACUAAUCCCCCAAUGCCUUCCCCUAUGCCCAAACAUGGUAAUGUGUCAUGUAGUCGAUAUUCAGACGCCAUCACACUAGUAGAAACUAGGGCUUUCAUCAUAGCCGGAUCGGAGCAAUAGUCCCGGUUGCAUUACAAACCGGGACUAAUGUGAGCAUUAGUCCCGGUUCGAGCGGCUAGGGCGUCGUCAAGACAUUAGUCCCGGUUCAAAUGGGACCUUUAGUCCCGGUUGGAGACACGAACCGGGACUAAAGGGUGCGAUGCUCUUUAGUCCCGGUUUGUGACUAAAGAUUAGACCUUUAGUCCCGGUUUGAGACACGAACCGGGACUAAAGGGUGCGAUGCCCUUUAGUCCCGGUUCGUGUUCGUGUUACAAACGGUUCUGAAAUUUGUUUUUUGUUUUUCUAUUUGUUUUUUGUUCUUAGUUUCUGUUUCAAAUUGCUUAUAACUUUUAGGAUAUUUGAUGUUUUUGAGUGAUUCUUUUUUGCAUUAGAUUCAAAAAUUUGUCUGGUAUCUGUUUGUGCCAUUAGUUUUCAAAUUCGAAUGAUUCAAAUAUGAAUUUGUUCAAAUUUUCUUCAAACAGUAGAUUGUGAAUAAUUUGAGUUUAAAAAUAGUUUUUAAUUUAACUAUUUUUGCUCCUAGUCACACGUCAGAUUAUUGUCACAGUAAGAUUAAUUUUCUUCUUUUUAUAAUAAUAUAAAUUAGGAUUUUAAUUGAAACAAUACUGCUUUACUUAUAUAGUUUUUUUGGUCCUUUAAUUGUUGUUUUCAAUUAUUUUUAUUUAGUUCUUUCUGUACAUUUUAUCAUGUUGUAGGAGGCUUCUGAUAGACAAUAGUAGACAAAAUUUUAUAAUUAAUUAAUAUUAAUUUUGCUACUAUUUUGUAUUAAUAGUUAUUUAGCCUAUAAUAAUAGUUGAUAGAAUUAGUUUUGUUAUAUUAAAAAGUAAUUAUGUUUGCCACUUUAAUAGAACGUGACUCUGGCUUGAUAACCUUAGUUUUGACUCUUGUUGGGACGGUGCUAGCAGAUGUAGUCAAUGGUAAGAUUGGAUGGACACCAUCCCGGACUAAAGGGGUUCAACCCCCUGUGUAUCACUAUUUCAGUUUUGAAAAAACCAAAAAAAUGAUAAAAACAUCAAAAAUUAAAAUCCUUCGAGAUGUAGUUAUGUUACUACAUCUACUAGUUAAGAAAAUUAAGAAACAUAAGUUUAGACAUGUUUUAAAAAAAAGUGUGACGAAAAAGUAAAAUGACUAUAUCUUUUGCAUACGAUGUCGGAAAAAAGUAUAAUAUAUCAAAAUGUUCAGCACGAAAAUUCGCAACCGAUUUUGACAGCCGUGGGCGGUUUUGCAAUUUUUUAGAAUCCUCAAAUUCUAAAAGGAAAAAAAUUAUGCUCAAAUUUCAGUAUUUUUGAAUUUUGGUUAAAUCUGAUCAAAUUGUGGUCAAACUACAUAUUCAAGAAAUAUUAGUGUUACUAAAUAAUUAUUCAAGAAUAUUAGUAUUACUAAAUAAUUAUUUCAGUUUUCUGAAUUUUGGUCAAACUAUGGUCAAACUACUUAUUCAUGAAAUAUUAGUGUUACUAAAUAAUUAUUGGUUUUAAGAAUAAUAGUUUCAAACUCAAACGGUGUAGCGCGUGACUUCAUGCUCAACUUUAACUCCUAAGGAUUAAUAGGAUUGACAGCUUACUAUUGUGAGGAAAACAACAAUUGCAGACUUGGAAACAAGGGGGAAUAGAACUCGAAAGUUAAGCGUGCUUAGGCUGGAGUAGUGCGAUGAGGGUUACCGACAGGGAAGUUAGACGAUUUGAAAUCUUUAGGGGGUGAUUAGAGAUUAGAGAUUAAAUUGAGUAGUGAUAAGGGUGAUUAGAGAUUAAAUACAAAUAAUUCAGAAAUUUGAAAAUCAAGAAAAAAAGUUCAAUGUUUUUUUCUAAAAAAAUCAUACAAAUUCCUUUAGUCCCGGUUGGUGCUCCAGACAACGGCCACGUGGAGGGCCUUUAGUCCCGGUUCGUAACACAACCGGCACUAAAGGGGGGGGGGGCUUUAGUAGUGACCCUUUAGUCCAGGUUCCAGAACUAGGACUAAAGGCCCUCUGGAACCGGGACUAAAGGCCCUUUUUUUACUAGUGUCACAAUAAGAGGGACAUCAUAACACAUCAUCAUAACAUUGAAGAAAACCAACUUGACAUAAUUAAUUACUAGUAAACAUGCCCGUGCGUUGCAACGGGAGAUAAAAAAAAAUAGCACACAUCCCCUAGCCUGAUAAGAAUGGCUCAAGACCCUCAUUGUGAAGGAAAUAUGCUCUAGAGGCAAUAAUAAAGUUAUUAUUUAUUUCCUUAUUUCAUGAUAAAUGUUUAUUAUUCAUGCUAGAAUUGUAUUAAUCGGAAACAUAAUACAUGUGUGAAUAUAUAGACAAACAGAGUGUCACUAGUAUGCGUCUACUUGACUAGCUUGUUAAUCAAAGAUGGUUAUGUUUCCUAACCAUGGACAAAAGAGUUGUUAUUUGAUUAACGAGAUCACAUCAUUAGUUGAAUGAUCUGAUUGACAUGACUCAUUCCAUUAGCUUAGCACCCGAUCGUUUAGUAUGUUGCUAUUGCUUUCUUCAUGACUUAUACAUAUUCCUAUGACUAUGAGAUUAUGCAACUCCCGUUUACUGGAGGAACACUUUGUGUGCUACCAAACGUCACAACGUAACUGGGUGAUUAUAAAGGUGCUCUACAGGUGUCUCCAAAGGUACUUGUUGGGUUGGCGUAUUUCGAGAUUAGGAUUUGUCACUCUGAAUGUCGGAGAGGUAUCUCUGGGCCCUCUCGGUAAUGCACAUCACAUAAGCCUUGCAAGCAAUGCAACUAAUGAGUUAGUUGCGAGAUGAUGUAUUACGGAACGAGUAAAGAGACUUGCCGGUAACGAGAUUGAACUAGGUAUUGGAUACCGACGAUCGUAUCUCGGGCAAGUAACAUACCGAUGACAAAGGGAACAACGUAUGUUGUUAUGCGGUCUGACCGAUAAAGAUCUUCGUAGAAUAUGUAGGAACCAAUAUGGGCAUCCAGGUCCCGCUAUUGAUUAUUGACCGGAGACGUGUCUCGGUCAUGUCUACAUUGUUCACGAACCGUAGGGUCCGCACGCUUAAGGUUUCGAUGACAGUUUUAUUAUGAGUUUAUGAGUUUUGAUGUACCGAAGGAGUUCGGAGUCCCGGAUGAGAUCGGGGACAUGACGAGGAGUCUCGAAAUGGGCGAGAUGUAAAGAUCGAUAUAUUGGACGACUAUAUUCGGAGUUCGGAAAGGUUCCGAGUGAUUCGGUUAUUUUUCGGAGUACCGAAGAGUUACGGGAAUUCGUAUUGGGCCUCUUUGGGCCAUACGGGAAAGGAGAGAAAGGGCCAAAAGGGUGGCCGCACCCCUCCCCUUGGACUAGUCCGAAUUGGACUAGGGAGGGGGGGCGCCCCCUUCCUUCCUUCUCCUUCUCUCUUCCCUUUCCUUUUCUCCUACUCCUACUACAUGGAAGGGUUCCUAGUUGGACUAGGAAAGGGGGAAUCCUACUCCCGGCGGGAGUAGGACUCCCCUAGGGCGCGCCAUAGAGAGGGCCGGCCCUCCCCUCCUCCACUCCUUUAUAUACGGGGCCAGGGGGCACCCCAUCGACACACAAGUUGAUCUUCGUGAUCGUUCCUUAGCCGUGUGCGGUGCCCCCCCUCCACGAUAUUACACCUCGGUCAUAUUGUAGCGGUGCUUAGGCAAAGCCCUGCGACAGUUGAACAUCAAGAUCGUCACCACGCCGUCAUGCUAGCGGAACUCCUCCCCGAAGCUUUGUUGGAUCGGAGCUCGGGGUGCGUCAUCGAGCUGUACGUGUGUCAAGAACUCGGAGGUGCCGGAGUAACGAUGCUUGGAUCGGUUGGACCGGGAAGACGUACGACUACUUCCUCUACGUUGCGUCAACGCUUCCGCUAUGGUCUACGAGGGUACGUGGACAACACUCUCCCCUCUCGUUGCUAUGCAUCACCAUGAUCUUGCGUGUGCGUAGGAUUUUUUUUUUUGAAAUUACUACGUUCCCCAACAGUGGCAUCCGAGCCUAGGUUUUAUGGUUUGAUGUUAUAUGCAUGAGUAGAACACAAAUGAGUUGUGGGCGAUAUAAGUCAUACUGCUUACCAGCAUGUCAUACUUUGGUUCGGCGGUAUUGUUGGAUGAAGCGGCCCGAACCGACAUUACGCGUACGCUUACGCGAGACUGGUUCUACCGCCGUGCUUUGCACACAGGUGGCUAGCGGGUGUCAGUUUCUCCAACUUUAGUUGAACCGAGUGUGGCUACGCCCGGUCCUUGCGAAGGUUAAAACAACACCAACUUGACAAACUAUCGUUGUGGUUUUGAUGCGUAGGUAAGAACGGUUCUUGCUCAGCCCGUAGCAGCCACGUAAAACUUGCAACAACAAAGUAGAGGACGUCUAACUUGUUUUCGCAGGGCAUGUUGUGAUGUGAUAUGGUCAAGACGUGAUGAGAUAUAAGUUGUUGUAUGAGAUGAUCAUGUUUUGUUGAAGUUAUCGGCAACUGGCAGAAGCCUUAUGGUUGUCUCUUUAUUGCAUAAGAUGCAAGCGCUAAAUAAUUGCUUUACUUUAUCGCUAUGCGAUAGCAAUAGUUGCAAGAGCAAUAGUUGGCCAGACGACCAUGUGACGACACAUUGAUAUAGAUCAAGAUGAUGGAGAUCAUGGUGUCAUGCCGGUGAUGAUGGAAAUCAUGACGAUGCUCUGGAGAUGGAGAUCACAAGCACAAGAUGAUGAUGGCCAUAUCAUAUCACUUAUAUUGAUUGCAUAUGAUGUUUAUCUGUUAUACAUCUUAUUCUGUUUUGUUUGACGGUAGCAUUAUAAGAUGAUCUCUCACUAAUUAUCAAGAAGUGUUCUCCCUGAGUAUGCACCGUUGCCAAAGUUCGUCGUGCCCAGACACCACGUGAUGAUCGGGUGUGAUAAGCUCUACGUCCAUCUACAACGGGCGCAAGCCAGUUUUGCACACGCGGAAUACUCAGGUUAAACUUGACAAGCCUAGCAUAUGCAGAUAUGGCCUCGGAAGACGGAGACCGAAAGGUCGAGCGUGAAUCAUAUAGUAGAUAUGAUCAACAUAAUGAUGUUCACCAUUGAAAGCUACUCCAUUUCAGGUGAUGAUCGGUUAUGUUUUAGUGUAUUUGGAUCACGUGAUCACUUAGAGGAUUAGAGGGAUGUCUUUCUAAGUGGGAGUUCUUAAGUAAUAUGAUUAAUUGAACUUAAAUUUAUCAUGAACUUAGUCCUGGUAGUAUUUUGCAAAUUAUGUUGUAGAUCAAUAGCUUGCGUUGUUGCUCUCAUAUGUUUAUUUUGAUAUGUUCCUAGAGAAAAUUUAGUUGAAAAAUGUUAGUAGCAAUGAUGCGGAUUGGAUCCGUGAUCUGAGGUUUAUCCUCAUUGCUGCGCAGAAGAAUUAUGUCCUUGAUGCACCGCUAGGUGACAGACCUAUUGCAGGAGCAGAUGCAGACGUUAUGAACGUUUGGCUAGCUCAAUAUGAUGACUACUUGAUAGUUUUGUGCACCAUACUUUAUGGCUUAGAAUCGGGACUUCAAAGAUGUUUUGAACAUCAUGGACCAUAUGAGAUGUUCCAGGAAUUGAAGUUAAUAUUUCAAGCAAAUACCCGAGUUGAGAGAUAUGAAGUCUCCAACAAGUCUAUAGCUAAAAGAUGGAGGAGAAUCGCUCAAUAAGUGAGCAUGUGCUCAGAUUGUCUGGAUAAUACAAUCGCUUGAAUCAAGUGGGAGUUAAUCUUCCAGAUAACAUAGUAAUUGACAGAAUCCUCUAGUCACCAUCACCAAGUUAGUAGAACUUCAUGAUGAACUAUAGUAUGCAAGGGAUGAUGAAAAUGAUUCCCGAGUUUUUCAUGAUAAUGAAAUCGAUGAAGGUAGAAAUCAAGAAAGAACAUCAAGUGUUGAUGGUUGACAAGACCACUAGUUUCAAGAAAAGCGCAAAGGGAUAGAAAGGAACUUCAAGAAGAACGGCAAGCAAGUUGCUGCUCAAGUGAAGAAGCCCAAGUCUGGACCUAAGCCUGAGACUAAGUGCUUCUACUGCAAAGGGACUGGUCACUGGAAGAAGAACUACCCCAAGUAUUUGGCAGAUAAGAAGGAUGGCAAAGUGAACAAAGGUAUAUUAGAUAUACAUGUUAUUGAUGUGUACUUUACUAGUGUUUAUAGCAACCCCUCGGUACUUGGUACUGGUUCAGUUGCUAAGAGUAGUAACUCGAAACAGGAGUUGCAGAAUAAACAGAAACUAGUUAAGGAUGAAGUGACGAUGUGUGUUGAAAGUAGUUUCAAGAUUGAUAUGAUCAUCAUCGCACACUCCCUAUACUUUCGGGAUUAGUGUUGAACCUAAAUAAAUGUUAUUUGGUGUUUGCGUUGAGGAUGAAUAUGAUUUGAUCGUGUUUAUUGCAAUACGGUUAUUCAUUUAAGUAAGAGAAUAAACUGUUGUUCUGUUUACAUGAACAAAACCUUAUAUGGUUACACACCCAAUGAAAAUGGUUCAUUGGACCUCGAUCAUAGUGAUACACAUAUUCAUAAUAUUGAAACCAAAAGAUGCAAAGUUAAUAAUGAUAGUGCAACUUAUUUGUGGCACUGCCGUUUAGGUCAUAUUGGUGUAAAGCGCAUGAAGAAACUCCAUGCUGAUGGGAUUUUGGAAUCACUUGAUUAUGAAUCAUUUGAUGCUUGCGAACCGUGCCUUUUGGGCAAGAUGACUAAAACUCCGUUCUUCGGAACAAUGGAACGAGCAACAAACUUGUUGGAAAUAAUACAUACUGAUGUAUGCAGACCAAUGAGUAAUAAGGCUCGUGGCGAGUAUCGUUAUUUUCUGACCUUCACAGAUGAUUUAAGCAGAUAUGGGUAUAUCUACUUGAUGAAACAUAAGUCUGAAAUAGUUGAAAGGUUCAAAGAAUUUCAGAGUGAAGUGGAAAAUCAUCGUAACAAGAAAAUAAAGUUUCUGCGAUCUGAUCAUGGAGAUGAAUAUUUGAGUUACGAGUUUGGUCUUCAAUUAAAACAAUGUGGAAUAGUUUCACAGCUCACGCCACCUGGAACACCACAACGUUAUGGUGUGUCCGAACGUCGUAACCACACUUUAUUGGAUAUGGUGCGAUCUAUGAUGUCACUUAUUGAUUUACCAUUGUCGUUUUGGGGUUAUGCAUUAGAGACAGCUGCAUUCACGUUAAAAGGGCACCAUCUAAAUCCGUUGAGACGACACCAUAUGAACUGUGGUUUAGCAAGAAACCCAAGUUGUCGUUUCUUAAAGUUUGGGGCUGUGAUGCUUAUGUGAAAAAGGUUUCAUCCUGAUAAGCUCAAACCCAAAUCGGAGAAGUGCGUCUUCAUAGAAUACCCAAAGGAAACUGUUGGGUACACCUUCUAUCACAGAUCCGAAGGCAAGAUAUUCGUUGCUAAAAAUGGAUCCUUUCUAGAGAAGGAGUUUUAUCUCGAAAGAAGUGAGUGGGAGGAAAGUAGAACUUGAUAAGGUAAUUGUACCUUCUCCCUUAUUGGAAAGUAGUUCAUCACAGAAAUCUGUUCCUGUGACUACUACACCAAUUAGUGAGGAAGAUAAUGAUGAUGAUCAUGUAACUUCAGAUCAAGUUACUGCCGAACCUCGUAGGUCAACCAGAGUGAGAACCGCACCAGCGAUCCAUCUAUGGACUGGUGCAAGCAUCUCGGAGUGGGAAUAUACGCUUUGAUAAGUUGAUCCAAGCAUAUAGUUUUAUACAGACUUGUAGUGAAGCCUGUAUUUACAAGAAAGUGAGUGGGAGCACUACAACAUUUCUGAUAAGUAUAUGUGAAUGACAUAUUGUUGAUCGGAAAUAAUGUAGAAUUAUUCUGCAAAGUAUAAAGGAGUGUUUGAAAGGAGUUUUUUCAAAGAAAGACCUUGGUGAAGCUGCUUACAUAUUGAGCAUCAAGAUCUAUAGAGAUAGAUCAAGACGCUUGAUAAGUUUUUUCAAUGAGUAAAUACCUUGACAAGAUUUUGAAGUAGUUCAAAAUGGAACAGUCAAAGAAAGAGUUCUUUCCUGUGUUACAAGGUGUGCAAUUGAGUAAGACUCAAAGCCCGACCACGGCAGAAGAUAGAAAGAGAAUGAAAGUCAUUCCCUAUGCCUCAGCCAUAGGUUCUAUAAAGUAUGCCAUGUUGUAUACCAGAUCUAUUGUAUACCCCACCACUGAGUUUGACAAGGGAGUAUGGUAGUGAUCUAGGAGUAGAUCACUCGACAGCGGUCAAAAUUAUCCUUAGUGGUAUAAGGAUAUGUUUCUCGAUUAUGGAAGUGACAAAAGGUUCGUCAUAAAGGGUUACGUCGAUGAAAGUUUUGCCACUAAUCCAGAUGACUCUAAGUCUCAAUCUGGAUACAUAUUGAAAGUGGGAGCAAUUAGCUAAAGUAGCUCCAUGCAGAGCAUUGUGGACAUAGAAUAUUUUGCAAAAUACUUACGGCUCUGAAUGUGACAGAUCCGUUGACUAAACUUCUCUCACAAGCAAAACAUGAUCAUACCUUAGUACUCUUUGGGUGUUAAUCACAUAGCGAUGUGAACUAGAUUAUUGACUCUAGUAAACCCUUUGGGUGUUGAUCACAUGAUGAUGUGAACUAUGGGUAUUAAUCACAUGCAGAUGUGAAUAUUGAUGUUAAAUCACAUGGCGAUGUGAACUAGAUUAUUGACUCUAGUGCAAGUGGGAGACUGAAGGAAAUAUGCUCUAGAGGCAAUAAUAAAGUUAUUAUUUAUUUCCUUAUUUCAUGAUAAAUGUUUAUUAUUCAUGCUAGCAUUGUAUUAACCGGAAACAUAAUACAUGUGCGAAUAUAUAGACAAACAGAGUGUCACUAGUAUGCCUCUACUUGACUACCUUGUUAAUCAAAGAUGGUUAUGUUUCCUAACCAUGGACAAAAGAGUUGUUAUUUGAUUAACGGGAUCACAUCAUUAGUUGAAUGAUCUGAUUGACAUGACUCAUUCCAUUAGCUUAGCACCCGAUCGUUUAGUAUGUUGCUAUUGCUUUCUUCAUGACUUAUACAUAUUCCUAUGACUAUGAGAUUAUGCAACUCCCGUUUACUGGAGGAACACUUUGUGUGCUACCAAACGUCACAACGUAACUGGGUGAUUAUAAAGGUGCUCUACAGGUGUCUCCAAAGGUACUUGUUGGGUUGGCGUAUUUCGAGAUUAGGAUUUGUCACUCUGAAUGUCGGAGAGGUAUCUCUGGGCCCUCUCGGUAAUGCACAUCACAUAAGCCUUGCAAGCAAUGCAACUAAUGAGUUAGUUGCGAGAUGAUGUAUUAUGGAACGAGUAAAGAGACUUGCCGGUAACGAGAUUGAACUAGGUAUUGGAUACCGACGAUCGUAUCUCGGGCAAGUAACAUACCGAUGACAAAGGGAACAACGUAUGUUGUUAUGCGGUCUGACCGAUAAAGAUCUUCGUAGAAUAUGUAGGAACCAAUAUGGGCAUCCAGGUCCCGCUAUUGAUUAUUGACCGGAGACGUGUCUCGGUCAUGUCUACAUUGUUCACGAACCGUAGGGUCCGCACGCUUAAGGUUUCGAUGACAGUUUUAUUAUGAGUUUAUGAGUUUUGAUGUACCGAAGGAGUUCGGAGUCCCGGAUGAGAUCGGGGACAUGACGAGGAGUCUCGAAAUGGUCGAGAUGUAAAGAUCGAUAUAUUGGACGACUAUAUUCGGAGUUCGGAAAGGUUCCGAGUGAUUCGGGUAUUUUUCGGAGUACCGAAGAGUUACGGGAAUUCGUAUUGGGCCUCUUUGGGCCAUACGGGAAAGGAGAGAAAGGGCCAAAAGGGUGGCCGCACCCCUCCCCUUGGACUAGUCCGAAUUGGACUAGGGAGGGGGGGCGCCCCCUUCCUUCCUUCUCCUUCUCUCUUCCCUUUCCUUCUCUCCUACUCCUACUACAUGGAAGGGUUCCUAGUUGGACUAGGAAAGGGGGAAUCCUACUCCCGGCGGGAGUAGGACUCCCCUAGGGCGCGCCAUAGAGAGGGCCGGCCCUCCCCUCCUCCACUCCUUUAUAUACGGGGGCAGGGGGCACCCCAUCGACACACAAGUUGAUCUUCGUGAUCGUUCCUUAGCCGUGUGCGGUGCCCCCCCUCCACGAUAUUACACCUCGGUCAUAUUGUAGCGGUGCUUAGGCGAAGCACUGCGACAGUUGAACAUCAAGAUCGUCACCACGCCGUCGUGCUGACGGAACUCCUCCCCGAAGCUUUGCUGGAUCGGAGCUCGGGGUGCGUCAUCGAGCUGUACGUGUGUCAAGAACUCAGAGGUGCCGGAGUAACAGUGCUUGGAUCGGUUGGACCGGGAAGACGUACGACUACUUCCUCUACGUUGCGUCAACGCUUCCGCUACGGUCUACGAGGGUACGUGGACAACACUCUCCCCUCUCGUUGCUAUGCAUCACCAUGAUCUUGCGUGUGCGUAGAAUUUUUUAUUUUGAAAUUACUACGUUCCCCAACACAUUGAUCCACACCCUCUACUUCAACACACCAUCCCAUCUGCGGUGAUUGGACAUGAGCAUGGAGGCUAAAUAUAAAGUUUGCUACAUAUAUGGUUCAUAGAUAGAUUAAUACAGACAACAUCAUGAUGGAAUAGUUGGAGUUAAAUCUACAAAUUUUAGCGUAUAAUUUUUUUUGUUGCUCUUCAAUCGUCUAUCAGUGCACCUUUUCCCAGACGUUCCUUGGAUAAGUUUUGCAAAAAGGAAAAAGAGUGUUCCUUUGGUAAGCCGGCACAAACCUGCAGAGCACGUCAGGUGAUCGCUCAUCAGCACAAAAGGCCAUUUCCCAUUUUUGACGUCGGAUGGAAGCUCGCGCAGCCAGUCGAUGUGUCAGCUAAGGAUGUGCUGCUCGUGAGUGCUUAUUGUUGCGGCUCCAUCUAUUUGGUGAAUACAAAUCUCCAGCUACUCUCAUUGUCUACCACCCAUGCUUCUGCGAUGAUGUGCAUAUUGAGCUGUAUAUAUACAGGAAAAAUAAUAGUUAGAUAAAUUUUUAGGUUUUUUUUAGAAUUGGAGGAGGACCCCCGGCCUCUGCAUCUAGACGAUGCAUGCAGCCAUUUUAUUAAUUAUUCACACAAGUUCUUACAAAAUCAUACAACAGUAAGACUAAAGCCAGCGUCUAGACAACAUCUGUCGCUACUCCUAUCCAGUUGAUGUAGGGAUGCUGAUAAUCUGGGCCUAAUACCAAACAUCUAAGACCCGAGGUCCCAACCAGGACGCCUGCCGGGUAUGGGGCAUCCACCAGUCCGGCACACUCCUCAACCAGGACGCCUGCCGGGUAUGAGGCCGCCGCAGUCACCUGCCACCAAUCCAUUUUCAGUGAUGUACUGCUGCAUCUAUCUUGCCCGGUCUAGCUGUCGUCGACGCCACCACGACGCCAGACAACGCCACCAUCCUGCGCUCGUCCAUCAUCACACGCCCACCGGCGAGCACCGCUGGUCCAUGCCGCGGAGACCCGCCGUCGUCUAAGAAAGAGAAGGCACGCCACACCACCUCACGGCUCUUUCAUCCGGCGCCGCUCCACAAACGAUGCCCCCAAUAGGGAACACAACACCGCAACGCCGCCAUCAUCCGAUCCAGAGAACUUCGGAUUUCUCCCGAAGUGGCACGAGCAGGUUGACGAUAGUUGCUUGACGAUGCCUUCAUCAAGGUAACGACAUUGACGCCGCCACCGCCCGACAUGACAGGAGUCGGCGCGGUUUUCACUGGCGACUAUGUCUUCUCUACUCGCCGCCGGUGCUAAUAGUGGGAUCCAAGAUCCGUCCCUACUAGCCUGGCCAACCACCUUCGGUGGAGAAGGCAUCCGACUUUUAGGUACCAGCAGAAGCAGAUUGAAUAUCACUAAUUCGUUAUAGAGAAGAGCAUAAUAUUUUCCAAGCUCAGCAGCGUCCCGCAAAAGAAAAGCACAUAAUAAGGAAGGUAUCAAGCCAAGGUCAUAGCAUUACAUCUUGCCAUGGCCAAGAAGGGCAUUACCUAUGAAGAACACUGACGUAAAAGACGCGAACAAAGAAUGCAGACAUCACAACCGGUACAAUUAUCUAAAUUUGGUCUUCACAACUAUAAAAAAAGGAUAAAUGUAGACCGUCAUUUCAAAUCCAAGAUAAUAUCAUCUAGGUUAAGAAAACUCGAAUCACAACAUAGUUCACUGAAAUGGAUUGUCAAAAUAGCUUGGAAUUACUAUGCUUCGUGUUAUUUAGUAUGCUUGUUCAUCUUCCCAUGGAGUGUCCAUUGAUUCAGCUAGCUCGUGAUUGUUUUUAGUCCAUGAUAGCAAAAAUUUUGUACAUGCUUCACACAUGUAAAAACAAUGCAGGGUACUGCAUUUUUGUGUCUGAAUCAUGUGCACAGCUCAUGACAACAUAACUAAAGAUAUACUAAAUGCUUUCUAGUUAACUCGUCAAAUGACUAAUCAGUAUGGCUAAGCCCUCACUACAUAUGUAGGUAAGAACAAAAUAUCUCGGCUUAUUUUUGUGUACCAAUUCAGAUCUCACAAAAUUAGUUGAGUACGGAAAAUAUAACAGAAGGGAUAACAGGAAGAAGCUAUUAUCAACCAUGGAUAAUAUAUACAGCUCAUUAAUGGGUAGUGCGUACAAUGCGCACAAUUUCUGUUGAAGUAAUAGAAGUGGUGAAACACCUCAAGUAGGUUCAACCCAGAUUACUUACACAUGCAAUGCACUUGCCAUCAAUCUGGCUUACAAAAUUGGUUCACAGGAGACGGAGAUAUUAAUACGGGCAUGGCACCGUAGAUUGUUGAUGCCAAUAAAACUUAACCGGUUAAGGAGUUGAGCAAUGAGAUAUUUACUGGAAUGGUUGAUUAUGUUCAGUGUUGUUCUAGAGAGGCUCGAAAAGAAAAAGAGUCUACAAUCCCACGAAAAGUGCAUCAAGGCAAAGAUGGAAAAAUACGUGAGUUUUGUGGACCUAGGAUUGCUAAAGUUUUAUAGCGACACAUUUUAUCUGUUGUGCAGCUGAGACAGAGAGAUAAUUCACAUAAUGCAUGCGACAAACAAAAACUAUUGUGUUGAGGCAAAAAUACGGUGCAAGAGGUGCACCAAAUAUGCGACAGAAGACCAUGUGGCAACAACCAUGAGGAACCGGAGCCUGCGGAGGUAAACCCGACGUUCCGCACGCCUCCUGAUUUUAUGAGAAUCGGCCUCAUUGCUCUCAGUUUGCAUGGAAAUACCACGUUAGAUGCAAAUUAAGAUGGUGCUUUGGAGUCCACGUCCAAAUAGAAGACAAGAGAUAGAAUUCCUUUUGAGUUGUGCUAGCUAGAUAAGUAGGAGUACGUUAGUUGGUUUCUGUUAGGAUUUAGCCAUUAAAAUAAUAUGAUUCCUUUUAGAGUCCAGAUCGUUAUUACUUUCUGUUUAAGCGUACGAGAGUCAAGGCAUAUAAGUGGGAGGCUUCGGCCAAUGUAAGGGAGUUUUUUAAGUUUGAUUGGAGUUAUGAAAUAUACAGAAAAACGUCCGAGUCGUAGACGACCAUAUCGUGUGUAUUAUCUGUGAUUUUUCGUUCGAGGAAAUUUACUAGAGACGGACGGUUGAUCAUCACAUCGACGCCUACGUGCUGAUCUGAGGGGUCAUUAUUUUUUGUUCGUGUACUUUCAUACGCGGGUGAGAAUUAUUCUUGGAGGUUGCGAGAAGGAAUUGUUGAUCGAGCAUCGUUGUGAAAGAUCGGGUCAUCCAAGGCCCUAAGCAUCCCGGCAACGACAUUGAUGUGUACCUAAGGCCAUUAGUUGAACUAUUACAGUUGUGAAAUGGAAAAUGUGUACGUCCGUGGGAUGAGCAAAAACCGGAAGAAUUUGACCUAAAGGCGUUGCUGUUCGUGACCAUCAAUGAUUGGCCUGCUCUCAGUAACCUUUCAGGACAGACAAACAAGGGAUACCGCGGAUGCACGCACUGUUUGGAUGAUACCGACAAUAUAUAUUUGGAUAGUUGUAGAAAGAAUGUGUACCUAGGACAUCGUCGAUAUCUUCCGAGCAGGCAUCCCGUAAGAAAGAAAGGCAAGCAUUUCAAAGUUAAGGCGGGUCACCGGUCGAAGCCUCGCCAUCGUACUGGUGCUGAUGUACAUGAUAUGGUCAAUAAUUUGAAGGUAAUCUUUGGAAAGGGUCCUGGCGGACAACCUGUUCCGAAGGACGCUUACGGACGCGCACCCAUGUGGAAAAAGAAAUCUCAAUUUUGGGACCUGCCCUAUUGGAAAGACCUAGAGGUCCGCUCCGCAAUCGACGUGAUGCACGUGACGAAGAAUCUUUGCGUGACCCUGCUUGGCUUCUUGGGCGUGUAUGAAAGACAAAAGAUACACCGGAGGCACGGGAGGACCAGCAACGUAUGCAUGGAAAAGACGACAUACAUCAGGGUCAUGCCAGCUACGCUCUUACCAAAGAAGAGAAGGAAAUCUUCUUUGAAUGCCAGCUCAGUAUGAAGGUACCGUCUGGCUUCUCCUCGAAUAUAAAGGGAAUAAUAAAUAUGGCCGAGAAAAAGUUUCAGAACCUAAAGUCUCAUGACUGCCAUGUGAUUAUGACGCAACUGCUUUCCAUUGCAUUGAGGGGGUUUUUACCGGAAAACGUUUGAUUAGCCAUUGUGAAGCUAUGUGCAUUCCUCAAUGCAAUCUCUCAGAAGGUAAUCGACCCUGAAAUCAUACCAAGGUUACAGAAUGAUUUGGUGCAAUGUCUAGUCAGUUUCGAGUUGGUGUUCGCACUAUUCUUCUUCAACAUCAUGAUGCACGUCCUAGUUCACCUUUGCGAAGAGAUUAACAUUUUGGGUCCUGUAUUUCUACACAAUAUGUUCCCCUUUCAGAGGUUCAUGGGAGUCUUGAAGAAAUAUGUUCAUAACCGUGCUAGGCCAGAAGGAAGCAUCUUGAAGGUCUAUGAAAAUUAGGAGGUCAUUGAAUUUUGUAUUGACUUUAUUCCUAACCUUAAGCCGAUUGGUGUUCCUGAAUCGCGGCAUAAGGGCAGACUGGAUGGAAAAGGCACGCUAGGAGGGGAUCAAAUAAUAUGUAUGGACGGGCAUUCUCUCACUGAAGCACACUACACAGUUCUAUAGAAUUUCACCUUGGUGGCUCCGUAUAUGGAGGAACACAAGAAUUUUCUACACUCCAAACACCCAAAGCAAUCUGACGAUUGGGUUACACGUGAAAAACCGAGGACAUUCGCUGGUUGGUUGCAGACACGGGCCAUGCAUGAUGGCGAUAUUGAAGAUGACUUGUACUUGUUGUCCCAUUUACCAUCUUCGAAUAUAAUGACUUUCAAAAGGUACGAGAUAAAUGGGAAUAGAUUUUACAUGAUCGCCCAAGAUAAGAAGAGCACCAACCAAAACAAUGGUGUCCACUUUGAUGCAACAACCAACAUGGGAAAGGAAACAUAUUAUAGUUACGUAAAGGACAUAUGGGAACUUAACUAUGGAGUUGGUCUGAAGGCCCCUUUGUUUCGGUGCAAAUUGGACAAUAUGACACGAGGCGGGGUAACGGAAGACCUGCAGUACGGAAUGACAACAAUGGAUCUCAACAAUCUUGCGUAUGCAGACGAACCAUUCAUCCUAGCCAAUGAUGUGGCGCAGAUUUUCUAUGUGAAAGACAUGUCUACCAGGCCGAGAAAAAGAAAAUAUACGGCAGCGAAUGCAUCAUAUGAUGAGCCAAAGCGCCACAUAGUUCUUUCAGGGAAAAGAAACAUCAUGGGAGUGGAUAACAAGACAGACAUGUCACAAGAUUAUGAGAAGUUUGAUGAAAUUGCUCCAUUCACAGUGAAUAUUGAUCCGAGCAUCCAGUUAAAUGAUGAAGAUUGUCCAUGGUUACGGCCCAAAGGGACACACGCGAAGAAAAAGUUUCACUCCCUAAGAUCCCACUCUGGGAUGUGAUAGGCUUCACCGUUAUCACUUUCUUCUGUAAUGACUUUCCGGACUUAUAUAUAUGGAAAGUGCCGCUUCGAACAAACCGUAGAGAAUCUUUGUAAUUGUAGGGUACUUAUGUGUUUUGGUAUUUGAAACGCGAAGAAAUUUUAUGUGCAAAAACUGGAUGAACUUCAUCUACAAAUUAGUUCGACAAAUAAUUCAAAUUUAAACUAUUCAAAUUUGUAAACUACUGGCACUAACAAAAAGUUUGUAACUUUUUGUACCUAAAGAAAAAAUAUUCAGAAAUAAAUAAAUGAAAAUAAAUAAAGUAGAAAACAAAAAAACUAAAUUUUUUUAGACAAAAACUAAAUAAAAAAGCCCACCUACUGAGCCACAACAGCCUGCAUACGACUAGUAACCCAACCUGUAGUUGGGCCAGGAUGCAGGCCCGCAACGCCCAGUAGGCCCACGGGGCAGAGCGGCAGAGUUUGGCUCAGAAGCCUGCUAUAGGGAGGAGUUCGAGAGAGCAGCCGCGCCGGGGCUUUUAAACAGGUCCGGGCGCCCCUCGGCUAGCGAGGUGGGACUAAACUUUCCCGCACCGUACCUACGCCAGGCCGCACCUUUAGCACCGGGUGGUGGCUCCAACCGAUACUAAAGGGGGAGGGUCUUUAGUACCUGUUGUAGCCACCACCCGGUACUAAAGGGGGUGCGCUUCCAGCCGCUUCGCCUGGCCAAAACAGCCCUUUAGUACCGGUUGGUGGCUCCAACCGGUACUAAAGGGUGGUUCUUAUAAGAAAACACUUCAAAAUUUUGUCAGUUUCUCAUCUCUCCCUCUGCUUCUUCUCCUCUGCCCCGUCGCCGCCGCCCCUCGUCGCCGCCCCCGUCGUCGUCCCCGUCACCGUCCGUCGCCGUCCCCACCGCCCCUCGUCUCCAUGCCUGUCGCUAUCUCCACCGCCCCUCGUCGCCGUCCCCGUCACCGACCAUCGCCAUCCGUCGCCGUCACCUCGACCUCGCCCGCGCUGUGAGCCACUCUCCCCGGCCCCUCUCCUCCCUCCAAUCAAAGCUGCCGCGCCGCCGGUGCCGUAGGUGCACACGUGCCCGUGCGCGCGCGCACACACACACACGCACACACACAGACACACGCGUGCGCGCACACACACACACAAUUAUGUUUUUAGUUUUUAGUUUUUAGUUUUUUCUAUUUUUUCUGUUUUUUAUACAAAUGUUUUAGAUGAAUUAAUUAAUUAGAUUAUAUUAAUGUCAAAUAGUAUAUAAAAAUGUUAGAAAUAUGUUAUAGAAAUGUUAGUUUUAGCUAGAUGAAUAAGAUUAAUUUCAAAUUGUCACAGAAAUGUUAGAAAUGUUAUAGAAAUGUUAGUUUUUUGUUUCUUAUAAUUUUAGUUAUAGAAAUUUAGAAUUUUCAUAUAAGAAAUCACAAUCCAAUCAUUUAAAAAAUGUUACUUUUGUGGUGUAUCGUAUUUGUUCUCGACGAUGCCCGGCCCGCAUCCUCGCCGUCGACCCGUUCGCGACGACGUCCUGCUUCAGAGGACCCAUGUCCGGGACUGGGCUCCGCCGGGCUGGCACUAGGAGGUGCUACCUCAAGGGCUCGCCGCUUGGUGAGGAACCCGGGUCCCGUCAUCGACCCUGAGCUCUUUUGCAGGCGUUCCCCUGGACCAAUGAAGAUAUACUACUUCCUUACAACUUCCUGUGAGUCAUACUGUCUGGUACUACAAAUUCUGUUUUUACUUACUAGCUAGCUAGAUGUUAAUAAUUAUUACUAUCAAUGAUGAGUGUUAUGCACAUGCCCGCUUAAUUAAGACAUGCAAACGUGUGCAUGCAGUUUCCAUUGGAUCUUGUUAAUCAUUAAAGUUGACGAAGGAACAGUUGAAGUACUGGAUUCACUACUUUAAAAAAAGAAAGACUGCACAAUCGUGAAGGGGAUAGUCGACAAGUAAUUUCAAUCAUUAUUAACUAUAUGUCGGCCUGUUUAGUUCGUCAUUUCCUGAUAUCAACUAUUGAUACAUCUCCAACGUAUCUACUUUUCCAAACACUUUUGCCCUUGUUUUGGACUAUAACUUGCAUGAUUUGAAUGAAACUAACCCGGACUGCCGCUAUUUUCAGCAGAACUGCCAUGAUGUUGUUUUAUGUGUAGAAAACAAAAGUUCUCGGAAUGUCCUGAAAAUCCACGGAGGCACUUUUUGGAAAAUAUAAAAAAUACUGCCGAAAGAAUCAAGACCAGGGGGUCCACUCCCUGUCCACGAGGGUGGGGGCCACGCCCUCCCCCCUGGGUGCCCCCCUGUCUCGUGGGCCCCCUGAGGCUCCGCCGACCUUAACUCAAACUCCAUAUAUUCCGUCUCGCGGAGAAAAAAGUCAUAGAGAAAGUUUCAUCGCGUUUUACGAUACAAAGCCGCCGCCAAGCCCUCAUCUCCCUCAGGAGGGCUGAUCUGGAGUCCGUUCGGGGCUCCGGAGAGGGGGAUUCGUGGCCGUCGUCAUCAUCAACCAUCCUCCAUCACCAAUUUCAUGAUGAUCACCGCCGUGCGGGAGUAAUUCCAUCGUAGGCUUGCUGGACGGUGAUGGGUUGGAUGCGAUUUACCAUGUAAUAAAGGUAGUUUUGUUAGGGUUUGAUCCCUAGUAUCCACUAUGUUCUGAGAUUGAUGUUGCUAUGACUUUGCUAUGCUUAAUGCUUUUCACUAGGGCCCGAGUGCCAUGAUUUCAGAUCUGAACCUAUUAUGUUUUCUUGAAUAUAUGUGUGUUCUUGAUCCUAUCUUGCAAGUUUAUAGUCACCUAUUAUGUGUUAUGAUCCGACAACCCCGAAGUGACAAUAAUCGACAUACUUCUCAGUGACCAUUGUUUGAGGAGUUCAUAUAUUCACUAUGUGCUAAUGCUUUGUUCCGGUUCUCUAUUAAAAGGAGGCCUUAAUAUCCCUUAGUUUCCACUAGGACCCCGCUGCCACGGGAGCGUAGGACAGAAGAUGUCAUGCAAGUUCUUUUGCAUAAGCACGUAUGACUAUUUACGGAAUACAUGCCUACAUUACAUUGAUGAACUGGAGCAAGUUCUGUGUCACCCUAUGUUAUAGCUAUUACAUGAGGAAUCGCAUCCAACAUAAUAAUCCAUCAUUGAUCCAUUUCCUACGAUCUUUUCACAUCUUGUGUUUCGCUUAUUUACUUUUCCGUUGCUAUUGUUACAAUCACUACAAAACCGAAAAAUAUUACUUUUGCUAUCGUUACAUUUAUUAUCAUACUACUUUGCUACUAAAUACUUUGCUGCAGAUACUAAGUUAUCCAGGUGUGGUUGAAUUGACAACUCAACUGAUAAUACUCAAGAAUAUUCUUUGGCUCCACUUGUGUCGAAUCAAUAAAUUUGGGUUGAAUACUUUACCCUCGAAAGCUGUUGCGAUCCCCUACACUUGUGGGUUAUCAAGACUAAUUUCUGGCGCCGUUGCCGGGGAGCAUAGCUCUAUUCUCUGAGUCACUUGGGAUUUAUAUCUAUUGAUCACUAUAAAGAACUUGAAAGACGCGAAAACUACAAUUUAUCUCUCAACUACGAGGGGAGGUAAGGAACUACCAUCUAGCUCUGCACUAGAUUCUCCUUCUAUUUUGAGUAAGCUUGCGACACCUAAACCUGCUACUGCUAUGAAUUCUGAUAUGUCGCAUGUUAUUGAUGAUGCCACUUCUGCUAUACAUAAUACUUAUGAUGAAACUACUUCUCUGCGUGAUACUACUUUGCCAUUAGGUGAAUUUCUUGAUGAACAACUUGCUAGGGUUAGAGGGAAUGAAAUUAUUGAAGAUGCUAUUAUCGAUGAUAGUGAUGAUGAAAGUUCUCCGAAUGAUUAUGAAUUACCCGUUGUUCCCGAGGGUUAUGUUAUGAACGAAGAAGCUCCUAGAGCUAUCUUUGCUUGCAGUGAUAGAUAUGAUCUUUAGAAGUUAUUAGCUAAAUGGAAGUAGCAGUCUCUUAUGCUAGAAUGAAACCUGACCCUGCUUUUGCUACUUAACCUGUCUGUGUUACUGAUAAGGAAUAUGAAUUCUCUGUUGAUCCUAAAAUUAUUACUUUAGCUGAAUUUGAUCCUUUUUAUGGCCUUGAAUCUGAAAUUGUUGUGGCACAUCUUACCAAGUUGAAUGAUAUAGCCACCUUGUUUACUCAUGAUGAUAAAUCUCGCUAUUUUUAUAUUCUUAAGAUAUUUCCGUUCUCAUUAAAUGGUGAUGCUAAGACUUGGUAUAAUUCUCUUGCUCCUGGUUGUGUGCGUAGUCCCUAGGAUAUGAUUUAUUACUUCUCUGGUGAAUAUUUCCCUGCUCAUAAGAAACAAGCUACCUUGCGGGAAAUAUAUAAUUUUGUGCAAAUCAAAGAAGAGAGUCUCCCACAAGAUUGGGGGAGGCUUCUCCGAUUACUUAAUGCUUUGCCUGAUCAUCCUCUCAAGAAAAAUGAAAUACUUGAUAUCUUUUAUAAUGGACUAACCGAUGCUUCCAAGGACUACUUGGAUAGUUGUGCUGGUUGUGUUUUCAGGGAAAGAACAGUCGACGAAGCUGAAUUACUAUUGAAUAAUAUGUUGACUAAUGAAAAUAAUUGGACUCUUCCUGAGCCAAUUCCAUAGGCAAUUCCUCAUAGAUAUGAUAAACGUAAAUUCUCUCUAUAGAUAUGAUAGUAAACGUAAAUUCCUCAUAGAGCCAAUUCCAGUCUACCUAACCCGACACAGGUAGUAAACGUAAAUUCUCUCUAUAGAUAUGAUAAAGUUGAAAUUCCCUCUACUAAAUUUCAUAGCCCAUGCUUAGAUGAAUUUGAUGACUUUAUGGCUAGACAAGAAAGUUUUAAUGCUCAUGUUGGUAGAGAGUUAAAGAAUAAUACUUUCGAGAUAGGACGUGCGAGCGAUAAUAUGGCUAGAGUUAAAGGUGAACUCAAACUCGUUAGCAAAUAUGCUUCUAUGGUCGCUACUCAAGCUGAGCAAGUACUUAAAGCUCAAAAUAAUUUGCUUGAUGAAUUAAAUAAUAAAAAUGACUUUGCUGUUAGAGUGGCUACUAGAACUGGUAGAAUGACUCAGGAACCUUUGUAUCCUGAAGGCCACCCUAAGAGAAUCGAGCAAGAUUCUCAGAAAAAUAAUUUAGAGGCACCUAGUUCUUCUAAAAAGAAGAAAAAGAAAAACAAUAGGACCUUGCAUGCUUCUAGUGAACCUACUGUAGACACACCUAAGAAUCCCAAUGAUAUUUCUAUUUCUGAUGCUGAAACACAAUCAGGUGAUGAACAUGAACCUAGUGAUAAUGUUAAUGAUAAUGUUCAUGUUGAUGCUCAACCUAGCAAAAACAAUGAAAUAGAGAUUGAACCUGCUGUUGAUCUUGAUGGCCCACAAUCAAAGAAUCAACGUUAUGAUAAGAGGGAUUUUGUUGCUAGGAAGCACGGUAGAGAAAGAGCCCUCUCCUCCUAAACCAUCCAAGACAAAGGAUGAUGAGGAUUUUGAGCUCUUUGCUGAAAUGAUUAGACCUAUUUUCAUAUGUAUGCGCUUAACUGAUAUGCUCAAAAUAAAUCCUUAUGCUAAAUAUAUGAAGGAUAUCAUUACAAACAAAAGAAAGAUACCGGAAGCUGAAAUUUCCACCAUGCUUGCUAAUUACACUUUUAAGGGUGGAAUACCAAAGAAACUUGGAGAUCCGGGUGUACCAACUAUACCAUGCUCCAUUAAAAGAAAUUAUGUUAUAACUGCUUUAUGUGAUCUUGGAGCCGUUGUUAGUGUUAUGCCUCUCUCUUUAUAUCGUAGACUUGAAUUGAUUAAGUUGACACCUACUAAAAUAUCUUUGCAAAUGGCUGAUAAAUCAACUGCUAUACCUGUCGGUAUUUUUGAGGAUGUUCCUAUUGUGGUUGUAAAUGUCACUAUCUUAACGAACUUUGUUAUUCUUCAUAUUCCCUAGGACGAUAGUAUGUCGAUUAUCCUUGGUAGACCCUUUUUAAAUACUGCAGAGGUUGUUAUUGAUUGCAACAAAGGCAAUGUCACUUUUCACAUUAAUGGUAAUGAGCAUAUGGUACACUUUCCGAGGAAACAAUCUCAAGUCCAUAGCAUCAAUUCUAUUGGAAAAGUUCCAACUAUCAUUAUUGGAGGUUUUGAAUUUCCUCUCCCUACUAUCAAGAAAAGUAUGAUAUUCUUAUUGUUGGGGAUUUUCAUAUCCCCGUUGAGGUAACUUAGUGUUAUUCGAAAUUUCUCGGGUUCCGUGUUAUUCGGAAUGAGUUUGUUAACAAGACUUGAUCAACCUUGUUAGUGGAUUCAUUUUGAUGAUCACGAGAUGGAUGAAACUAGAAGGCACAACCUUCUGUACCCUCUUUUUACUUUCUGUUAUUUAGAAUAAAUAAAGUAAAAAUAGUAUUAUCUGUCUAUUUUCUGAAUUAUCCAUGCAAUAAAAAAUAUCCCAAAAAUAAAAGUGCUCCAAAUGCCCUGCAAAUUUAAUAUGAUUUUUUAUGGAAUAUUUGAAGAUUUUAGGCACUGAAAUCACUGCAGGAGGGGCAAGCACCAGGCCACGAGAGUGGACGGCGCGCCCACCCCCUGGGCGUGCCCCCCGUCUCGUGGGCCCCUGGUGGCCCCCUCCACUUAUGCCAGCACCCACACACUCCAUCCUAUACCCAAAAAAUCCCCAUCCAGCUCAAGCACGAGUUCUAGCUCAUUUUGCUGCGAUUUUCGAUCUCAUAGCUCAAAGCUCCAUUCACAAAACUGCUUUGGGAGAUUGUUGCUUGGUAUGUGGAUUCUCCAUUGGUCCAAUUAUUUUUUGUUCUAGUGUUUUAUUCAUUGCAAAUUUUUGCUGCAUAGGUGACCAUGUUCUUGAGCUUGCACAUUGAAUUUAUGAGGUCCCAAGCGAUUCUAAUGCAUGAUAUAGGCUCUAGGCACUUGUAGGAGUACUUGCUAUCAAUCUUGUUUAGUUUUAUUCACUUUUAUUUUGAAGUUACUAAAAUUUCAGAAAUUUUUCAGAAAAAGAAUUAUGUCUAGGAGAAUGUACCAAGGUGGUUCCUCGGUAAAGAAAGGACCCAGGAUUGCUAUACGUGAGCAAGAUAUUGAAUUACCGAGGGACGCAGAUGUUCGAGCUUGUGAAUGGCCAUCCGACGAUUUUAUGGUCGAAGCAGGCUUUAAGGAGGAAUUUGAUGUGUGUGUGCGUAAUGCUGAGCUGGAGGACUUCUUACAAGAUAAGUGUACUUAGUACUAUCAAUUGACUGAUUCCUUUGUGCGGAGGUUUAAAUAUAACUGUACGCGUAAUUCUCCUAGUGUCCUAUUUGAUAUUUAUGAUACAUCUUAUACCAAGGACUUAGAGAAUUUUACAACAGCUUGCAAACUUCCACAGUGGGGUAAUAUUAAUGAUCCUCACAAAUCUGAAUUUAGAGAUUUCCUUGCUAGUAUUACUGUGGGAGAAUCCAGGGACAUUGCACAAGCUACCAUAGGGAGCAUUCGAUUUCCCACUAUACAUUAUAUUGUUCUCUUCAUUGGUAGAUGCAUUAAUGGUAAAGAUGAAGCAUAUCAUAUGUGUGUCCCUCGUCUUUGUGUCCUCAAGAGUGCUGUGUUAGGUUAUAAAGGUUAUAACUUGGGGGCAGUAGUUGCACGUAGGUUGCAGAAUAAUGGUAGAGCUGGAAAUUUAUUUGGAGGAAUUUAUGCAACCCGUGUGGCUAAUUAUCUUGGUAUAGCCCCAUGAGAGGGGGAUGUGAUGAUACCUCUUGCUUAUUUAGAUUAUGAAGCUAUGGUCAACCAUCAUUUUCUUCGGAGGAAUGAACAAUUCCUCCAUUAUUGACUAAUCUAUAACAGACGCAACGUCGUCCAUGUUACUCUUCCUGCUCCUCUCCUUUUUGAUUAUCAGGCAAAAGGAACACGAGGGGAGAGCGGAGGCAGCUCGCUAACAUGCCGCAGCUCAGGAGGCGGUUGCUGCUGCAUCGCAGUACGACCCCAGCUACAACUACGGAUAUCAACUAGGCGGUCCUUGGUACUAGACCAACUUAGGCCAAAAGCCUAAGCUUGGGGGAGUACGUAUUUCUCACCGACUUUACAUUCAUGUUCACACACUAUUCUAGUCGUUGGUGCUCAUACUCUUUCAUUGUAUUAUCCAUGCUAGUUUAAUUUCCUUUUUCUAGCUUUCUUCUUGUGUGUUUGAUAAACCUUAAGAAAAAAUCAAAAAAAUUAGUUAGUUUAAUUUCCAUGCUUGUAGUAGAAUUAAAAUGAAAACCCAAAAAGAUUUCUCAUUCUUCUUUUACUUGUUGGGAGCUUUCCCGUGUAAAUAGUUUUAUUUUAUUUUAUUUUCUUUGGGGGUCGACAGUAGAAGACCAUAUUGAAAAUGUUUUCUGGAUCUCAUUUGCAUGAUUGUUUAUUUAACUUAGAGUCCUUGUUAUCUUGUCUUCUCUUUUGAGUUGAAUGCUUGCAGAUUUCAGCUUAGUCCAAUGCACGUGCACUAUUAUUAUUAUACACAUCGUUCGGUCGUGCAAGUGAAAGGCAAUAAUGACGAUAUAUGAUGGACUGGUUGAGAUGAGAAAAGAUGGUAUGAACUCGACCUCUCUUGUUUUUGUAAAUAUGAUGAGUUCAUUGUUUCUGAUGCAGCUUAUUAUGAAGUAAACAUAUUUGCAGUGACAUUUAGAGAUUAUAGUUGCUUGUGCCAUGCUUGAUUAGCUAUGAGUUAUAAUGGUUUACCUUGCGUGCCAACAUGCUAUUAGAAUGAUUAUGAUGUGGUAUGAUGGGAUGGUAUCCUCCUUUGAAUGAAUUGAGUGACUUGACUUGGCACAUGUUCACACAUGUAGUUGAAACAAAUCAACAUAGCCUUCAUGAUAUUUAUUUUCAUGGUAGAUUAUAUCCUACUCAUGCUUGUACUCGGUGUAAAUUAAUUUUAAUGCAUGUUUAUGACUGUUGUUGCUCUCUCAGUUGGUCGCCUCCCAGUCUUUUGCUAGCCUUCACCUGCACUAAGCGGGAAUACUGCAUGUGCAUCCAAACUCCAUAAACCCCAAAGUUGUUCCAUAUGAGUCCACCAUACCUUCCUAUAUGCGGUAUUUACCUGCCAUUCCAAGUAAAUUUGUAUGUUCCAUACUCCAAACCUUCAAAUGAAAUUCUGUUUUGUAUGCUCGAGCAGCUCAUGUUACAACUAGGGAUGCCUAUAUCUUCCAUGCUAGGUGGGUUAUUCUACAGAGGAGUGGACUCUGCUCCUCACUCACGAGAAAGGGCCGGUAACCGGGAUGCCUAGUCCCAUGAUCCAAAAAGAUCAAAGAAAAUCAAAUAAUUAAACAAAACUCCCCUAGGGCUGUUGUUGGUUGGAGGCACUCGUUGUUUCGAGCAAGCCAUGGAUUGAUGCUUGUUGGUGGUUGGGGGAGUAUAAACCUUUACCAUUUUGUUUGGGAACUGCCUAUAAUGCAAGUAGCUUGGAAGAUAUAGCCAUCUCAUAGUUGUUGCGUUGACAGCAAAAGUAUGCCGCUCAAAAUGUUAUUCAAUCUCUAUUUUAAAAUCGAGCUCUGGUACCUCUACAAAUCCCUGCUUCCCUCUGCGAAGGGCCUAUCUAUUUACUUUUAUGUUGAGUCAUCACCCUUCUUAUUAAAAAGCACCCGCUAGAGAGCACAAUGUCAUUUGCAUUCAUUAUUAUUGGUUUAUAUUGGGUAUGACUUGACCGGAUCUCUUUUACCAUGAAUUACAAUGUUUAGUCAGUCCUUGGUCUUUAAAGGUGCUCUGCAUUUAUGUUUUGCGGUCUCAGAAAGGGCUAGCGAGAUACCAUUUUGUUAUAUCAUGUUAUGAUUGUUUUGAUAAAGUGUUGUCAUCCGAGUUUUAUUAUUAUGGCUCGCUAGCUGAUUAUGCUAUUGAUAUGAGUAAUAGUGAGACCGAGGUGUUAUUGUGAGUAUGGUUAGUUCGUAAUAUUUGCUGAAACCUGAAUGCUGGCUUUUCAUGUUUACAACAACAAGAGCAAACAGACUUUGUAAAAGUUUUUCUUUAUCACUUUCAGUUUAUCAACUGAAUUGCUUGAGGACAAGCAAAGGUUUAAGCUUGGGGGAGUUGAUACGUCUCCAACGUAUCUACUUUUCCAAACACUUUUGCCCUUGUUUUGGACUCUAACUUGCAUGAUUUGAAUGAAACUAACCCGGACUGACACUGUUUUCAGCAGAACUGCCAUGAUGUUGUUUUAUGUGUAGAAAACAAAAGUUCUCGGAAUGUCCUGAAAAUCCACGGAGGCACUUUUUGGAAAAUAUAAAAAAUACUGGCGAAAGAAUCAAGACCAGGGGGGCCACACCCUGUCCAUGAGGGUGGGGGGCGCGCCCUCCCCACUGGGCGCGCCCCCUGUCUCGUGGGCCCCCUGAGGCUCCGCCGACCUCAACUCCAACUCCAUAUAUUCCGUCUGACGGAGAAAAAAAUCAGAGAGGAAGUUUCAUCACGUUUUACGAUACGGAGCCGCCGCCAAGCCCUAAUCUCUCUCGGGAGGGCUGAUCUGGAGUCCGUUCGGGGCUCCGGAGAGGGGGAUUCGUUGCCGUCGUCAUCAUCAACCAUCCCCCAUCACCAAUUUCAUGAUGCUCACCGCCGUGCGUGAGUAAUUCCAUCGUAGGCUUGCUAGACGGUGAUGGGUUGGAUGAGAUUUACUAUGUAAUCAAGUUAGUUUUGUUAGGGUUUGAUCCCUAGUAUCCACUAUGUUCUGAGAUUGAUGUUGCUAUGACUUUGCUUUGCUUAAUGCUUGUCACUAGGGCCCGAGAUCUGAACCUAUUUUGUUUUCAUGAAUAUAUGUGUGUUCUUGAUCCAAUCUUGCAAGUCUAUAGUCACCUAUUAUGUGUUAUGAUCCGACAGCCCCGAAGUGACAAUAAUCAGGAUAAUUCUCGGUGAUGACCAUAGUUUGAGGAGUUCAUGUAUUCACUAUGUGCUAAUGCUUUGUUUCUUUCUCUAUUAAAAGGAGGCCUUAAUAUCCCUUAGUUUCCACUAGGACCCCGCUGCCACGGGAGGGUAGGACAAAAUAUGUCAUGCAAGUUCCUUUACAUAAGCACGUAUGACUAUUUACGGAAUACAUGCCUACACUACAUUGAUGAACUGGAGCUAGUUCUGUGUAACCCUCUGUUAUAGGUUUUCACAUCUUGUGUUUCGCUUAUUUACUUUUCCGUUGCUAUUGUUACAAUCACUACAAAACCCAAAAAUACUACUUUUGCUAUCGUUACCUUUAUUAUCAUACUACUUUGCUACUAAAUACUUUGCUGCAGAUACUAAGUUAUCCAGGUGUGGUUGAAUUGACAACUCAACUGCUAAUACUCAAGAAUAUUCUUUGGCUCCCCUUGUGUCGAAUCAAUAAACUUGGGUUGAAUACUUUACCCUCGAAAGCUGUUGCGAUGCCCUACACUUGUGGGUUAUCAACUAUUUAACAACUUGUUUAUUCAUUUUCUUUUCCGGUCGGCAAGGAUUGGGAAAAGUUCAGGAAUUCGAAAGAGGUUCUAGGCGAAUGGAGAGAAAGGCUGUAUUGGUUUCGACCCAAGGUAUGAUUAAUUAAGUAGUACUAGCUAGCUACCAUGCAUCUCUUUAAUUCUAGUUUAAAUACCUUUAAUUAUCAUGCUUGAUUAAUUAUUAUCUGAUUAAAUUCUAAUUGUGUAAAGGCCCUGAAGCAGGCGCAGCGGACUGAUGUGUGUGCAUACUACGUUUUCGAGAACAUUCGCAUGAUGAUGUCCGAAAGGACCAAAACUGAUAAAUAGCUAUGGGUACGUUUGACAUAAAAAUAUUCACAAUUUUUACAUCAUUAUUGAUAUCUAGUCACAUAACUAAUACACAUGCAUAUUGAUCUCCUUCUUAACAGUUCGAAUCGGUGCAGGAGAAGCUCCUACCAGAGGAGCACAUACGAGCACUUUAAGAGGAAAUAGCAGGACUUUUGCUCGACCAGGUCAUAGAUCCCAAAGGGGAAUUCUAUUACGAGCUACCGCCCCAAUAAACCACUCUUAAUUGUCAUCAUGCUCCGAAGGCACCAAGGCAAAUGCCACUGGCUCUGAGGCAACAUGUAGGAAAAACUGUAUAUAUAUACAUGUGUAUGUGUGAAUAAUGGUGUGGUUGGGAGACAUUCAAUGAUAUAUAUAUAUAUAUAUAUAUAUAUAUAUAUAUAUAUAUAUAUAUAUAUAUAACCGGUUGUACGAGAAAUUCUAUUUAUAUAUAUGCAUAGCGUGUACAAUAUGUAGUAUCGUAAUAUACCAGCAAACGAAAAAGAAUUAAAUGUAAAACACAAAAUUAAAGGAAAAAUAAAUAAUAAAACCAAAAACCCACAAAAUAUUCAGUACCGGUUGGUGUUACCAACUGGUACUAAAGGUAUCCCCACACCCGGCCCUGGCUCGUGCCACGUGGUGGCCCUUUAGCGGUGGUUCAUGCAGAACCGGUACUAAAGGGGGUGGGGGACAGUCCCCACCCUUUAGUGCUGGUUACAGAACCGGCACUAAAGGCCCUUACGAACCGGUGCUAUAGCCCGGUUCUGCACUAGUGUACACACACGAAUUAGCGUCUCGCUCAUUUGUGCCUCAUCAAGUGGUAUUCAGAGCUAAGGUUAGUCACAGCGACUUAGUUUCAAUAUCAUCUAAGGAGGCGAGCAUUGACAUGUUGAGCGGGAACAUAUUGAUGGAGGAGGAAGGCAUCGGCGAGGUUGUUCUUUUUCACACUCGUUGCCUUGUGAAGGAGCGGUGUGUUAACUUGAUGAUUGAUGAAAGUUGUACGGUCAAUAUGGUGAGCAUCGAGGUGGUGAAAGAAUUGGGGCUGAAUAUGACACCUCUUGAAAGACCGUACAUGCUGAAGUGGUUCAAAGGUGAAAUCAAAGUUACUCAUCAGAUUUUGCUAAUUUUUGAUUUGGGAAAAUACUGUUGUGCGGAAUUUUUUUUCAUUUGUCCUGUGACCAUUGUGUCAUGCCACCUAUUACUUGGGAACCCAUGGUGCAAGCAUGUUGGGGCUGUUCGGGAUGCCAAGAAAAAUAUUUAUUCUCUAUCAUGGAAGGGCCAACAAGUUUGUUUUAUUCCCAUGCCAACGGAUGUGUUCGCCGCAUAUUGGAAAAAUCGUUUGCGGAAAAGUAGAGAAGAGCUACAAGAAUUAAAAGAAGUGGAUGCACCAAUAAAGGGUCUGAAUCUUUCGGUAGAGAAGGUAAAAGAGGAUGAUAAUGCUAAGGGGCAGCGGUGGAGUGUUUUUAAAACACAGCGUAAGAUCAAGAAUCGUGCUUGCAAGUUGAUAAUUGAUGGUGACAGCUUUACAAAUGCCAUUAGCAAAGAUCUCUUGUGAUGCGGGGCUAACCCGGCGUAGGUCGAUCUUUCACAAUUGGAGUGGAUUCUCUGAAAGAACAUGAUGAAUACAGGGAAGAACGGGGAGAAAUCACAAGGGGAAAGACUCAAGAACAAGGCCAAUCACACAUCCACUACACAAUCAAACACACAAGAUCGCAAGGUACAUGAACAACAGAGGGAAAGAUACAAGGUAGAGUUCAUCUCCAAUAGGAGGUCUUGAUGGCAUCCGAGACAGAUCUUCCCAUGAUGGGUCUGGACGAUAUAUCCCACAUGAUCUUCUCACAUGGAGGUCUUGAACUCCAUGGGACUAGUGGUAUCUCUCUCUCUCUCUCUCUCUCUCUCUCUCAAGAGUAGAGGAAGGUAGGAGCAAAGCUCACACACAAAUGAGCUAUCACUUUGCUAACCCUAGCUAGGAGGAGGUAGGGGGUAUUUAUAGUCUAAGUGGGCGAAAGGGUAAGUGGGAAGGGAUACAAGGCCAAAGGCCCACGGCUGCGCACAGGCAGUUACCGGACGUCCGGUGGGUACCGGUCGUCCAGUGGCUCGUGGGAGACCGGACGUCCGCUAGUCGCCGGACGUCCGCUAAAUCCGUUCUGCUGAAGAGGCACCGGACAUCCGGUAUCUUUGGACUUCUGUUAAUAUUAUCGGCCGGACGUCCGCUCGCAGGGGCCGGACGUCCGCUCGCUGGGGGGUGCGGUAGCUUGCGUUGGCUGGGCUUCAGGCGUCGGUCGCCCAGUGGAGGCCCAACGUCCGCUCGCUGGCUCGUCAUCCGGUGGGGGCUGCACGUCCGCUCGUUGUAGCUUAUUUGGCAGCUCAUCUUCUUGCGUCUUCAUUUCCACGCUUCCCUCGCGGAUGGUGUAGUUGUACCUUGGCACUUGUACUCCUCAUCGUCGUCCGUGAAGCUCCGGCAAUACCUAUGCAUGCAAGCGAUAGGAAUGUCAAGUAGUAUACCAUCCUUGAAUGGGUCAAGUGAACACGUGUAAAGGAGAUAAUUCACCUUUGUGUACAUGAAGUAGAUGUGGCACGUAUCACUUACCAAAUGGACACUUGACAUGGUGAUGUCCGUAGGAUGCUCUGCAUCAUCUCCCCUCCCUUGGGAGAGAUCCGACCUCGGAUCAAAACCAAAUCACCACGGGAAAGAGAUGGCUUCGCCAUGUAAAAGUGGACGUUCACCAAGUAGUCAUCAUCUUCAAGCUUGAAGUGGGCACUCUCCAAUGUCGCACCGUCUUGUGAUUCCUUCAAAGGAAGCAAGAACAACAAACACUUCGAAAAACAAAUGUGGUUAGCGUUAGUACAAAACCAAGCAUUCAAGAGGUGACUCACCCAACAAGUCUCGUCAUCAAGCAAAGCAUGUGGUGUGACAAAGGAUUGUGACAUGCCAUGUAAGCGUAUCAAUUGAGAAAAAUCAAGGUUAUCAUGGAAACAAGCAUGUAAAUGUGAGGUAGUGAUGCAAGUAUGUGUCACAAGAGAAUAAGAAUCUACCUCAAGGUCAUAGAAAUCAUGCAUAAAGCGCUCGAUAAAUGGUCGAUGGUAGGCAUAAGAAGCAUUCACAACACCAAAUAAAAUGAAGUGUCUAAACACAUGGGUCAAGUGCAAGACAAUCCAAGCAUAAUGUGCAUAGGGCAUAGGGAAUAUAGUGUGGCACUAAACAGAAUAGAAAGAGCAAUUGUUCAUCAUGUGUGAGGCAAUCAAGGCAAGCAUGUGACAAGCAAUGGGACAUGGUAUAUGUGAAGAAGUGAUAUCGUUGCAACCAAACAUGUGAUAGGAGCAACUAAUCCAAGAAUUGGAUGCAACACACAAGCCAAAUAUAUCAUGAUGCAUGGAAGUGUGAAAAUGGAAAUCAAAGCAAGAUCUCUAACAAGUGCGCGAUCAAGUGGUCCAAGAUGACCAAUAAGUCUCAUGGUGCAAGUAACACAAGUAUUAUGAUCAUCAAUAUCCAUGCUCAUGAUUUGGGGGUUCUCAAAAGAGAAGGAUAUCACCUUGAAGGCAUGUCCUUGUGUGUCUUUCACAAUGCUGAAGUGGUAGGAAAUGUGGCGUACGAGCGAGUCAUGGUAGAAUGUAUGAGGCUCGCUCUCAAGAGCUUGAAUGGUCAACUCACGUGAAGUGGAAGUCGACAUGAAGUCCAAGUAUCCUGCACAUGCACACAACAAAACAAAGAGCAUAUGCGCAUGGUAGAUAAACACAUCAUCCAUCGUGAUGGUUCUCUUCUCUUGCACAUAACCAUUAGUAGUAAAAGUGCAUGAAGAAUAUGAUGCAACAAUCUUUAUGUUCAUGGCAGAAUGCAUAUAGUGCAAAGAAGGAAGACAAGCAUGCUUCAUAAGAAAUAUGUCAAAAUCCCAAUCAUAUGAGAGAACGCUAUGGGGGCAAACUCAUUAUCAAGACUAAAGGCGUAGUUGCACUCAACACAUGGUAAAUCGUCUAGCAUCAAAGAGGCAACACAAGGAGACACAACAUAAUCAAGCAUAGUAAUCAAGCCGUGCAAACUAGUGGAGCAAAGAUGCAACGCACUAGGGGAAAUCAUGGCAAUCAUGUCAUAUGAGAAAGUAGGAAGCAUAGGCGAUGCACAUGACAUAUCGCAAGAACGAGCACAAAGCAAGAUCAUAGUGUCAUCAUAGGGAUGGGUCACAAGUGGAACAUGGCAAUAACAAGUGAUAUCUCCACCAAGCUUGCAAAUACACACACAAGUAUGAGAAUAAUGAAUCAUGUGUAAUGCAAAAGCAUGGGUCACUAAUACAUGUCAAAAGCAUAGGAAUGAGCAUAUCAUGCAAAGUGAACAUGGCAAGAUGGGCAUAGAAUAUGUAGUGGACAAUAACCCAUAACCAUGUGAAGGCCAUGUAGAAGAAAUACGUGAAGUCGUUGUGCGAUGGGAACGGUGUGAAAGCCAAUUCAAGCGAUCCCAAGUCAUCGUUGCUCUCUAGAGCUCGUUUUGUCAACUCAUGGGAUUGUGAGGUUGACAAGUAUAUAUGGGUACCUACACAAAAGAGACACAAACCAAAGCAAUUGUGUGCAUGGUAAAUGUACACAUCAUCCAUCUUGAUGUGUAUGUGCACGUGAGAGUUAGCACAAGAUAAGCAUCCACUACUAGGGACAACCCUAGUAGUAGCGCGGGUUUUGAGGCUAUCAGUAGCGCGGGCAGCCGCGCUACUACUAUGGCGCUACAGCUAAAUAUUAGUAGUAGCACGGUCCGCACCCGCGCUACUACUACUACUAUAUCAGCAGCGCUUUUCUGGAAUACCCUACUAUUAAUUAGCUGUAGCAGUUUCCUAGCCCCUCGCUACUUCUAUAUCUUUCAUCAUCCCCCCCUCCCCCGCUUAUUACCCUGCUUCAGUUUCAAUAAACUCCAAUUUCCAGAUACUAAGUACUACUAGAUAUCAAUUUCAUAAAGUAUUAUAGGUACGAGGUAGUACUCCCUCCAUUCCAAAUUACUCGUCGUGGUUUUAGUUCAAACCACGAUGAGUAAUUUGGAACAGAGGGAGUACUUGAUAACAAUUUCAUAUAUAGUCAACAUGCAUCCUCAAGCAGUACUAGGUCAUAUCGACAACGAUCAUCAUAUGUAGUUCUAGAUGAUAUCGACGAGGAUCAUCAUAUGUAGUUCUAGAUGAUAUCGACGAUAAUCAUCAUAUGUAGUUCUAGAUGAUAUAGCGACACACACGUAUGUAGUUCUAGAUGAUAUCGACGACGAUCAUCAUCCUCAAGCCUGGGUGGUGGGUGUUCCUGAUAGUAAUUAGGAUUGCCUGUCCAAGACGAAGAUUCUUGAGAACGAGGAAUCUCUUCCACCCAACCGAGUUUAAGUGUGUGCAACCGUCUGUGUCCAUGCGGUAAGUACAUGUUGUGACGGAGCUCCUUGCGGUAAGGCAUUGUCCAGCGGAGCCUUCUUCAUCAGGCUCGAUACCAUAACUUACAGAUAGGCUCUUUGCCAAUUUCUCAAUAAGAAAAACAUAUCAAUUAAUAAAUUGCCUCGCACAUACUCUUGCAAAUAAGUAUAUAUGGAUUAUCUACACUAUUAAUAGUUCCUUAGAUUCUACACUAAUAAGCAUGUGAUCGGAGUCUAUACUAAAGCAUAUCAUCGACUAGAUUCCACACAACAUAUCAUUGGACUCCACACUAAGCAUAUCAUCGCACAAUUUGCAUUUGUAAGUAUAACAUACCAUAUCAUGUCGAUCGACCAUGGUACUUGUCAGGCGGGUCACUAAUGGCACCCCGACAUAGUUAGCAUGUGGAGGAAUUAUGUCCCAUAGGUUGGACACCUCCUCCUCGCUCAACCUCAUUCUUUUAGCUAUGAUGGCUUCAUGAAGUGGGUCCUCGUCAUCUUCAUCGAGUGGGUCCUCAUUAUCUUCAUCAUCUUCAUCAUCUUCAUCAUCUUCCACCAGGUUGAUAUAAAUGCCAGCCAGCUUGGGUCUUUCUGCUCUGAAGGAGAAGCUGAUCGACUCACCACCAGUAAGAUGCAUGCGGGCGAGAAAAUGGGCCCAUCCAUCUCCUCCAAUCUGCGACAUAUUGCGUCCUUUCUUGACCUCCAUAGUGUACAUCCCCCCAGGAGCCUCAAAUGUCAUAGUGUCUCCUAUCAGCUUGUUGAAUUUCAACCUCACAUUGCAUGGGACGAUCUGUGUAAAAAACCAAAAUGACACAAUGCAGUAAUGCCAACACUAAAAUUAAAAUAGUUGUUACAUUUCAUAUAAUUUCUUACCGCCGCAUGACGAAAAAUUGGUUGGAAGUAGAUGUUGAACAGCUUGCCAGUUGCAAGGCUGCUGGCGCACCUUGACUUGCACAGUCGACAUGGUGGUGGUGGUGGCGGCACCAUUUUCCUAAAGGAAUAUGAGCAAAUGAUUAACGAUCCACUUCACAGGAAAGAAAAACAGUAGCAUGUGAUAUUUUUUGCUCUUCUUCAGUUAUAUUUUCAUAGCUUACUAACACCUUCUAAAAUAGAACCAACAACUAGCAGGCAAAUGCCGAAUCUUCCGCGAGAAGCAAUUUGCUUCUUCUACCGCGAGAAGCAAUUUGAUGGACAAUUAUGUCCGUGGGGAGCUUCUCUUGAGCGUCGUAUGUCCGUGGGCGAAAACGCCUUGAAGUCGCUUGGCAAAGAUGCCAAGGGAGAUGGUGAAGUAUUUGAGCGGUUCUUGGUGUUGAGCUCUAGACCUUUAUGUUCUUGUUGGUGAUGGUGUCGAUGCCGGUGUGAUCUUGCCGGAGAUGGUAGCUCGGAAGCAUGUGCUCUUGAGCGUCUUCUCAAAGAUGAGGAAGAUCUCUUGUACACUAGUGCAGAACCGGGCUUUAGCGCCGGUUCAUAAGGGCCUUUAGUGCCGGUUCUACAACCGGCAAUAAAGAGUGGAGACUAAAGCGCCCCGCCCCUUUACUACCGGUUCGGCAUGAACCGACGCUAAAGUGCCACAACGUGGCACAAGCCAGGCCUGGGUGCUGGUAGACCAUUAGUACCGGUUGGUAACACCAACCGGUACUAAAUGUUUGGGGGUGUUUUGGUUUUAUUUUCAUUAAUUUUGUGUUUUCCAUUUAACUCUUUUUUGUUUGCUGGUAUUUUAUGAUACUACAAAUUGUACACGUUAUGCAUAUAUAUAAAUAGAUUUUCUCGUACGUAGAACCGCAUAUAUAUAUAAAUACCAUUAAUUAUUCAAACAUACACAUGUAUAUACAUAUACAAUUUCUCCUACAUGUUGCCUUGGUGCCUUCGGAGCACGAUGACAAGUGGUUCAUGGGGGCGGUAGCGGGUAAUAGUAUUUUCCUUUGGGAUCUAUGACCUGGUUGAGCAAAAAUCCCGCUACUUCCUCUUGAAGUGCUAGUAUACGCUCCGCUAGUAGGAGCUGCUCCCGCACCUCUCUGAACUGUUAAGAAGGAGAUCAAUAUGCAUGUGUAUUAGUUGUGUGACUAGAUAUCGAUAAUGGUGUGAAUAGUGUUCUGACAAACGUACCCAGUCCUGUCUUUGAGAUCUGCUCCUUUGGACGCCAUCAUGUGAAUGUUCUCGCAAACAUAGAAUGCACAACGAUCAUUCCCCUGCGCCUACUUCAGGGCCUUUACGAGAAUGAAAUUGAAUCAGAUAAUGAUUAAUCAAGCAUGAUAAUUAAUUAAUGGUAUUGAAACAAGAAUUAAAGAGAUGGUAGCUAGCUAGCUAGCUAGUACUACUUAAUUACUUACCUUUGGUCGAUACUAAAACAACUUUUUUGCCCAUUUGCCUGGAGUCACUUUGAUGAAAUUUUCCCAAGCCCUGCCCGCCGGCAAAGAAAAUUAAUAAAGGGGUUAUUAAAUAGUUCAUAUCAGGAAAUGAUAACCCACAAGUGUAGGGCAUCGCAACAGCUUUCGAGGGUAAAGUAUUCAACCCAAAUUUAUUGAUUCGACACAAGGGGAGCCAAAGAAUAUUCUUGAGUAUUAACAGUUGAGUUGUCAAUUCAACCACACCUGGAUAACUUAGUAUCUGCAGCAAAGUAUUUAGUAGCCAAAGUGGUAUGAUAAUAAUAGUAACGGUAGCAAAAGUAAAGAUAAAUGUUUUUGGGUUUUUGUAGUAGUUGUAACAGUAGCAACGGAAAAGUAAAUAAGCGAACAACAAUAUGUUAAAAGCUCGUAGGCAAUGGAUCAGUGAUGGAUAAUUAUGCCGGAUGCGAUUCCUCAUGCAAUAGUUAUAACAUAGGGUGAUAUAGCACUAGCUCCAAUUCAUCAAUGUAAUGUAGGCAUGUAUUCCGUAAAUAGUCAUACGUGCUUAUGGAAAAGAACUUACAUGACAUCUUUUGUCCUACCCUCCCAUGGAAGCGGGGUCCUAGCAGAACCUAAGGGAUAUUAAGGCCUCCUUUUAAUGGAGAGCCGGAACAAAGCAUUAGCACAUAAUGAAUAGAUGAACUCCUCAAACUACAGUCAUCACCGAGAAGUAUCCCGAUUAUUGUCACUUCGGGGUUGUCGGAUCAUAACACAUAAUAGGUGACUAGAGACUUGCAAGAUAGGAUCAAGAACACACAUAUAUUCAUGAAAACAUAAUAGGUUCAGAUCUGAAAUCAUGGCACUCGGGCCCUAGUGACAAGCAUUAAGCAUAGCAAAGUCAUAGCAACAUCAAUCUCAGAACAUAGUGGAUACUAGGGAUCAAACCCUAACAAAACUAACUUCAUUACAUGGUAAAUCUCAUCCAACCCAUCACCGUCCAGCAAGCCUACAAUGGAGUUACUCACGCACGGUGGUGAGCAUCGUGAAAUUGGUGAUGGAGGAUGGUUGAUGAUGAUGACGGCGACGAAUCCACCUCUCCGGAGCCCCGAACGGACUCCAGAUCAGCCCUCCCGAAAGAGAUUAGGGCUUGGCGGUGGCUCCGUGUCAUAAAACACGAUGAAACUUUCUCUCUGAUUUUUUUCUCCCCGAACGUGAAUAUAUGGAGUUGGAGUUGAGGUCGGUGGAGGUCCAGGGGGCCCACGAGAUAGGAGGCCGCGCCCUAGGGGGGGCGCGCCCCCUGUCUCGGGGACAGCCUGUGGGCCCCCUGGUCUUGAUUCUUUGGCCAAAAAUUCUUAUUAAUUCCAAAAAGUGCAUCCGUGGAUUUCCAGGACAUUCCGAGAACUUUUCUUUUCUACACAUAAAACAACAUCAUGGCAGUUCUGCUGAAAAUAGCGUCAGUCCGGGUUAGUUUCAUUCAAAUCAUGCAAGUUAGAGUCCAAAACAAGGGCAAAAGUGUUUGGAAAAGUAGAUACGUUGGAGACGUAUCAACUCCCCAAGCUUAAACCUUUGCUUGUCCUCAAGCAAUUCAGUUGACAAACUGAAGGUGAUAAAGAAAAACUUUUACAAACUCUGUUUGCUCUUGUUGUUUUAAACAUGAAUAGCCAGCAUUCAAGUUUCAGCAAAUAUUAUGAACUAACCAUACUCACAAUAACAAAUAGGUCUCACAAUUACUCAUAUCAAUAGCAUAAUCAGCUACCGAGCCAUAAUAAUAAAACUCAGAUGACAACACUUUCUCAAAAUAAUUAUAACAUGAUAUAACAAAAUGGUAGCUCGCUAGCCCUUUCUGAGACCGCAAAACAUAAAUGCAGAGCACCUUUAAAGAUCAAGGAGUGACUAAACAUUGUAAUUCAUUGUAAGAGAGAUCCAGUCAAGUCAUACCCAAUAUAAACCAAUAGUAAUGAAUGCAAAUGACAAUGUGCUCUCCAGCGGGUCCUUUUAAUAAGAAGGGUGAUGACUCAACAUAAAAAUAAAUAAAUAGGUAGGCCCUUCGCAGAGGGAAGCAGGGAUUUGUAGAGGUGCCAGAGCUCAAUUUUAAAAUAGAGAUUGAAUAACAUUUUGAGCGGCAUACUCUCGCUGUCAACACAACAACUAUGAGAUGGCUGUAUCUUCCAUACUAGAUGCAUUAUAGGCAGUUCCCAAACAGAAUGGUAAAGGUUUAUACUCCCCCAACCACCAACAAGCAUCAAUCCAUGGCUUGGUCGAAACAACGAGUGCCUCCAACUAACAAUAGCCCUGGGGGAGUUUUGUUUAAUUAUUUUGAUUUUCUUUGAUCUUUUUGGAUCAUGGGACUGGGCAUCCCGGUUACCGGCCCUUUCUCGUGAAUGAGGAGCGGAGUCCACUCCUCUUGAGAAUAACCCACCUAGCAUGGAAGAUAUAGGCAGCCCUAGUUGUAACAUGAGCUGCUCGAGCAUACAAAACAGAAUUUCAUUUGAAGGUUUGGAGUUUAGCACAUACAAAUUUACUGCCGCAUAUAGGAAGGUAUAGUGGACUCAUAUGGAACAACUUUGGGGUUUAAGGAGUUUGUUUGCACAAGCAGUAUUCCCGCUUAGUACAGGUGAAGGCUAGCAAAAGACUGGGAAGCGACCAACUGAGAGAGCGACAAUAGUCGUAAACAUGCAUUAAAAUUAAUUUACAUCGAAUACAAGCAUGGCUAGGAUAUAAUCCACCAUGAACAUAAAUAUCGUGAAGGCUAUGUUGAUUUGAUUCAACUACAUGCGUGGACAUGUGCCAAGUCGAGUCACUCAAUUCAUUCAAAGGAGGAUACCAUCCCACCAUAUCACAUCAUAAUCAUUCUAAUAGCAUGUUGGCACGCAAGGUAAAGCAUUAUAACUCGUAGCUAAUCAAGCAUGACACAAGCAACUAUAAUCUCUAGAUGUCAUUGUGAAUAUGUUUACUUCAUAAUAGCUGACUCAGGAACGAUGAAUCAUCAUAUUUACAAAAACAAGAGAGGUCGAGUUCAUACCAGCUUUUCACAUCCCAAGAAGUCCAUCAUAUAUCAUCAUUAUUGCCUUUCACUUGCACGACCGAACGAUGUGUAUAAUAAUAAGAGUUCACGUGCAUUGGACUAAGCUAGAAUCUACAAGCAUUCAACUGAAAAGAGAAGAGAAGUAAUAUGGGCUCUAAGUUAAAUAAACAAUCAUGCAUAUGAGAGACACUAAGCGUUUUCAAUAUGGUCUUCUCGACCUCCAAAAGGAAGAAAAGAAAAUAAAACUAUUUACACGGGAAAGCUCCCAACAAGUAAGAAGAAGAACUAUAAAUCUUUUUGGGUUUUCAUUUUAAUUUCUACUACAAGCAUAGAAUUUAAAGUAACUAUUUUUUUUGGUUUUUCUUAAAGUUUAUCAAACACACAAGAAGAAAGCUAGAAAAAGAAAUUUAAACUAGCAUGGAUAAUACAAUGAAAGAGUAUGAGAACCCACGACUAGUGUGUGAACAUGAAUGUAAAGUCGGUGAGAAAUACGUACUCCCCCAAGCUUAGGCUUUUGGCCUAAGUUGGUUUAAUACCAAUGACCGCCUGGCUGAUAUCCAUAAGUAAAACUGGGGUUGUACUGAGAUGCAGAGGCAACAGCCUCCUGAGCAGCAGCGUGUUGGCGAGCUGCCUCCAUUCCCCUCUCGUAUUCAGUUGCUUCCUCCCUGGUGACAACAUAUCUUACUUUUGCUUGAUAAUCAAAAAGGUAGGGGGCAGGAAGAGUAAUAGGGACGACAUUGCGCCUGUCAUAGAUUAGUCGAUAAUGGAGGAAUUGUUCAUUCCUCUCAAGAAAAUUAUAAUCAAACAUAGCUUGUUUAUCCAAAUAAACAGGAGGUGUAAUCAUAUCCCCCUCUCAUGGGGCUAUAUUAAGAAAAUUAGCCACACGAGUUGCAUAAAUUCCUCCAAAUAAAUCCGCCCUUCUACUAUUAUUCUGCAACCUACGUGCAACUAUUGCCCCCAAGUUAUAACCUUUAUAACCUGACACAACACUCUUGAGGUCACAAAGAUCAGGGACACACAUGUGACAUGCUUCGUCCUUACCGUUAAUGCAUCUACCAAUAAAGAGAGAAAAAUAGUGUAUAGCAGGAAAAUGAAUGCUCCCUGUGGUAGCUUGUGCUAUGUCCCUAGAUUCUCCCACAGUAAUACUAGCAAGAAAAUCUCUAAAUUCAGAUUUGCGAGGAUCAUUAAUAUUACCCCACUGCGGGAGUUUGCAAGCAGUUGUGAAAUCCUCUAAAUCCAUGGUAUACGAUGUAUCAUAAAUAUCAAACAUGACACUAGGAGAAUUACGCACACAGAUAUAUUGCAACCUCCGCACAAAGGAAUCAGUCAAUUGAUAGUAUUGAGUACACUUAUCUUGUAAGAAGUCCUCCAGCUCGGUGUUACGCACAUACGCAUCAAAUUCCUCCUUGAAGCAUGUUUCGACCAUAAAAUCAUCAGAUGGCCACUCACAAGCUCGUACAUUUGCGUCCCUCGGCAAUUUAACAUCUUGCUCACGUAUAGCAAUCCUUGGCCCUUUCUUUGCCGAGGAACCACCUUGGUACAUUCUUCUAAGCAUAUUUCAUUCUCUGAAAUUUCUGAAAUUUUAGUAACUUCAAAAUAAAAGUGAAUAAAACUAAGCAAGAUUGGUAGCAACUACUCCUACAAGUGCCUAGAGCCUAUAUUAUGCAUUGGAAUUGCUUGGGACAUCAAAAAUUUGACACGCAAGCUCAAGAACAUGGUCACCUAUACAUCAAAACUUUGAAAUGAAUAAAGCACUAGAGCAAAAACUAAUUGGACCAAUGGAGGAGUCACAUACCAAGUAACAAUCUCCCAAAGCAGUUUUGUGAAUGGAGCUUUGAGCUAGGAGAUCGAAAAUCGUAGCAAAACGAGCUAGAACUCGUGCUUGAGCUGGAUGGGGUUUUUUUGGGUAGAAGAUGAAGUGUGUGGGUGCUGGCAUAAGUGGAGGGGGCCCACCAGGGGCCCACGAGAUAGGGGGGCACGCCUAGGGGGUGGGCGCGCCGUCCACUCUCGUAGCCUGGUGCUUGCCCCUCCUGCAGAGAUUUCAGUGCCUAAGAUCCUCAAAUAUUCCAGAAAAAAUCAUACUAAAUUUGCAUGGCAUUUGGAGCACUUUUAUUUUCGAACUAUUUUUUAAUGCACAGAUAAUUCAGAAAACAGACAGAUAAUACUAUUUUUGCUUUAUUUAUUCUAAAUAACAGAAAGUAAAAAGUGGGUACAGAAGGUUGUGCCUUCUAGUUUCAUCCAUCUCGUGAUCAGCAAAAUGAAUCCACUAACAAGGUUGAUCAAGUCUUGUUAACAAACUCAUUCCGAAUAACACGGAACCGGAGAAAUUUCGAAUAACACUAAGUUACCUCAAGGGGGAUAUGAAAAUCCCCAACAAUAAGAUUAUCAUACUUUUUCUUGACACUAGGGAGAGGAAAUUCAAAACCUCCAAUAAUAAUAGUUGGAGCUUUUUCAAUAGAAUUGAUGCUAUGAACUUGAGAUAGUUUCCUCGGAAAGUGUACCGUAUGCUCAUUACCAUUAACAUCAAAAGUGACAUUGCCUUUGUUGCAAUCAAUAACAGCCCCUGCAGUAUUAAGAAAAGGUCUACAAGGGAUAAUAGACAUACUAUCGUCCUCGGGAAUAUCAAGAAUAACAAAGUCCGCUAAGAUAGUGACAUUUGCAACCACAACAGGCACAUCCUCACAAAUACCGACAGCUAUAGCAGUUGAUUUAUCAGCCAUUUGCAAAGAUAUUUCAGUAGGUGUCAACUUAUUCAAUUCAAGUCUACGAUAUAAAGAGAGAGGCAUAACACUAACACCGGCUCCAAGGUCACAUAAAGCAGUUCUAACAUAAUUUCUUUUAAUGGAACAAGGUAUAGUUGGUACACCCGGAUCUCCAAGUUUCUUUUGUAUUCCACCCUUAAAAGUGUAAUUAGCAAGCAUGGUGGAAAUUUCAGCUUCUGGUAUCUUUCUUUUAUUUGUGAUGAUAUCCUUCAUGUACUUAGCAUAAGGAUUUACUUUCAGCAUAUCAGUUAAGCGCAUACGUAAGAAAAUAGGUCUAAUUAUUACAGCAAAGCGCUCAAAAUCCUCAUCAUCCUUAGACUUGGAUGGUUUAGGAGGAAAGGGCAUGGGUUUCUGAACCCAUGGUUCUCUUUCUUUACCGUGCUUCCUAGAAACAAAAUCUCUCUUAUCAUAACGUUGAUUCUUUGAUUGUGGGUUAUCAAGAUCAACAUCAGGUUCAAUCUCUACAUCAUUCUUUUUUUCUAGGUUGAGCAUCAACAUUAACAUUGUCACUAGGUUCAUGUUCAUCACCUUGUUGAGUUUCAGCAUCAGAGAUAGAAAGAGCAUUGGGAUUCUUAGGUGUGUCUACAGAAAGGUCUACAUGCAAAGUUCUAUCGUAUUUCUUUUUCUUCUUUUUAGAAGAACUAGGUUCCUCUAAAUUAUUUCUCUGAGAAUCUUGCUCGAUUCUCUUAGGGUGGCCUUCAGGAUACAAAGGUUCCUGAGUCAGUCUACCAGUUCUAGUAGCCACUCUAACAGCAAAGUCAUUUUUAUUAUUUAAUUCAUCAAGCAAAUCAUUUUGAGCUUUAAGUACUUGCCCAGCUUGAGUAGCAACCUUUGAAGCAUAUUUUCUAACGAGGUGAAGUUCAUCCUUAACUCUAGCUAUAUUAUCGCCUACACGUCCUAUCUCGGAAGCAUUAUUCUUUAACUCUCUACCAACAUAAGCAUUAAAACUUUCUUGUCUAGCCACAAAGUCAUCAAAUUCAUCUAAGCAUGGGAAAUGAAAUUUAGUAGAGGGGAUUUCAACUUUAUCAUAUCUAUAGAGAGAAUUUACCUUUACUAUGUGUGUCGGGUUAUCAAGACAAUGUGGUUCUUCAUCAGGUGGUAUAUUAAGACCAUGUAUUUGUUCAAUAGGUGGUAAAUUCCUAACAUCUUCAGCUUCAAUAACUUUUUCUUUCAUUAAUUUCUUUGCCUCUUGCAUAUCUUCGAGACUGAGAAAUAAAACACCUCUCUUCUUCGGAGUGGGUUUAGGAAUAGGCUCUGGAGUUGGCUCAAUUGGUUCAGGAAUUACUUCAGGAAUUGGCUCAGGAAGAGUCCAAUUAUUUUCAUUGGUCAACAUAUUAUUCAAUAAUAUUUCAUCUUCGUCGACUGUUCUUUCCCUGUUAACACAACCAGCACAACUAUCAAAGUAGUCCUUGGAAGCAUCGGUUAGUCCAUUAUAAAAGAUAUCAAGUAUUUUGUUUUUCUUAAGAGGAUGAUCAGGCAAAGCAUUAAGUAAACGGAGAAGCCUCCCCCAAGCUUGUGGGAGACUCUCUUCUUUGAUUUGCACAAAAUUAUAUAUUCCCCGCGAGGCAACUUGUUUCUUAUGAGCAGGGAAAUAUUUAGCAGAGAAGUAACAAGUCAUAUCCUGGGGACUACGCACACAACCAGGAGCAAGAGAAUUAUUCCAAGUCUUAGCAUCACCCAUUAAUGAGAACGGAAAUAUCUUAAGGAUAUAAAAAUAGCGAGAAUUCUCAUCAUUAGUAAACAGGGUAGCUAUAUCAUUCAACUUGGUAAGAUGUGCCACAACAGUUUCAGAUUCAAGGCCAUAAAAAGGAUCAGAUUCAAUUAAAGUAAUAAUUUCAGGAUCAACAGAGAAUUCAUAAUCCUUAUCAGUAACACAGAUAGGUGAAGUAGCAAAAGCAGGGUCAGGUUUCAUUCUAGCAUUAAGAGACUGUUGCUUCCAUUUAGCUAAUAAUUUCUUAAGAUCAUAUCUAUCAUUGCAAGCGAAGAUUUCCCUAGCAGCUUCUUCAUCAUAACAUAACCCUUAGGAACAACAGGUAAUACAUAAUCAUUGGGAGAACCUUCAUCAUCACUAUCAUCAAUAAUAGGUUCUUCAGUAUUUUCAUUCCCCCUAACUCUAGCAAGUUGUUCAUCAAGAAAUUCACCGAAUGGCAAAGUAGUAUCACGCACAGAAGUAGUUUCAUCAUGCAUAGCAGAAGUGGCAUCAUCAAUAACAUGCAACAUAUUAGAAUUCAUAGCAGUAGCAGGUUUAGGUGUCACAAGCCUACUAAUAACGGAAGGAGAAUCUAGUGCAGAGCUAGAUGGCAGUUCCUUACCUCCCCUCGUAGUUGAGGGCAAAAUCUUGGUUUUAGCGUCUUUCAAGUUCUUCAUAGUGAUCAACAGAUAUAAAUCCCAAGUGACUCGGUGAAUAGAGCUAUGCUCCCCGGCAACGGCGCCAGAAAUUAGUCUUGAUAACCCACAAGUGUAGGGGAUCGCAACAGCUUUCGAGGGUAAAGUAUUAAACCCAAAUUUAUUGAUUCGACACAACGGGAGCCAAAGAAUAUUCUUGAGUAUUAGCAGUUGAGUUGUCAAUUCAACCACACCAAGAUAACUUGGUAUCUGCAACAAAGAAUUUAGUAGCAAAAGUGGUAUGAUAAUAAUAGUAACAGUAGCAAAAGUAAAGAUAAAUGUUUUUGGGUUUUUGUAGUAGUUGUAACCGUAGCAACGGAAAAGUAAAUAAGCGAAGAACAAUAUGUGAAAAGCUCGUUGGCAAUGGAUCAUUGAUGGAUAAUUAUGCCGGAUGUGAUUCCUCAUGCAAUAGUUAUAACAAAGGGUGGUAUAGAACUAGCUCCAAUUCAUCAAUGUAAUGUAGGCAUGUAUUCCGUAAAUAGUCAUAUGUGCUUAUGGAAAAGCGGGGUCCUAGUGGAAACUAAGGGAUAUUAAGUCAUCCUUUUAAUAGAGAACCGGAACAAAGCAUUAGCACAUAGUGAAUACAUGAACUCCUCAAACUACAGUCAUCACCGAGAAGAAUCCCGAUUAUUGUCACUUUGGGGUUGUCGGAGCAUAACACAUAAUAGGUGACUAUAGACUUGCAAGAUAGGAUCAAGAACACACAUAUAUUCAUGAAAACAUAAUAGGUUGAGAUCUGAAAUCAUGGCACUCGGGCCCUAGUGACAAGCAUUAAGCAUAGCAAAGUCAUACCAACAUCAAUAUCAGAACAUAGUGGAUACUAGGUAUCAAACCCUAACAAAACUAACUUGAUUACAUGGUAAAUCUCAUCCAACUCAUCACCGUCCAGCAAGCCUAUGAUAGAGUUAGUCACGCAUGGCGGUGAGCAUCAUGAAAUUGGUGAUGGAGGAUGGUUGAUGAUGACGACAGCAACAAAUCCCCCUCUCUGGAGCCCCGAACGGACUCUGGAUCAGCCCUCCCGAGAGAGAUUAGGGCUUGGCGGCGGCUCCGUGUCGUAUAACGCGAUGAAACUUUCUCUCUGAUUUUUUUCUCCCCAGAUGUGAAUAUAUGGAGUUGGAGUUGAGGUCGGUGGAGGUCCAGUGGGCCCACGAGAUAGGAGGCCGUUCCCUAGAGGGGGCGCCCCCCUGUCUUGUGGACAGCCUGUGGGCCCCCUAUUCUUCAUUCUUUCGCUAAAAAUUCUUAUUAAUUCCAAAAAGUGCCUCCGUGGAUUUCCAGGACAUUCCGAGAACUUUUCUUUUCUACACAUAAAACAACAUGAUGGCAGUUCUGCUUUAAAUAGCGUCAGUCCGGGUUAGUUUCAUUCAAAUCAUGCAAGUUAGAGUCCAAAACAAGGGCAAAAGUGUUUGAAAAAGUAGAUACGUUGGAGACAUGUCAGGAAGUGACGAACUAAAUAGGCCGAGAUAUAGUUAAUAAUGAUUGAAAUUACCUGUUGACUAUCCCCUUGACGAUGGUGUAGUAUUUUUCUUCUUUAAGUAGUGAGUCCAGUAUUUCAACUGUUCCUUCGUCAACUUUAAUGUCUAACAAGAUCCAGUGGAAACUGCAUGCGCACACGUUUGCAUGUCUUAAUUAAGCGGGCAUGUGCAUAACACUAAUCAACUACCGUAAACCCUAUACACUUAAUUAUUAAUAUCUAGCUAGCUAGUAAGCAAAAACAGAAUUUGUAGUACAAGACAGUGUGACUCACAAGAAGUUGUAAGGAAGUAGUAUAUCUUCAUUGGUAUAGAGGCGCUUGAAGAACUCCAACAUGUUUUCCUCUAAACUUACUCGACAAGUUGGAAGAUUCCAUGUGUACUCAUUAAUGCUAUUUGGGUCAAUGAACCCAAUGCCAUAGCGUCCAGAUUUUUUCAUUUCAUACAUCUUCAUCCUGCAUAUAAUACCACACAAAAUAAUAUAUAGUGAGGAUAAUUACAUGUAAUGAUUGAUCAAAAUGAUCACUAUAGCUAGCUUGAGACUUAAAUUACAGAAAUAAAUCACUUAUAAACAAUAGCAACUGACGAUGGAUUUGUCGAGUGCGUCUUGAUUGUAUAACUGAAAUAGUUCUGAAUACUCAACGGGCGGAGCUUUCUCAUGGAAGUAAUGCUCCUCCUUGACAUUCACCAUGAGGGACUCUCGAUUGGAAGUCUUGGUAAUGUUCAUGAACCAUUGAUGCAAUUCAUACAUUCUCGUUGGGAGGUUCUUGACCUUGUCUGGCUCGACCAAAGGUUGGCCCCGGACAUAUUUCCGUUUUAUUUCCUCCUCUCUAAGCGGAGACAUGGGCUCGAUUUCGAGGAGUUGUCCAACAGAGAUCUUGAGCAUUUCAGCCUGCAUUAUAUGCUCCUCCGUUAUUACCACAUCGCCCAGCUGGAAAACGUUAAUGGUUUGCCCACAAUCAUAUUGGGCGCGCGUACUCCUGUCAUGUGUUGUUUGCACAACAAGCGGGGGGAUCGAUUGCGCCACCUGUUCUCCCAGCUGGGGAACGGUUUUCCCACAUUUUUUGCCAGCUGCUUGUUGGCUCGAGAUUGAGCUGGCUUCCUUCUGUAGUUGUGCUCGAUGUGACUUCCUGAUUUGGCGCUCAUAGUCUGAGACAACAGGCUUGGGAGCUGGUGCUCUAGCCAUAUGAAUGAAGUGGUCAAUCUUUUCCUCAGGCACUUUCUCCCUUGGCGGCGGUGCCGGUUUCGGUCCAAAAUGGGCGUCCACUUGGGCCUGCACUAUGGCUGUGUUUCGCUCCUCGAUCAUGUCGUAAGGCCUCUAAGCAAGAGGAGCGAGGCUUGGACCAUAUUUAUAUCGCUUGUCUCUGCCUGUACUUCCUGUACUACCUCGAAUCGUACUGCUACACAGCAUAGCUGCGGCGUGUCUCUUCUGCGAUUGCUGAGACGGUGGAGAUGGCUGACGUGGCUGAGUUGGAGCAGGAGGAGUGGCCUGACGCUGUGCCGGACAUGAAGCAGGAGGUGUGGCCUGACACAGUGUCGGACUUGAAACCAGAGGAGUGGCCUGACAUUGUGCCGAACUUGAAGCAGGUGUCUGCUCAUGCGUUCGGGGACUUGGAGGAGGUGGCGGACUUCGAGGAGGAGUCGGCUCACGCGUUCGUGGACUUGGAGGAGCGGGAGUCUACUGACUCGGUGGUGGACUUCGAGGAGGAGUCGGCAGACGACGCGGUGUCGGUGGACUUGCUCGUCCUCCAAGUAUUGGAGAACCUGACGUCCAUAGCAGCCAUGUAGCGAUGGAUGUGCUCGUCCUCCUCCCUGACACGGCGACGCACCACCUCCGGCAGGCCGGCUCCCUCUGCACCAAAUGUGGCCCACACGAACACCACCAAAGGAGAUCAGGGUCGAUGACGGGACCCGAGGCCGGGUUCCUCACCAAGCGGCGCGCCCCUCCAGGUAGCACCUCCUAGUGCCAGCCCGGCGGAGCCUAGUCCCGGACAUGGGGCCUAUGAAGCAGGACGUCGUCGCGAACGGGUCGACGGCUAGGAUGCGGGCCGGGCAUAUCGUCGAGAACAAAUACUAUAUGCCCGCAAAAAAUAACAUUUCUUAAAUGAUUGGAUUUUGAUAACUAAAAUUCUAUAUAUAUGCAAAUUCUAACAAUUUGACAUUAAUCUAUAACAUUUCUAAAACUAAUUCUAAAAUUUCUAACAUUUCUGAUUAUAUAACUAACAUUUCUAUAACAUUUCUAAUAUUUAUAUAACUAAAAAACAGAAAAAUUGCUAACAUUCCUAUAAAUAUUUCUAUAACUAAAAACAGAAAAAAUUAUAACAUUUCUAUAUAACUAAUAUUUCUAAUAUUUCUAUAACUAAAAAACAGAAAAAAUUCUAACAUUUCUAUAGAUAUUUCUAUAACUAAAAAACAGAAAAAAUUUCUAUAACUAAAAUUUAUAAAAAAUAAACUAGUGUAUGUGUGUGUGUGUGUGGACAUGGCGACCGGGGCAUGAGCUCACCGGCGAGGCGNNNNNNNNNNNNNNNNNNNNNNNNNNNNNNNNNNNNNNNNNNNNNNNNNNNNNNNNNNNNNNNNNNNNNNNNNNNNNNNNNNNNNNNNNNNNNNNNNNNNNNNNNNNNNNNNNNNNNNNNNNNNNNNNNNNNNNNNNNNNNNNNNNNNNNNNNNNNNNNNNNNNNNNNNNNNNNNNNNNNNNNNNNNNNNNNNNNNNNNNNNNNNNNNNNNNNNNNNNNNNNNNNNNNNNNNNNNNNNNNNNNNNNNNNNNNNNNNNNNNNNNNNNNNNNNNNNNNNNNNNNNNNNNNNNNNNNNNNNNNNNNNNNNNNNNNNNNNNNNNNNNNNNNNNNNNNNNNNNNNNNNNNNNNNNNNNNNNNNNNNNNNNNNNNNNNNNNNNNNNNNNNNNNNNNNNNNNNNNNNNNNNNNNNNNNNNNNNNNNNNNNNNNNNNNNNNNNNNNNNNNNNNNNNNNNNNNNNNNNNNNNNNGCGACGAGGGGCGGGACGGCCAGGGCGGCGACGCGUCGGGUGCGGCGACGGCGUCGAUCGGGGCAGGCGGCGUGUCGUCGACGGAGAGGAAGAAACAGAGGGAAACUGAAUUUUUUUCAAGUGUUGUAUAUAUACGAUGGACCUUUAGUACCGGUUAGUGGCACCAACCGGUACAAAAGAUCUGUUUUGGCCAGGCCAAGCGGUGGGAAGCACCAACCCUUUAGUACCGGGUCGUGGCACCAACCUGUACUAAAGACCCCCUCUUUAGUACCGGUUGCAGCCACCACCCGGUACUAAAGGGGGUGCGCUGGCGCAGUGCAGUGCGGCAAGUUUAGUCCCACCUCGCUAGCCGAGGGGCGACUGCACUGGUUUAUAAGCCCCAGUGCGGUAGCUCUCUCGAGCUCCUCUGCAAGGUAGGCCUACUAGGCCUACCUGUUCACUGCUGCCCUAUGGGCCUACCGGGCCUUUACGGGCCUGCAUCCUGGCCCAAGAAAACGUUGUGUUUCUAGUCGUAUGCAGGCCGCUCUGGCCCAGUAGGCGGGCUUUUUUAUUUUCUUAAUUUCUUUGCUUUAUUUAUUUUUGUUUUAUUUAUUUUUGAGUUGUUUUUGCUGUAUUUAGAGUUUCUUUGUGAAUAUUUUUGCUUUAGGUACAAAUAAUUACAAACUUUCUGUUAGUGCCUGUAGUUUUCAAAUUUGAAUAGUUUAAAUUUUGAAUUAUUUGAAAUUUGUGUGAAUCACUAGUUUGUGAAUAACUUAACUUUGAAAAUAGAUUUUUCAGUGAUUCUUUUUUCUUAUGUUUAAUAUUAGUGUGUUUUAUCAUUAUAUUCAAUUUGGUAAUGCUUAGGUUAUUUAAAAAUGAAAUUCCUUUGUAACAGAUGAGUUUUCGUCCGAAACCCUGAUACUUUGAAAGAGAUUGUCCAGUUUGUACACGAAGUGCAUCUAGUUUUUGCCGUAACCCUCUUUACUUUUUUGCAUAUGCUAUGUGGGUGAAAUUAUGAUACCAUGCCAACUUUCAACCUUUUCUGAGUUCAUUUGAAAUGCUUUUCAAUUUCAGGGUCAUUUAGCUGAAAAAAUCAGUAAAUGCAUAAAAGAAUUUGUUUGCACAUAAAAUUUCUUCGCGUUUCAAAUGCCAAAACACAUAACUACCCUAACUAUUACAGAGAUUCCCUCCUGGGUGUGAAACACAGAAGAAAGUGAUGAUAGUGAAGCCGAUCACAUCCCAGAUCUUUGGGUGUGAAACUUUUUCUUCGCGUGUGUCCCUUUGCGCCGUAGCCAUGGAAAAUCUUCAUCAUUUAACUGGAUGCUCGGGUCAAUAUUCACUGUGAAUGGAGCAAUUUAAUCAAACUUUUCAUAAUAUUCUGACAUGUCUGUCUUGUCAUCCACUCCCACGAUGUUUCUUUCCCCUGAAAGAACUAUGUGGCGCUUUGGCUCGUCGUAUGAUCCAUUCGCUUCCUUAUCUUUUCUUUUUCUGGGCCUGGUAGACAUGUCUUUCACAUAAAAAACAUGCGCCACAUCAUUGGCUAGGACGAAUGGUUCGUCUGCAUACGCAAGAUUGUUGAGAUCCACUGUUGUCAUUCCGUAUUGCGGGUCUUCCGUUACCCCGCCUCGUGUCAUAUUGACCCAUUUGCACCGAAACAAAGGGACCUUCAAACCACCUCCAUAGUUAAGUUCCCAUAUGUUCUCUAUGUAACCAUAAUAUGUUUCCUUUCCCGUGUUGGUUGUUGCAUCAAAGCGGACACCACUGUUUUGGUUGGUGCUCUUCUUAUCUUGGGCGAUCGUGUAAAAUGUAUUCCCAUUUAUCUGGUACCCUUUGAAAGUCAUUAUAUUCGAAGAUGUUAACAGGGAGAACGAGUAUAGGUCAUCUUCAAUAUCACCAUCAUGCAUGGCACGUUUCUGCAAUCAACCGGCGAAAGUCCUCGUUUGUUCACGUGUACUCCAGUCGUCAGACUUCUCCGGGUGUUUGGAGUGUAGAAAAUUCUUGUGUUCCUCCAUAUACGGAGCCACCAAGGCGGAAUUCUGUAGAACUAUGUAGUGUGCUUCAGUGAGAGAAUGCCCAUCCAUACAUAUUAUUUGAUCCCCUCCUAGCGUGCCGUUUCCAUCCAGUCUGCCCUUAUGUCGCGAUUCAGGAACACCAGUCGGCUUAAGGUCAGGAAUAAAGUCAAUACAAAACUCAAUGACCUCCUCAUUUUCAUGGCCGUUCGAGAUGCUUCCUUCUGGCCUAGCACGGUUAUGAACAUAUUUCUUCUAGACUCCCACGAACCUCUAACAUGCGCUGCAACUUCUUCUUCUUCAAAUCACUUGCGUAGUUUCUCUUUGCAUCGGCAAUGGCACGACCUAGAUCAUCAGCGGGCUCAUCUGAUGCCUCUUCUUCAGCUUCUUCCCGCAUUGCCGGCUCAACUUCUUCCCCCGUUGUUGUAUCAUCGUAUUCAGGGAACCCAUGGCCAGGAUAGCUGUCGUCAUCCUCUUCUUCUUCAUUGUCUUCCAUCAUAACCCCUCUUUCUCCGUGCUUGGUCCAAACAUUAUAGUGGGGCAUGAAACCGGACUCAAAUAGGUGGACGUGAAUGGUUCUUGACGUAGAGUAAUUGUGAUCAUUCUUACAACCAGCACAUGGACAAGGCAUAAAACCAUCCGCCCGCUUGUUUGCCUCAGCGGCAAGCAGAAAAGUAUGCACGCCAUUAAUGAACUCGGGAGAGCAUCGGUCAUCAUACAUCCAUUGUCGGCUCAUCUUCAUUACACAACACCGAAUAGACCAAAUUAAUACAAGUUCAUUCAUAAAGUUCAUAUACAACACUUAAUUAAAUGCAACAUACAAAUAACUCUCUAGCUAAAGAAUUUAAAUGCAACAACAAAUGCGAUCAAGAUCGCAACUAAGGUAACAAUUGAAACAACAACAUAAUGAUACCAAGACACACUAUCAAUGGCAUAUUUUCUAAUCUUUCUAAUCUUCAACCGCAUUUUCUCCAUCUUGAUCUUGUGAUCAUCGACGACAUCGGCAACAUGCAACUCCAAUUCCAUCUUCUCCCCCUCAAUUAUUUUCAUUUUUUCUUUCAAAUACUCAUUUUCUCUUUCAACUAAAUUUAACCUCUCGACAAUAGGGUUGGUGGGAAUUUCUGGUUCACAUACCUCCUAGAUAAAAAUAUCUAUGUCAACUUGAUGGGCAUAAUUUGUCAUAAAGAUGAAAUGCAACAACUAGUUUUAAAAGAGAAUAUACCACAUACGAAUCAUAACAAGGACGAGGGCCGACGGUGACGGAUAUCAAAACCAUGGCACUAUGUAUAACAAACAACAUACAGGUAAGAUAAUUAUACGAGUAACUAUAUAUCCAAUUCACACAAACAUCAAUUUGGUAAUGUAAUACAUUCAUGAACAAGAGCCUCACCACAUGGUGGUGCCGGCGACGGGACGGUGCGGGCGAUCGACGGUGGUUAUGACGGAGAUUUAGAAGGGACUAACUAAACCACACCUACAUAUGAAAACUAAGUGUUAUUUUUGACCUCAAAUUGCAUAUAAAUCAAAUACUAGCACAUAUAAUUCCUCCCAAAUUACUAAAAUCACAAAUUAAUCACUAUACAAAGCAUUGCAAGAGCUAAUCUAGCAAUAAGAGAUGAAAGGACAAAGUUGCUAACCUUUGUGAUCAUUUGAAUGGAUGGGGGCCUUCAAAUCUUGACAAAUUUUGGGCAAAAUGUGUGAUGAGCUCGAGGAAGAGAGGGGAAGAACAAAGGAGGAGAGGGGAAAGGGGAAGAACAGAGUGAGCUCGGGUGGACGAAGGGUUUAUGUACGAUGACCUUUAGUACCGAUUCGUGCCACGAACCGGUACUAAAGGUGCUGGAGGGGGCCCAGACUGACAACAUCCUGCCACCACUCUCUCUAGUACCGGUUCGUGGCAAGAACCGGUGCUAAAGGUUCGCCAUGAACCGGUACUAAUGAGAGCGGCCGCCUAGCCGUUUGAACCGGCACUAAUGGACACACUAGUGCCGGCUCAAAAUCAAAGCGGCACCAUGUGCUUCACAUUUGACCCUUUUUCUACUAGUGGUAGGACUUCAUGAGGGCCUUGAUCUCCUCCAUUUUAGAUUGCAUCUUGGCGUCGGAGUUGUUUUUCGUGACAUCGAACUCGUCAUUGUUGUUGUAGACCGAAGGUGAAAUGCCUUGCCUAUCCAUCACAAGACACGAGUAGAUGUGAGUAGGAAAUGAGAUAAACAAUACCAAGUUACCGUUGCCCAAAGUUGAGGAUGUAUCCCGUUUCACUCAAUGUGAGAUGAAAGAAUAGUGGAAUUGGUACCGGACUUGUUCACUCACACCUACAAAGUAACGCUUAUGGUGGAGCUCGGUGAGGAUGGUGGCACAAAAAUGUAAUGCAAAAUGUUAGCAAGAGUCAAUAAUGUUGAAAGAGAUUCACAGAUUCGCAAGUGAAACAAGUAGACCAAUAGCAAUGAAUGGCACACGGAAACACUUACACGGAUAGAUAAAUGGGGUCGUGCAACCAAGGAAUGAGCACAAAAUGUGGAGUCCACAGCAAAAGCUCGUGUUGCACAACUCAAGAGAGACGCUGGCACGAUUGCUCAAUAGGCGGAUGUCACUUGUGCACAACCUAUAAGAUGCAAAAUGGAUAAAGUUUAUGUCCCAAGUAUGCUAUGUAUGUAUGGUUCCUGGUGUUUCUCACACGAUGAUCCAAGAUGAUCAAGUAUGAUACCAGAUGAUAUAUUGUAAUGCACUCUGAUACGAUGCUAUGGCUAUUGCUUACAAGCUCUUUGUUCACUCUUUUUCCUUGCUUAAAAGCUUAUUCUUUUUUCUUUUUUUUGAUAUUUCCACAAUGCACAAACCAAGAUAGCAAUUGUGUAUACGCGAGAACAAUCUUGUGACACAAGCGAUGAUAUGAUGAUACCAAGAUGAUAUGGUAUGUAUGCAAUGGAAGGUGUAGAUCGGUGAUCACUAAUGUGCACAAGUAACGUUGCCGGCAAUAUUCAAAUGGCUAGUAUCGAUAGGCAAGUGAUGCGAAAUGGGGUAGGGGUUAAAGAUGCAAUGGCAAGGGGAAUAUACAAUGGUUUCGUCGAGGUUACCGUUCCUUGCUUAUGGUUAAUGGUGUCAAAAUGGUGAAGUGGUCAAUGUCGAUCACGACCUCGUGGCGAGGAUGAGUGGCGGUUUUCUCGAUGUAGAACCGUCCCUAAUUAGCCGAAACACCUUAGGAAACAAAAAAAUAAAACUUCGAACUCAAAAUCUCAAAUGUCAAAUGUCCAUGCGGUGGCGGUUUGCAUUUAGCAAUGCGGAAGUGGAAUGAUGGGUUAUGCGAGUCAAUGUUGGAGUGACCAUCCCGAAGUAGCCGAAACACCUUAGGAGACACAAGGCACAACUCAAACAAGCUCAGACAAAAUUGGGUUUAGUUCGGGGUGGUGGAAGUGUAUGGUGGGCACGCCUAUGCGGAAGUUAUGGUGGUGGUUGAUGAAGAAGCAACCGUCCCUAAGUAGCUGAAUCACCUUAGGAGACUCGAAUCAGUACUCAAGAAACCACUAAUGCUAUGGCAAGCAAAAUGGGCUAGGUUGCGGAAGUCGAUGGUGGUAUAGCGGAUGAUGUGGUGGAAGCCCUAGGCAACCAAAGUUCACAAAUUUGAUGGGGUCAAAUGAGGUUGUUGGUAUUUUUUUCGGAUGGACGAUGUCAAUAGCUUCAAAACGAUCUAAAGAACGUCAAAAUCGGAGUUCAGAUGAAUUAGUUAUGACCAAAACAAAAAUCAGCCGAAGUCGCAGACUAAGGCAUAGCAUAGUGGUGGGAAGGGGCUGAUGCCUUCCCACCCACCCAGUUUCAAGGCAUGGUACUUGCAAUUCAGGUUUGAUGCACCAAUUAUACUGUAGGGGGUUCCCUUACAGUCUUUCUGUCAAAAAAAAAUCAGCCGAAGUCAAUAUCUACAGGUGUUGGACGUCUGGUGGACGGAUGUCCGGUCGGGCUCAAAAAUCCGCUAAUAUCAUCCUGUUGGGUGGCACCGGUCCUCCGGUAGGGCGAGGACUUCCGGUGGUUCCUAAGGCUCGGGACGUCCGGUAAAGUGGCGGUCGUCUGGUGGGUCGGGGUCAACGCGAGAUGCGAGUUUAGGGACGUGAUUUUGGGCCGAAUUUUGGCAUUUUGGAGGUAAAAUUGAGGAGAUUUCGUGGAUGAAAGAUGGGGAAACUUGGGGGAAAGCAGAUCCACUCGAAACCAACCAAAUCCAUGGAUCAAAAUCAACAAAAUAUCAUCAAACCAACAAAUCACAAAAAAAAUUGAGGCUAUAUUUGGUGGGGAUUUUCGAAAUUUAGGACGAAAUCAAGCAAAAGAAGGCUAGAAAACGAUGGGACGGACUCCAAAUACGUGAUCAACGUGGCUUAUGAUACCAUAUGAUGCGGGGCUAACCCGGCGUAGGUCGACCAUUCACGAUUGGAGUGGAUUCCCUCAAAGAACACGAUGAACACGUGGAAGAACAGGGACAAAUCACAACGGGAAACACUCAAGAACAAGUCCAAUCACACAUCCACUACACAAUCAAACACACAAGAUCACAAGGUGCAUGAACAAGAAAGGGAAAUAUAUAAGGUAGAGUUCAUCUCCAAGAGGAGGUCUUGAUGGCAUUCGAGACAGAUCUUCCCGUGAGGGGUCUUGACGAUAUAUCUCACAGGAUCUUCUCACAUGGAGGCCUUGAACUCCAUCGGAGUGGUGGUAUCUCUCUCUCUCUCUCUCAGGAGUAGAGGAAGGUAGGAGCAAAGCUCACAUACAAAUGAGCUAUCACUUUGCUAACCCUAGCUAGGAGGAGGUAGUGGGUAUUUAUAGUCUAAGUGGGCGAAAGGGUAAGUGGGAAGGGAUACAAGGCCAAAGGCCCGCGGCUGCGCACAGGCAGUUACCGGAUGUCCGGUGGGUACUGGUCGUCCUGUGCCUCGUGGGAGACCGGUCGUCAGCUAGUCACCGGACGUCCACUAAAUCUGUUCUGUUGAAGAGGCACCAGACGUUCGGUAUCUUCAGACUUCCGUUAAGUACCGAUUGUUCGGCAGGGGCUGGACGUCCGCUCGCUUGGGAGGUGUGGUAGCUGCCAUUGGCCUAGCUUCAGGCGCUGGUCGCCCGGUGGAGGUCGGACGUCCGCUCGCUGGCCGAUCGUCAGGUGGGGGCCGGACGUCCGCUCGAUGUAGCUUCUUUGGCAGCUCUUCUUCUUGCGUCUUCGUUUCCACGCUACCCUCGCAGAUGGUGUAGUUGUACCUUCGCGCUUGGACUCGUCAUCCCGUGAAGAUCCAACAAUACCUAUGCAUGCACACGAGAGGAAUGCCAAGUAGUAUACCAUCUUUGAAGGGGUCAAGUGAACACGUGUAAAGGAGAUGAUUCGCCUUUGUGUACGUGAAGUAGAUGUGGCACGUGUCACUCGCCAAACGGACUCUUGACAUGGUGAUGUCCGUAGGAUGCUCUGCAUAAUCGUGCAGUCAUUGGGUUUGUCCAUUUGGCGACACCCGCAACAACAUCACGUGGAGUGGCUAUACAACUCCGGAAAACUAAAGAUCACACAUAAGGUACGUGUGAAGUUUGCAGUUGGAGAUUAUAUUUAUGCGGUGGACUGUGAUGUUGUGCCAAUGGAUGUGUGUUAGUUGCUAUUGGGAAGACCAUGGCAUUUAGAUCAUGAUGCAGUACACGCUGGAAGAUCUAACAAAUACACGUUCAUGCAUGAUAGAAGGAGGCACGUGCUGAAACCAAUGGCAGAUUCUGUGAUCAAAAUAGAACCGCACACUCCGGAUAAAUUAAUGGUAUCAAAAAUAGACUCGAAACCGAGGACGGUUUCAUUUCAAGGGAGAGAGGAUGAUACGGGCAUGACACCGUCGAUUGUUGAUGCUAAUAAAACUGAACCUGCUAAGGAGUUGAGCAAUGGGAUAUUUAGUGGAAUGGUUGAUUAUGUUCAGUGUUGUUCUAGAGAGGCUCGAAAAGAAAAAGAGUCUACGAUCCCACAAAAAGUGCAUCAUGGCAAAGAUGGAAAAAUAUGUGAGGUUUGUUGACCUAGGAUUGCUAAAGUUUUAUCACGGCACAUUUUAUCUCUUGUGCAACUGAGACAGAGAGAUAAUUCACAUAAUGCAUGCGACAAACAAAAACUAUUGUGUCGAGGCAAAAAUACGGUGCAAGAGGCGCACCAAAUAUGCGACAGAAGACCAUGUGGCAACAACCAUUAGGAACCGGAGCCUGCGGAGGUAAAACCGAUGUUCCGCACACCUCCUGAUUUUAUAAGAAUCGGCCUCAUUGAUCUCAGUUUGCAUGGCAAUAUCACGUUAGAUGCAAACUAAGAUGGUGCUUUGGAGUCCACGUCCAAAUAGAAGACAAGAGAUAGAAUUCCUUUUGAGUUGUGCUAGCUAGAUAAGUAGGAGUACGUUAGUUGGUUUCUGUUAGGAUGUAGUCAUUAAAAUAAUAUCAUUCCUUUUAGAGUCCAGAUCAUUAUUACUUUCUGUUUAAGCGUACGAGAGUAAAGCCAUAUAAGAGGCACGCUUCGGCCAUCGUAAGGGAGUUUUUUAAGGUUGAUUGGAGUUAUGGAAUAUACAGAAAAACAUCCGAGUCGCGGACGACCAUAUCGUGUGUAUUAUCUGUGAUUUUUCCAUCAAGGAAAUUUACUAGCGACGGAGGGUUGAUCAUCACAUCGACGCCUACGUGCUGAUCCGAGGGGAUCAUUAUUUUUAGUUCGUGUAUUUUCAUAUGCGGGUGAGAAUUAUUCUUGGAGGUUGCGAGAAGGAACUGUUGAUCGACCAUCGCCGUGAAAGAUCGGGCCAUCUACACACACGAAUUAGCGUCUCGGUCGUUUGUGCCUCAUCAGAUAUUGGGUUAAAACUUCCCUUGUUUUUAGAUUGAUUCUUGGGUGGACGCAGUAGUAGGGGUCUCUUGAAUCUGGAUACGUGAGUUCUUACUAUAAUUCUGAACAACAGGAAGCUUCAGUACACAGGAAACAAAAUUGGAUGUUUUGUAGGUCAAUCGAUCGGCACAACGAAAACAGUUUUUAAAUUUAACUGAACGCCCCCCGCUAAAAAAACAUAACUGAAGGCCAUGGCAUUGUUGGAGCAAAGAGCUAAUCUUACCAGAUUAGGAUGACAAUGCUGACAACGUGCUGGAAGUUCAAUACUUCAUUUUUCUAUGAUCAAUGCAGGUGUCUUCUAUGGGGCUUCUGGCAGCAAUAGUAGGUGGGUGAGCAUACUUCCUUGUUUAAAUAUUCGGACCAGCACAAGGAAUGGCGGAACAAGCUAGUAUACUGAUAUAAUACUAAUAACCUGUCAGUACCACACUAAUAUUUGUUGGAGAAGAUGCGUGAAAACCAAAGUUGUGAGUUUGCUUAUUUCCGCUUGCAUCAUCUUUGUGGAGGUCAAGACUUUCCUUACAGUGUAACAGGGCUAAACUCCACACCUUCAACCAAUAACCAGAGAGAGCAGCUCAAAAAAAAAAACCAAAUAGAGGCAGUUAGGAAAGGUGGUUAUAAUGGCAUACGGAAAACUCAACUCUUCUUUGUCUACACUAAUGUGCUGUUCUGACUACCUGGACUCAGAUGCAUACGCAAAAUUAAGCCCAUUAAGAGGCGCUAGAAUGGUGGCCAGACUUUUUCCUACCCUAGCUGCCGCCACCACCAAGGCGACUAGGGAGGCGAUCUCUGUCCUCCGAUCUUCACCGGCCGGGGCGCUGGCCCCCUCUCCCUUCGGAUGCUCCGGCGGCAGGAGGGAGGGGGGACCCCGUUCCUCUGCUCUGUAGUUAGGUUUUGGAUUUGUAGGUCGUGGUGCGUCGUUGAGGUGGUGCGAACGGCGCCCGGACGAAUAAAUCUGCCUCAACUCCACUCCCACACCGAAGGUGCCCUUCAUGGCGGCGUCUCGGAGUUGAUGGCAUCGUGUCUCUGCCAAUCCCAUAGAUCGGCAGCGUUAGGGUUCAUGGAUGGUGUUGGCGAGGCGGCGGCGACGACUCCAUCAGGUGUGUCUCUCCUUCUGCUCUAUCCCCGUUGUUGUGGCGUUGUCUCCGACGUCAUGGUGGAGCAGGGAGGUUUUGUCAUUCAGGAGUACACGCAGGCGGUUGUCUGUACAAGUGACAGCUGGAAGAUGGAGUUUCUUGUGCUGGGUCUGUGGUCGAAGGCUGGCAGUUCUGAUUUCCUCCUCAGACGUAGUCGUCAUGCGGGGGAUUCAGUUCUGAAGUUCGAUGGCGUGCCCGGGGACAUGUUGCCCCGGUCUGAUUCUUUCAAUGGCUAUGGUUUUGCUUCUGGCAAACUACUUUGGAGGUCCGUAAAGCUGCUGAUCAGCGAUGGAGCCGCGUCGAGCUUGGGUGAAGAGGUGAUCUGUCUUUUUACACUUUGAUGGCUGCUUCGGUGGUGUCGAAGGAAAAGGGCAGGCGCUGGUAUUUUGCAUAGGAUUUCCUAUUUUUUCAGUCAUGUAUGGUCGGUGUUUACGUGCCUUGUAACAUGAUCUUUAUUCUAUAUAAAUGAGACGCGUAUUACCAUGCAAAAAAAAUGGUGGCCAACCAGAUACGCCAUGUGGCGCAUGCUGGUUGGUCACGGUGAGAAAGUUUUUUUAGAUGGCAGGGAGACUUUCGAGAAAAGUUUUUCUGGGCUUUUUCAAUUUCCUUUUAAGAUGGUUGUGAUGUCCACGUGAUGCGAGAUUAUUUUUUUAAAAUUUUGACAUGAUUGUGAGGUGCGCAUAUCUUCCUCUUAAGCGGCCCGCAAUGGCGGGCCCCAACCACUAGUCAAGAUGAAAGGUUACGCAGAUGCAAAUGAGGUUACAUCACAUUAGGAAAAUUCACUUCUACAACGGACCUGCUAUUUUUAAACUUAUAUUCACUGGGACUGUAUAUGCCAAUGUCUUCAGAUCAUGUGCAGCAGCCUCUUCAAAUUGCUAGCCUCAUUGACAUGAUUUGUGAACCGCAGUGCCAUGACAGUCUGCCUGAUGGAUGACCUCAGGGUGCAGUCGGGAUGCUCGUGACGAGCUUUAUGCCUCCAUCUUCCACUGGUCAAAAUCCCGUCCAACUGCUCAUUGGCCGCCUUGCGAAUGGCUGCUUUGCUGAGCGACUGCAGCAAGUGGAAGACCUCCCCGUCGCCGUCUUCUUGUUCGAUUGACACCAGCCGAACGAGAUGGCACCAUAUUCCCGUCCAAUGCAGGUUCGCCUCAGUUGCUCGAGGGAAGGGGACCUUGUAGCUGGAGGAAGGAGUCGGGGUCGUGGCUCCCUAGUGUGGAGGGGGCGAGGACCGUGCCUCGCGGCCGGAGGAAUGAGGGCGCGGGAGAUGCCAGUGGUGGCUUAAGGGGGGUCGAGGGGAAUCAGUGGGGCUUGUUUGAGCGUGGGGAGCUGGAACAGAUAGGCUAGGGUUUGUAAUUCAUUUUUUUUACUGGAUUAAAUCUUUCUCCUUUUCUCUUUGAGGUACAAGAGUAAAACAAUUACUCUUCAGCCAACCCACAGUCGGCAGCCACAGCAUCCAACAGGUCGUCUGGUAGUCCUGGCACACAUUGCAGAUUUCCCAUCGUCCUAGCGCGGGCAGCCAGCAGAUGUGCAAUUAUGUUCUUCUUCCUGUUAGCAUGCUGAACUUUCACAUUGCUGAACUUGGUGAAUUCAUGUUUGAUAUCCUCGAGCACCGGAAAACAGGCCGACAAACACCUGCCCCCCAACUUCAGAUUAUCCAGCAUGACUUUGCAGUUCGUCUCCAGUAACAAAUAACCGUUGUACAGCUCCGACUGGACUUUCAGACCUGCUAGAAGUUACUGCGCCUCCGCUUCCUCUACAGAUUUGCAUUGCUCCCCUCAUUCAGGCAGUGAGAAGAGGACAACACCACGAUGAUCGCGAGCGAUUGCACCGACCUGAGAGGUCCCAUUAGCAGCUAAAAAUGCCGCAUCCAUAUUGUGUUUGAUUGUACUUGCCUCUCGGGGAUCCCAAUGAUUGGUUGCAAACGCCUCCACCUCCUCCCCAUGCAUACACUGCCUGGCUUCCUUAGCUACACCACGUACUGCCUGGACUCCUGUUUCUUUACCUUUUGGGUCAGGUUCACUUCCAGCAAUGCACUUGAGGAGGUCCUCUUCAUACUGUAUCAAGAAAAAUGUGGAUCGACAGAGUGCUAUCUGAUUCCAAGCUAUGCUUCCACCUGUUCCUCUUUGUGGCCAGAGUGCUAGUCGUGACCCUCCACCCAAAACCUUCACCUUCUCUGGCACUUUGGCCUUCGAGAUGAUGUCCCAUAAGAUUCGAUCACGGGCUUCUCCUAACGAGCUGGAGGUGGUGCUAUUUGAUUGAUUUCGGAUAGAUACUGCCAGUCUAUACGCACUCCUAACCGAGAACACACCGGACUUUUGGUAGUGCCAGGCCAGCACAUCGGAGACCCCAACUCUGGGUAAUUUUAUGCUGCAGAUCUCCUUCGCAUCAAACCUGUAGAAUAAUUGGUGAAUUAGCUCUGUGUCCCAUCCGCUGCUAUCCAGUUGCAUCAAUUUAUUGACCUAACGAAGACUAGACCUUCGAAUGAACUUGGCGGGUUUUAGACCUUCCCUCCGAGGGAUCCAAUUGUCUCUCUGGAUGUUUAUCUUCCACCAUCGCCAAUUUUCCAAAUUAGUGGGGCUUUCAGAAGUUCCAGUCCAUCUUCAAUUCCAUGCCAGACAAGAAAGGCCUCAAAUGCAAAGACCGUAUCGAUCAGCUCCCCAUCUAGGUAGUACUUGAAUUUUAGCACCCGCGCACACAAGCUGUCUGGACGUUCGAUCAUCCUCCAAGCCUGCCUAGCUAGUAGGGCUAGGUUAAAGAGACUCAUGUCCCAAAAUCCAAUGCCUCCUUCUUUCCUGGGUUUAGUCAUCCGUUUCCCUGCCUAGCUUGUAGGGCUUGGUUAACGAGACUCAUGUCCCAAACUUUCCGGUGGCCAUUUUCCUCCCCUCACCAAAAGUCUAUAAUUAGUUUUUCAUACUUAUCACAGAAACCUUGUGUCAUCUUAAACACACCCAUACGUUAGGUGGGAAGGGCUUGUAGAACGGAUUUUACUCGAGUUUCUUUGGCAGAAUGAGACAAAUACCGCUCGUUCAAGUCUGAGCAUCUCUUAAUGAAUAUUUCCAUGAUUGGUUCAAAUUGCGAUUCCUUCAUACGGCCCUCCGGGGUAGGUAGCCCUAGAUAUUAGCUUUCAAAUGUAGAUGAUGUGAUUUGCAGCUCGGUCUUCACCUCAAGUUGAUUUGAACCUGGACAUAUCCCACUAAACAAAACCGAACACUUGUUGUUACUCAGUAAUUGACCCGAGCCCUUCUGGAAUCAUUACAAAAUCUCCAAGAUGAUUUUGAUUUGAGAUGCCCGGGCUCCCCAUUGCUAUUUUUAUUGGAGUGACCCCUCCCCACCGGAUCUCCAUGUCCAUCAGGUAGGACAGCCCCUCAACAACGAAUAAAAACAAAUAUGGACUUAUUGCCUUGCUCAAGGCCUCUCGAGGGGUAGAACAUUUCCAGGAGUUCUCCGUUAAACUUGACAGAGUACCGCAUUGAUUUCACACAGCCCAUUACCCAAUCAAUCCAUUGCUUGUCAAAAUCCAGUUUUGACAGGGCAGCCUCUCGAAAGUCCCAGUCCACCAUAUCGUAGGCUUUGGCUAAAUCCAGUUUGAGAACACAAUGGGUGUUGGCCGGCUGUCUACUAUGCUGAAUUUUGUAGCAACAUUCGAAAGCAAUGGUGGCAUUGUCCAUUAUCAGACGACCCAGAAUAAAAGCACUCUGUGUUUCUGAUAUAAUUUCAUCUAACAUAGGUCUAAGCCGAUUGAACAAACAUUUGAAGAUCAUGUUAUAGAGGCUUAUAGGGCAAAAAUCCUUCUAGUAUUCCAGAUUGUUUUUCUUUGGGAUGAGGACGAUAACCACAUCGUUUAUUCCUUCUGGCAUGAUACCCUCCUUGAAGAAAUUCAGAACUGCACUCACCACAUCCUGCCUAAUUGUACUCCAAUUUCUUUGGAAGAAUCUCGUGGGGAAGCCAUCCGGUCUGGGAGCUUUCAGAGGACCAAUUUGGAAAAGUGCAUCACUUACUUCCUUCUCCGUGAACUCAUUAAUUAACUAUUGUAUCAUUCAUCCCAGUAGUAACCUUCUCAUUCAUGUAAUUGGUGAUUAGAUUUGGGUUCAAACCUCCUUCCUUUGUGUAGAGCUCCUUGAAGAAAUUUGUGGUCAGCUCCUGAAGCUUAUCCUUGUUCUCCACCCACUCGCCACUGUCAUCCUUCAACUUGUUGAUUGUUUUCUUUUUGCGUCUCCAUGAAGCCUUCCGCCGAAAAUACUUUGUAUUCGUGUCUCCCUCUCGCAGCCAAAGAGCUGUCGAUCGUUGUGGCCACAUCAUCUCCUCAUGGUGGAGCAGCUCGUCCAGGUUUCUCGAGACUAUUUUGAUUUCCUAAUCUCUUUCUGGCGAAGGGGUGCGUUGCCAAAAGAUCUCUAGCUGCUUCCUUAGUGCACCAGUCUAUUUUAUUACAGAACCAAACUUUGUCUUCGCCCAAGUGCUCAGUGAUUUCUUGAGGUCUACUAAUUUAGCCGAUAUAUCAGAAAGACUAGCGCCUGGGUUUCUCCUAUGCCACGAUUCCAAUAUAGCAUCUGCCAAAGAGUCCAACCUUUCGCACAUGUGUUCAUAGCGGAAUGCUUUCCCCUUUUAUUUUAUUGUUUGAUGAGAAGAUCUUUCUCCUUUUCUUAAUUCUGUGAAGGACACAGGGACAACAUCAAAUCCAUCGGGCUUUCCCCUUUUGCGUGAAUGGAUCUAACAUGUCGACCCAUUGAUUUUUAUUUUCUUUUGUGGGAACGCAUCAAUUGGUCGGUGCUUGACAAAAGAAAUUUCAGCCAUCAAACUUUAUGGUAUAACGUAAAAUUAACGUAUCUAAAGGGAUGACAGAUGGAGAACUAUGAAAGGCUCCAUCUUUGAAUAUUAGGUAAAGAUAACAAGACUUAUCCCAUGUCCUUAAGAACAAAUGAAACUACUGACAAAUCAUAUUUAUGUUUAUGAUCAAAGGAGAAUUACAUACGAGUAACAAUCUGAACAUAUGAUUUUCCCCCAAGUAAACCAACUAGCAUCAACUAAAAGGUGUAAUCAACACUACUAGCAACCCACAUAUACCAAUUUUGGGUUUUGGCUUAAAGAUUGAAUACAAGAUAUGAACUAGGGUUUGAGAUGACAUGGUUAUGGUGAAGAUGUUGAUGGAAACGAGUCCUCCCAUGAUGAGAGGAGCGUUGGUGAUGACUAUGACUUCGGGUUUCCCUUACUGGAGGGAAGUAUCCCGGCGAAAUCGCUCAGCUAGAGAGCAAAAGUGCUCCUGCCAAGGGUCCAUCUCGAGACGGUCUCACAUUGUCCCAAAAGUCUUUCUCUUAUUUAUUGUAGGAAAAAUGACCUCAUAUAGCAGAAGAUGGGCAUCAGGGGACCUCUAUGGGCCCAAUAAGGCAACUAGGCACGCCCGCCAGCCUUGUGGGCCCACUAAGGGUCUUCUCCGGCACUUCUUGGUUCCACUAUUUUUAUAUAUUCCAAAAAUUUUCUUCACAAAUUUUCAGGUCAUUUGGAGCUCCGAAGAGUAACUAUAUUUGUUGUAGAAUUUUUUAGCACAUAAUUCUAGCUACCGACAAUCUUCCUCUUCUAGUGUAUCAUGCAUUUCAAGAGAGAACAUGCAUUAAAAUUGCAUCAUAAAGUGAAAUAUUGAUAUAAAAAAUUAUAAAUAACAACACGGAAACAUGAUACAAAAUGGACAUAUCAACUCCACCAAGCUUAGGAUCUACUUGUGCUCAAGCGAAAACUGAACUCGAUAAACACGACCACGGGUUUAUAAAGUGAGUUUUCUAUAAAUCAAAAUACAUACUUGGAAGCAUCAUCAUCAUUAUUAUAGCACUAGUACAUCGACGUGCUAUACAAACGGUUUUUAACACCUUUCUGUGACGACAUUUUGAGCUGUCACCAAGUGAGUGUGUGCGAUAGGGGGGGAUCCUUCCCACACGACCCAGAAACAGUCGGGGAUACUGAAAGUGCUAGUUAUCGACAAGAGGGGGUGAAUAGGCGAUUUUUAUCAAAGUCUUCAAAACGUGGAAGUUUCGAAGACAAUCAAUUGAAAUGACCUAAUUGAUAUGCAACGGAAGAUAAACUACAACAAACAAGCCAUAGUCAAGUAUGCAAUAAUGUGAACGUAUAAAGACUAAUAACAGCUAGGUAGUACGGAUCAAGAUGGAAGAUAGUAUGAAGCCAAUCAACGAUAGUAGUCAAGCAAUGAAGUCAAACAGAUAAGACAAAUAAGCAAUGACUUCACGAAGACAAACUCAAAGUAAAGGAGGGAAGGGAUAGAACCAGUCACUUGUUGAAGACACAGGAUUUGUUGGACCAGUUCCAGUUGCUGUGACAACUGUACAUCUGAUUAGGGAGGCUGAGAUUCAACUCAGAAGACCGCGUCUUCACCUUAUUCUCCUUGAGCUAAGGACACACAGUCCUUGCCCAAUCACUCUGGUAAGUCUUCAAGGUAGACUUCCGAACCUUCACAGACUUCGUUCACCGGCGAUCCACAAUGACUCUUGGAUGCUCAGAACGCGACGCCUAACCGGCUGGAGGAUACGAAGUCCUCAAGUGUAAUAAGUCUUCAGGUCACACAGACAGAAAGACUUCAGUGAUGCCUAACACUAUUUGGCUCUGGGUGUUUGGGCUUUGUCCUCGCAAGGAUUUCUCUCUCAAAGGCUUCGAGGUGGGUUGCUCUCAAAACGACAAAAGCCGUAAAUUAACUCUUAGCAGCCACCAAUUUAUGGUGUAGGGGGUCGGCUAUUUAUAGCCACAAGGCAACCCGACCUGAUAUGUCCGAAAUGACCCUGGGUAACUAAGGAACUGACACGUGUUCCAACGGUCAGAUUUCAAACACACACGGCAAUUUACUUGCGCUACAAGCAAAGCUGACUCAUCCAGCUCUGGAUAAGAUUUGCUCUCAUUGUCUUCGCUCGAAGACAUAGGAUUUGGGUUGAGCAUCACUUCAGUCACUCGGACUUUGUUCACUUGGACCCCACUUAACAAUACGAUGGUUCCUAUGACUCAACAAAGAAGAAAAGGAAACAACGAAACAACACAGUCUUCGCGCUCCAUAGUCUUCGCUCAAUGUCUUCUCAUGUCAUAGUCUUCAAUGUGAAUAUCUUCACAUACCACCAUUGUCUUCAAUGUCUUCAUACAUUUUUAGGGGUCAUCUCCGGUAGGUAAACCGAAUCAAUGAGGGACACUACCUGCGUUAUCCUGCAAUUCUCACAAACGCAUUAGUCCCUCAACUAACUUUGUCGUCAAUACUCCAAAACCAACUAGGGGUGUCACUAGAUGCACUUACAACCUCCCCCUUUUUGGUGAUUGAUGAAAAACUGGUUGAAGUUUUCAACGGGAAUAAAGUAUGUGAAAUUGUAAAGGAUAGGGCAUUGUCUUCAUAAGUGGCAAGGGCUCCCUCUGAAGAUGUGCAUAUAAGUAAUUUGCUUUUGGAAUGCAAAUGCACAUGGAAGGUUGUACUUGUGGAGAUCCUCUUCAACUUAUGAAGAUAAUUCAUCAUGCAUGAAAUGAUAUAACUUGAGGAAUGACAUGCAUAAUGGAAAAUGGACGUCUGCAGAAUGAUCUAAGUGUGUAAGUUAUCAUCGCACAUGAAAGAGCAAAUAAGUAGCAGACGACCAUCGAGUUUAAGUGUUACAACUCAACGAACGAAAUGUAUAAAAGCAAGAGUAGGCAAAAUAUAAAGCAACCGCCCAUAUGAACCCGCUUGAAGACUAUCAAACUCAUACGCUUCUCCCCCUUUUAUCAGUAAUGACCAAAAAGGUUUGAAGACAUAGAGCAUCUACUCGUCCUCAUGAGGAGUAGUUGAAGCAGCAGGGUUGUCGUUGUCGUCUGGCGGUGCAGACGAACUUGGUGCAGUGUUGAUGCAUGCAGAAGUAGGGGGUGGUGAAGUAGCAUCGUCUUCAUCAUCGAUCACGUUGGCAUUCACAGUUGCCGCGGAGGAAGAAUAGUCAGAGUCUUCAAGGGAUGGAGUUCGUCGUAGGACAGCAUUCCGUGCAGGAGUGGAGCCAAACUUGAAUCGUUCAGUGAAGCCAUCUUCUUGAAGAUCUGCUUCAGCACUGAGCAGGGUCAAACUUUUCCAUGAUCGCCGACAGGUUUCGUGAGUGACAAAUGCAUUCUUGGUGGCAAGAUUUCGAAUGCGAUUUACAUCCACCAAGAGACUUUGCAUCUGACGCUUGAGCCAAAAAUGAUGCUUAUCUUGUUUCUGAUGCAGAGCCACAAGAAGUUCUCGGUUAUUUAGGACCCGAGAGCGCUUCUUUGGCCUUUGAGAAAUUGUGCUCUCAGUAGCUUCAGUUGGCGCACGAUGAGGCAGACGAGUGUUUCCAACCAGCGGAUAGACACGAGUAACAGCUUGGACUCCUUCCAUAGGCUGAGUGAAGCUUUGAUGUUCAGCAUUUUGAAGACAAAGAGGCUUCUUCGCAGGCUCAGGGUAUAUGGCUUCAACUAACAUAUCAACCUCUGGUAGAAAGAUCACAUGAUUGCGAGCAUAGGGCUGAUAGUUGACAGCAGAGUGUUGCUUGAUGAGGCGCAUGACCCAUGGAGCAUAGAAUUUCAGGCCAAAAAGGUCAGAUCCAGAUGCAGCCAGUUGCCUGAGGAAGAAAUCUUGUGCAUUGAAGCUGAUGCCAUUGAGGAUGUAAAAGACCAAUGUCUUCAUGGCUCCUUCAAGUUUUGCAGCUGAUGAAUGUCCUUUGAUAGGCCAUAGAGUCCGCCUGAUGAUGUGAUAUAUGGUGCGCGGCAGAUACUCAAGGUCAUCAACAAAGAACUCCUUAGGGUAUUCAGCGUCAUGUGGCAAUGGCUUCAUCAUGCUCAGCAUCUGGCUCAUGUUGGGUUCAGGCUUAUGGAAGAUGCUCUCGAGUGCAUUGCGGUGGUUUUGACAACCAGGUUCGUAUAGCUCUCAAAGAGUGGAUAGGACUGUGAGCUCAAUCUUGUCAAGAGCUUUGGCAUCAUGAUGAACAUUUCCAGUCAUCCACUCGAGAAUCCAUGUUUUUGUAUCCCUGUUGUAGCCGCGAAUGUUGAGGGUAGCACAUAAUUGAAGCAAAAGUUCUUCAUUCCAAUGUUCUUUGUCUGUCACAAAGCUGAGCAGACCAGCAUCACGAAAGCAGUCAAGUGCUUCUUCUAAGCAUGGCAGUCCAGCAAUGGCUUCAGUGUCGAGGCGCAUAUGAGGGAAAAUGCGCCCUUGAUCAUACAGAACGCAGGAGUAAUAGCUUCGCUGCUGAUGACUCCAGAAAUAAUCAGAUGAUAUUCUUGGCCUUGAGUAGGGGUUCUUUGAGCUGUCAAAGAAGGUGUUGUGGCUUUUGAAGCCAUUUGCAUUGAAGGACCCGAUAGAUGUGGCAGUACCUGGAAACCUUGGCAGUCUUGGCUUUGGUUUCUGGACCUGAGGCCUAUGCUCAAUGUGAUAAUCAAAUUGAGGACCAGAGAUAUUAGGCGGGGGGGCCAGAACGGGCCAUUUUACUGUGAUUAGCUCGCCAUGGUUGUAUGCUUGCUCAAUUGUAUAGGGCCUUGGUGGCGGAACAGGAGCAGUGGCAGCAACAGUGGCUUCAGGCUGCACAACAGAAGCUUCAGGAACAGUUGCAGCAUUGACUUCUGGCAUGUUGCUUGGUGCAGGCUCCACAUUAGCUUCAGCCAUGACUACGUCAUUGGCUUCAUUCGUGUUAGUGGUGGCAGCCUCAACGUUUUCAACCUCCACUUGUUGAGCUGGAGGGUCUGGUAAGGGCACGUUCACUUCUGGAACAACUUCUUCAGGAAUGGGGGAGUAGAGACACGAUCUUCUUGAUGUUCGUCAUCAACUGAUGCAGCCAGAUUGUCUUCAGCAGCUUGGGCUUCAGACACGAAGACAUUCACAGUUUGAGUGGCUUCUAAAAACACUUGACGUGCAACAGGUUGGUGAUGCACUUCUCCUUCUGGAACGCUUGGAAGAGGGACUUGAGGCAUUGGUCCUUUGCGAAUCCUUUGUAAAACAGGCGACGCCUUUGGAGAUGGAGUAGGCAGGCCCUCAUCCUCUUCAACUUGCACAGAUGGUGUGACUUGUUGUUGUUGGGGAGUACUGGGGGAGUCUUGUUGUUGCGGGCGAUCAGCCCAUGAUGUAUCCUGAGCAAUUGGCAUCAGAGGACGACCAAUGCUGAUGAUUUCGCUGUUCGUGAGAACAGGCGAUGAUACCAUGUUGUGUUCAAUCUGAGGAAGAACUUCAUCAUCUUCAACAUUGUCAUGGUGACCAAUGUCUUCAGCAGCGAUGGGAUCAACUGCUGGAAUGUCUUCAGCUUCAUGAGCCUCUGUGGAAGCUGGCUCAUGAACAAUCAUUCGUAGUUCUUGAUUUGCAGAUGUAGGGCGAACCACUGAGAUAGGUUCAACAACAAGGGGCUCUGUGGGAGCAGCCCGAUUCUUCUUGGUUUUGCGCUUCUUCUUGGAGGGAGCAGCAUCAAAGGCUUCUGAGGGUUUUCGUUUACUGGCUUCAGCCUCUGCAGCCCUCGUCUUCUUUUGUUCUGAAGCGGUUGACAGGCCAUUUGGCUUCGAGCCAGUCAUGCUGCUUGGAAAGACUAUGCGUGGUUCAUCCUGCCUUGAAGAUGCAGGUUGGACAGUUGAUAGCUUCUUCUUUUUUGCAGCCAUCCUGGGGUCGAUGCCAGGACGACCAAGAGUCUUGCGCUUCUCAUCCUCAUUGUAGGCAAGCACACACUUGUCAGCCAAAUUCUUCAUGCGCUCUCUAGAGCCUCGAGCUUCUUCACGCUUCUUGUGAAAAGCUUCUUUGAGCUCGUUCAGCAUGAUCUUGAAGUUUUUGACAUCUUGCACGUUGAGCGUGCCCACAUGCUUCUUGAACUGAGCCUUUUCAUAGUCAAUCUUGUGCUUCAGUUCAACAAUGCGCUGAGCAAUAGCUAGCUCACAAGCAAUAGCGCCAUUGAAGCAGACGCUGAGGCCAAUGGGAAGUUGCAAGUCAUCAAACCUGAGAUUUGGUGUGUCAAACCACUCAUCAAUGAAGUUAUGGAUGAUUGCCACGUCAAAGAGAGGCAAAUUAUUGAAGAUCUCUACUUCUUCCUUGCUCUUGGUCAGUUGCUCAAGAGCAUCAUCUGCAAGAUCGUCAUCACUGGACAGAUCAAUGUGCUCUUCACGCAGAAGGGCAGCAGGAGUCAAUGUCUAAUCAGUACUCUUGAUGAUUUUCUUUUUCUUCUCCGUCUUCUUGGAGAUGCGUGAAAGAUCUUCAGACUGCACACUGUCUUCAGGAGGUGGAGUGGCCAGUGGCUUCACACAAGAAGCUUUUGGAGGUGCAGCUGAUGAUGAAGCCUUAGUUUUCUUGGGCUUCUGCGGCCUUGGAGGAGGAGCAGGGGCUUCAUCAGUAUCAGCAUCAUUAUCAGAAUGAUCCACUUUGGCACCUUGUACCAAGAUGUAUGAGACGAGGCCAUCAAGGUUCGUGAAGGGGCCGAUCUCAUUUUUUUCACCUUCACGUGUGCCGUCAUUAUGGGGAGCAGAGGGACCAGGAUUGAAGUCUAAUCCCCAUGACUUCUUGUUUUCCUUUGCUGAUGCCUUUGCAUACUGGAAGUUGCGCUUGAAGAGAUUAUCAUCACGACACUAGAGCAAUGAGGAUGGAUCAGCAUUUUCAGGCUGUGGUCCACGGACCAUACAAGGAUAGAAUUCUUGUGCAAUAGCUUCAGCUUUGUUCUUGGGGGGAAGGCCUCGAUAGAGAAUAUCACCCCAAGGACUCUUGAUCGCAUUUUUCUCAGCGUACUCCUGGGUCACGAACUUGUACUUGAACCAUUAAUUGUUCGGCCCAAUAGCGUCGAAUCCAUGGGAUUCGGGUCUUCACUACUAGGGAAAAGCCUAGCAGCAGCGUGGGUUUUGGGCCUAUUAGUAGCGCGGGAGCCGGCGCUACAAAUAAGGCGCUACAGCUAACGUAUAGCAGUAGCGCGGGUGCCACCCGUGCUACUACUACGUCCUUUAGUAGUAGCGUGGGUAAAAAUCCGCGCUACUACUACCAGCGCGGUUUUUUUUUGAAUUUUUCGAAAAAAAAAAUCGAUUUUUUCCCUAAUUUUCAAAUUUCUAAACUAUUUUAACCUCAAAUCUCUAAUCACCCCUCAUCGCUGCUCAAUUUAAUCUCUAAUCACCCCUCAUCAUUCCAAAUCAUCGAACUUCUCGGACGGUCACCCAUCCUCUCACUACUCCAGCCUGAGCACGCUUAACUUCCGGGUUCUAUUCUCCCUCGUUUCCAAGUCUGCACUUGUCGUUUUCCUGACAAUAGUAAGAUGUCAAUCCUAUUAACCUCAGGAAUUUGGCUUGAGCAUGAAGUCACACAUUUCACUAUUUGAGUUUGAAACUAUUGUUCUAAAAAAUUAGUAACACUAAUAUUUCUUGAAUAAUUAGUUUGACCAUAGUUUGACCAUAGUUUGACCACAGUUUGGCCAUAGUUUGACCAGAUUUGACCAAAAUUCAAGAAAACUAAAAUAAUUAUUUAGUAACACUAAUAUUCUAGAAUAAUUAGUUUGACACUUGUUUGACCACAGUUUGACCACACAGUUUGAAUUUUUUUCAAUUUUUUCCAUUCUAGAUCUUAAAAGCCCCGUAACUUUUUUUCUGUUUGGUUUUUGAGGAUUUUGAAAAUGUUUAACGGGGUUCCCCGAGUUAAAUUUGGAUGUAACUUUUCGAGUAGAAGAUUUUUCAUAUAAAAAACUUUUUCAUCUGAGUUAGUAUGCAAAAGUUAUGCCCAUUUUUACAAAUUCUCGAGAGAUUUUGCAAAUAAAGUCGAAAUUCAUAUUUGCAAAUUUUCCCAACAACUAGACCACAUAUCACAUGGCAAACUUAUUUUCUUUUAUUUUUUUGACAUUUUCAUUAUUUUCUUUUAUUUUUUUUAAACUGAAAAGGCGAUCCACAAGGGGGGGGGGGUAGAGUUUGAAAAUGGGACCUUUAGUAGUAGCGCGGUUUUUAGCCCCUCGCUACUACUAUGGCACCACUUAGUAGUAGCGAGGGCUAAAAAGCACGCUACUGCUAUCAAACUUAGUAGUAGCGAGGUUUUAAAAACCCGCGCUACUACUAUGGCAUGUCUCGGGGGGCACGGUAGAGACCGCUUAGUAGUAGCAAGGGUUAAAAACCCGCGCUGCUGCUAUAAACUUAGUAGUAGCGAGGUUUAAAACCCUGCGCUACUGGUAAGUAGCAGUAGCGAGGGUAACUAGUAACUUUCUGUGUAUAGGCUUUUCCCUAGUAGUGCUUGCGCUGAUUAUAAUCCUCUUGAGGAUCUGUCUUGUAGAUUUCUGCGAGGUCAUCAGGCAAAUCUUUUGAUGUUCCACCUCGACGCUGUCUGCCACCCUUCCUUACUGAUUUCUCUGCAGCCAUGAACUUCAAACUGAAUGGCUUCAAGGGCUUUCGCUUGCUGGUCAAAGGCUUCAAGGGCUUUCGCUUGCUGGUCAAACAGGAACUAGCUUCAGGAGAGUUAAUGUGUUGCUGUAAGAAUUCUGCAAACGAAUGCAGACUAUGAGAACCAAGGGAUUCUCCCACGGACAUGUACCUGUGAUAGCAUUAGAGAUGCGAGGGAAGGGGAAGAGGUCAUAUGCAUUCUCAGAAGAUUUGAAGAUAAAUCAGUUUGAAGACAUUGACCGCAUGCUGCGAAUGCAUUCACUUAUAUGUUGAGAGUUGGUUCUAGAUUUGUACGAAUCCGUGAAUAAGUACAAGUGAGGAAUCUAACUAUAUAUGAAGCUUAAGUGAAUAUACUAGGCAGUAUGAGAUGCAGACAGAAUAGAUCUAACAUUGUGUAGACAGAAACCAAUUUUGGUAAAUAGGAUGAAUCAAUGCGGAUCAAAAAGAUGGUAAAAAUAGAGUUAUAUUUACCACACGAAGAACUGCUAGAUGGGAUGAAUAGGAGACCGAGCAGUUCAAUCCAUCGUGCCCUAACUUGGCGAUGGAGUACACCUACGGCGGCGGCGGAGAGGACGAUGCCCGCGGCCGGCGUGAGGACGGCGUCGGAGAAGUUGCGGCAGCUAAGCGCUUCGUCGCCGGCAUCGUCGAGAGCUAGCGGUGGCGCUAGGGUUUGACGAGAUGGAGAUGUGGAAGAAGGUUUUCUUGACCACAGGGGACACGUAUUUAUAAGUAGGUGUGUGGCAAAGCCCAAUUACGCAGGUGCCCUCCCUGUUCACAUCCGUGGGACAUGUGGCAAGCAUGCAACAUACUCAGAGUUGUCCCAUGGUCCCACGCCCGCCAAGUUUGUCGGAUGGUUGUUCCGGCUUCUCCGGAUUUCAACAAUAAAGAUGAAUCAUUUAAAAGGACUUGAUGUUUGUCUCUGUGCCUUCUGCUGACAAGGAUGCAGAGAAGACAUUUGAUAGUUUCAAUAGAAUGCAUAUGAUUUGGACAGAUAGAGUUUGAGAUAGAAAGCAUAGAGAGGUUAGGGUCCGAUCACAUUCACUUAGUUCAAAAGAUUCACAAAUGAAGACAUAGCUAUAAGUGAAUGCUAUAGAGGACAAAAUACUAGUGUAUAUAUAUAUAUAUAUAUAUAUAUGAGAAAGCAAUCAACUCAACAUAGUGAAGUAAAUCAUGAAGAUAAGUUGAAAGUUGAAGACAGACCAAAUGCGAAGAUAUUCAACAAUAACUCCAUGAGUGAAACACUUCAAACCAAGAAAUUUGGUGGUGGCGUUACCCACCGUACAGGAAGUAUUAGACCCAGACACGGCGCACAAUUAUCAUGGCGCUCUGAAGUCAAAUUCCAUGUUAAUGUAUUCACACUCAGAAUGUAAGUCUUCAUUGAUUGAAGAUAUACUUUACUUCGUGUGUUGCACAUCCAAGUCAUCAACAUGCAUAAGUGUUAGGAUGUGUGCCUGAUCACAGGACAUUUGAGGAUUCCAAGAUAUUCAGCUCACACCGUAACUUGCAAAACCUUUUCUCAUCCAAGGGCUUUGUGAAGAUAUCUGCCAGUUGCUCUUCAGUGUUGACGUGAAUGAUGUAAAUAUCUUUCUUCAUGACAUGAUCUCUGAGAAAAUGAUGACGAAUUUCAAUGUGCUUUGUCUUCGAGUGCUGAACUGGACUGUUGGCAAUCUUGAUUGCACUUUCGUUGUCACAGAAGAGAGGGACUUGUUUCAGAUUGAUGCCAUAGUCCUUGAGAGUUUGCUUCAUCCACAGAAGCUGAGCGCAGCAAGAUCCAGCAGCAAUGUAUUCAGAUUCAGCAGUUGAGAGUGAUACACAGUUUUGCUUCUUUGAAGACCAACAGACAAGUGAUCGUCCCAGAAAGUGACAUGUGCCUGAUGUAGACUUGUGAUCGACCUUGUCACCAGCAUAAUCAGCAUCCGAGAAUCCAACCAGAUCAAAUCUUGAGCCCUUUGGAUACCAUAAUCCGAGUGUUGGGGUGUAAGCCAAAUAUCUAAGAAUUCGCUUCACAGCUAAGUGAUGAGAUUCCUUUGGUGCCGCUUGGAAUCGACCACACAUGCAAACACUAAGCAUAAUAUCUUGCCUAGAUGCACAUAGGUAAAGUAAAGAACCAAUCAUGGAGCGGUAUACCUUUUGAUAGAACUCUUUACCAUUGUCGUCAGGACCAAGAUGGUGUUUGGCUGGCAUUGGCGUCGUGCACCCUUUGCAAUCUUCCAUUCCAAACUUCUUCAGACAGUCUUUGAGAUAUUUUUCUUGAGAUAUGAAGAUGUCGUUCCUUUGCUGACGAAUUUGAAGACCAAGGAAGAACUUCAGCUCACCCAUCAUGGACAUCUGAUAUUGCUCUUGCAUCAUGUAUCCAAACUCAUCACUAUACUUCUGGUUGGUGCAGCCGAAGAUAAUGUCAUCCACAUAUAUUUGGCACACAAACAGUUCACCAUCAUAUGUCUUCGUGAAGAGUGUGGGAUCGAGGGAUCCAGGUUUGAAGCCUUUGCUCUUUAGGAAGUCUUUGAUCGUAUCAUACCAAGCGCGAGGAGCUUGUUUGAGGCCAUACAGUGCUUUGUUUAGUUUGUACACCAUAUCAGGAUGUUUUGGAUCUUCAAAGCCAGGUGGUUGAGCAACGUACACUUCUUCUUCAAUUUUGCCGUUGAGGAAUGCACUCUUCACAUCCAUUUGAUAUAGCAAGAUGUUGUCGUGAUUAGCAUAGGCUAGCAGUAUGCAAAUAGCUUCAAGCCUUGCUACAGGAGCAAAUGUUUCAUCGAAGUCAAUUCCUUCAACUUGAGUAUAUCCUUGAGCCACAAGACGUGCUUUGUUUCUGACGACUUGACCAUGCUCAUCUUGCUUGUUUCGAUAUAUCCAUUUAGUGCCAAUAAUGUUAUGCUUGUGAGGGUCAGGGCGCUUGACAAGUUCCCAAACAUUAUUCAGCUUGAACUGUUGAGGUUCUUUUUGCAUGGCUUGAAUCCAUUCAGGUUCCAUAAAGGCUUCAGCAACUUUCUUGGGUUCUGAUAUUGAUACGAAUGAAAAAUGCCCACAGAAAUUUGCUAACUGUGUUGCUCUUGAGCGAGUAAGUGGACCAGGUGCAUUGAUGCUAUCAAUUAUCUUCUCAAUCUGUACUUCAUUUGCAACACGAGGAUGAACUGGACGAAGACCUUGCUCAUGCUGAUCAUUGUCAUCAUUGGGAGGAUUGUCUUCGGUCUGAGCAUUGUCUUAAGGUUGGUUUGGUGCAGAAAUGAUAAGUUCCUCUUCAGGCUGUGCUUCAGAAGGCAUGAUUUCACCAGUUCCCAUCAGCUUGAUAGAUUCACUGGGAGGAGCUUCAUCUAAUGUGCUUGGCAGAAGCUCUCGUUGUGAACCAUUGGUUUCAUCAAAUCGCACGUCCACAGUUUCAAUGAUUUUGUAGUGAAAGAGGUUGAAGACUCUGUAAGAGUGCGAGUCCUAUCCAUAACGAGCAUGAAGCCUUCGUGAGCUUUAGGUGCAAAUUUUGACUUGUGAUGGGGAUCCUUGAUCCAGCACCUAGCACCAAAGACUCUGAAGUAACUGACAUUUGGCUUCUUGCAAGUGAGGAGCUCAUAGGAUGUUUUGCUCAGAAGCUUGUGGAUGAAACACGGUUGAUGAUGUGACAUGUUGUAUCAAUAGCUUCAGGCCAGAACUUUCUUGGUGUCUUGUACUCAUCGAGCAUUGUUUGAGCCAUCUCAAUGAGGGUUCUGUUCUUGCUCUCUACAAUGCCAUUUUGCUGAGGUGUGUAUGGGGAAGAAAACUCAUGAGUGAUUCCCAUUGUAUCCAGAUAAAGAUCAAGCCCGGUAUUCUUGAAUUCAGUGCCGUUAUCACUUCUGAUAUGCUUGAUCUUGACGCCAUAAUUGUUCAUGGCUCGAUUGGCGAAUCAUCUGAAGACAUCUUGUACUUCAGUCUUGUAGAGGAUUAUGUGCACCCAUGUAUAUCUUGAGUAGUCAUCAACAAUGAAGAAGCCAUAGAGACAAGCUGUUGUUAUGAGGGUAGAGUAGUGAGUAGGGCCAAAUAAGUCCAUGUGUAACAGCUCGAAGGGUUGAGAUGUCGUCAUGAUUGUCUUUGAGGGGUGCUUCGCCCUAGUCAUCUUUCCAGCUUCACAGGCACCACACAAAUGAUCUUUCUUGAACUUGACACCUUUGAUGCCUAUGACAUGCUUCUUCUUGACGAGUGUGUGUAAGUUCCUUGUGCCAACAUGCCCCAGCCUCCGAUGCCAGAGCCAGCAUUCUGAAGCUUUUGCAAGAAGACAUACGGCAAGCUGUGGACCUGCUGAGAAAUCUACCAUGUAUAGAUCAUCUUUCCUAUACCCUUCAAAGACUAGAGACUUGUCAGAUUCCUUUAGUACAAGGCAACGAUAUUUUCCAAAUAACACAAUCAUGUUCAAGUCACAAAGCAUUGAGACAAACAUUAAGUUGAACCCAAGGGAUUGAACAAGCAUCACUUUAUCCAUGUGUUGAUCCUUUGAGAUUGCAACUCAACCUAGACCCAAUACCUUGCUUUUACCAGUGUCAGCAAAUGUGAUUUGACUCUUGACGGAUGGACGUAAGGUUGAGUCCAUGAGAAGACUUUGAUCACCAGUCAUGUGAUUAGUGCAUCCACUGUCGAUAAUCCAUUCUGAAGCACGAGGUGUCAUACCCUACAGUGCAGUUAGGAGGAUAGGCUUCACAAGGUAUGUUGUGAAGCAUAAGCAUUUGACGCACACUAGGAUUAACACAACUUAGAUCAUGGUUAGAACACUCAGUAUGACAGGUAAGCGAUUCAUAUGUUGAAUACAUAGUAAGUCAUUUUAUCGAGCGUCCCUUAAUGUGUUUUAGGUCCCCAGCAAUAGUAUCGGACGCCUUUGAUUGCUGGAUGGAGACCAUAUUCUGCAAAAGAGAGUUAAUUGUUCUUCACCACCCACAUCUUCAGGGGUGGCUUAGAAGCAAUGAGUCUAAGUGCAGCAUCUGAGAAUUCCGGCUUUGAAGCCCUAUCAAAUAGCCUUGCAGGAGAUGAAUGAUACUCAUAUGAAUAAGCAGAAAAGUUCUUAGUCCUAUGAACAUGGCGGUUUGAGGACACACGUUCAUAUUCAUAAUUUUGAGCACGAUUUCCCUGCAAAACAUUGGUGUUAGGGUGACUCAAGUGAGUCCUGUACUCGUAUGAAGCCGUUGGACCAUAUGAUGCCUUUGUCUGGGGUUUGUCUUCUUCCCUGGUGGUGUCAUGAUGACAUUCACUGGAAGAUUCUUAAGACAGCUUUUGGGAACCCAGAUCUUCUUCAUAGGUGGUCCAUUCCUGUAGUUAGUACCAAUAUACCUGGCAAACACUUCACCAUUAUGAUUUUUGAACAUUUUGUAGUUUGCAUCAAAGGAUUCAUAAAUGAUAAUAGGAUUAGCACAGGUAAAGCCAGAUAAAGUGGAUGGAUCCACUGAAGGUUCCUUUGCAGCAACCCAUGUGGUUUUGGGAUACUGCUCAGGCUUCCAAUAGGAACCAUCAGCAUUCAUUUUCCUCUCGAACCCAACACCCUCUUUCCUAGGGUUUUGGUUCAGGAUCUGCUUUUUGAGGACAUCACAAAGUGUCUGAUGUCCUUUCAGACUUUUAUACAUCCCUGUUUCAAGCAAUGUCUUCAACCUAGCAUUUUCAUCAGCAAUAGCAGUGGUAUCCUCCGUAGAGGGGUUAGUUUCCACAUCAGUAGUUGAAGACAAUGCAAUAGUAGCAGCAUUAGUAGCGUUAUCACGCUCAAUGCAUUUUAGACAUGGUGGUUCAAAUCCAUUCUGUGUAACGCUGAUUUGUUGUGCAAGUAAUGAAUCGCGCUCCUUCAGAAGAUCUCCAUAAUCAACUCUUACCUUUUCAAGAUCUUGCUUUCUUUGAAGACAUUCAGAAGAAAGUUUCUCAUGAUCAGACAAGAGUGCAUUAUGUUGAUCUUGAAGGGCGUCAAACUUGGAAUGAAGUCUCUGAAGACUCUCAGCCAAAGCUUUUGACUGAUCCAUUUCUUCGCCCAACAUAUCAUCGCUCUUACUAAGCAUGUUUUGAACCUUUUCCAAAGCUCUUUGUUGUUUAGUGGCAAGGGAAGCAAGUUUGACAUAGCUGGGGCCAAAUUCGUCACCUGAUUCAUCAUCACUAGUUUCAGAGAGGUAGCAUUCACUUACCUGAGCACCCCCUGCCAUGAGGCAUGGUGAAGAUGAAGACGAUUCAGGUGGAAAGGUCAUCUCUUUAAGAGACUCCUUGUAGUCAUCAAGCCAAGGAUCAUGACGAUUAAGAUGACCUUCAUAGACCUCAGAAAGCCGGUCCCAGAUUAGCUUCGCGUGAUUGAGGUGCAUGAUGUUCCUGAACUGAUUUCGGGACAGACAGGAGCAGAUGACAUCCUUCGCUGUGAGGUUCAGUGGAGUGUACUUGCGAAUGUCAUCAGCCUCCGCCAUCUUGCAUAGAUCGGUAAGACCAAUCUCACUGACGUUCCACAGCUCGCUAUCCAUAGCCAUGAGUCGCUUCUUCAUCAUGGCCUUCCACCGAGGAUACUCAUGACCGUCAAAGGUGGGGAAAGAUAUAUUCCUCAAUCCUGCAGUCGACAUAGCUAAACUCUAGGUGGUUAAACCGAAUCACACAGAACAAGGGAGUACCUUGCUCUGAUACCAAUUGAAAGUGCUAGUUAUCGACUAGAGGGGGGGUGAAUAGGCGAUUUUUUUCAAAGUCUUCAAAAUGUGGAAGUUUCAAAGACAAUCAAUAGAAAUGACCUAAUUGAUAUGCAGUGGAAGAUAAACUACAACAAACAAGCCAUAGUCAAGUAUGCAAUAAUGUGAACGUACAAAGACUAAUAGAAGCUAGGUAGUAAGGAUCAAGAUGGAAGAUAGUAUGAAGACAAUCAACGAUAGUAGUCAAGCAAUGAAGUCAAACAGAUAAGACAAAUAAGGAAUGACUUCAUGAAGACAAACUCAAAGUAAAGGAGGGAAGGGAUAGAACCAGUCACUUGUUGAAGACACAGGAUUUGUUGGACCAGUUCCAGUUGCUGUGACAACUGUACGUUUGGUUAGGGAGGCUGAGAUUCAACUCAGAAGACCGCGUCUUCACCUUAUUCACCUUGAGCUAAGGACACACUAUCCUCGCCCAAUCACUCUGGUAAGUCUUCAAGGUAGACUUCCGAACCUUCACAGACUUCAUUCACCAGCGAUCCACAAUGACUCUUGGAUGCACAGAACGCGACACCUAACCGGCUGGAGGAUACACAGUCCUCAAGUGUAAUAAGUCUGUAGGUCACACAGACAGAAAGACUUCAGUGAUGCCUAACACUCUUUGGCUCUGGGUGUUUGGGCUUUGUCCUCGAAAGGAUUUCUCUCUCAAAGGCUUCGAGGUGGGUUGCUCUCAAAACGACAAAAGCCGUAAACUAACUCUGAGCAGCCACCAGUUUAUGGUGUAGGGGGUGGGCUAUUUAUAGCCACAAGGCAACCCGACCUGAUAUGUCCGAAAUGACCCUGGGUCACUAAGAAACUGACAUGUGUUCCAACGGUCAGAUUUCAAACACACACGACAACUUUACUUGGGCUACAAGCAAAGCUGACUCAUCCAGCUCUGGAUAAGAUUUGCUCUCAUUGUCUUCGCUCGAAGACAUAGGAUUUGGGUUGAGCAUCACUUUAGUCACUCUGACUUUGUUCACUUGGUCCCCACUUAACAGUACGGUGGUUCCUAUGACUCAACAAAGAAGAAAAGGAAACAAUGAAAUAACACAGUCUUCGCGCUCCAUAGUCUUCGCUCAAUGUCUUCUCAUGUCAUAGUCUUCAAUGUGAAUAUCUUCACAUACCACCAUUGUCUUCAAUGUCUUCAUACAUUUUUAGGGGUCAUCUCUAGUAGGUAAACCGAAUCAAUGAGGGACACUACCUGCGUUAUCCUGCAAUUCUCACAAACGCAUUAAUCCCUCAACCAACUUUGUCGUCAAUACUCCAAAACCAACUAGGGGUGGCACUAGAUGCACUUACAGAUACGAAGCCUGGAUGCAAUACAGUUGUUCCUAUAAAACUGUUUCUGAUAUCUUGAAUAUCCCAAACGCUUCAUCCUUGUAACUCGUUUGUGCUCGCUUUGCCAUUGCAGACAGUAUUUUGUGGUGCUACUUUUACGAUGCGCGACCCAUCACAAACAGUUCACGAUUAUAUAACAUGUACGAUAAGCAGAAAAUCACACACAUUUACUUUUCCUCGACUGUAUGUGAUUCAAUGUAAGAGCGCAUACAUUUGUGCCUAUAAAAUUGUAUGCAAUGUUUGAAUACAUCCCACGCGAUUCAUCCUUCGUACCUACGUCGGAUGAAGACCUAUCACACACGUUCUUCUAUGACCAAACGUUUGCGAUGCGUACAACAUUAUAAACAACCCAUAUUUGCCAAACGUGCGUGAUAAGGUGACUUUCACAAACAUUUAAUUAAAAGGAACUGUGUGUGAUGCUGUUGUUAAUCACAAACGUUUUUCUUGGGUGAUGGUGUGUGCGGUAGAGAUUGAUCACACACAUAGUGGAUCCAAGAAACGUGUCUGAUCUCCAUGUCUAUGCAGUCGUUUUGCUUUCGCAAACCGUGUGCCGUGUAAUUCCUAAUUUAGCCCUAAUUUAUCCCUUGUUUAAUCCCUAAUUUAAAAAUCAUCAAUUUUGAAUUUGAAAGUAGGCAAACCGUUAUUUCAUAUAUAACCAUGUUUAUUACAAAUAUAGGUUCCACCAUGAAUGUAUAAUUCAAGGCACAUGUACAUAUACUGAAGAACUCCCGAAGCACCAAGUAAAGAAUAAUGAACCAUAGUUGUAUUGAAGACUAUAAAGACAGAGGCGAAAGACAUUCUGGUUGCUGGAGAAGGUGAAGCAAAAUGCCCAUAUUGUGCCCUCCUCCAUGCUUAAUGCGCGCACGACUCUAGGCCAACCCCUUGUGAUGGUUGCCCGUCCAUCCUUCUAUGUCUUCAUUAGGACUUCUCGACGCUCAUUGUAUUCUGUAUUACAAAGCAACCAACUGGUACAACCAACUAUAGGUGCUGGGGAGGAAGCAGCACAGACACGCCCAAAGGAAACGAAAGAGGAAACAAAAGGAACAAAUGCCGACAAUGAUGGAUCGAUAAAAAUGAAAAAGCCUUGGGACCACUGCGCCCACCGUAGAUCUCCCACCAUGCUCCAAGACUCUGAUGCGUCGGUACCAAUCAACACCUCCAAGAAGGGACAUGACGAUGACGACGCUGCCGCCAAGGGUUUCCCCCGGUACUCGACGAGGAGAGAAGAAGGGUAGCCCCCGACGCCCUCUAGGAAGGUCUAGCGGCAACCUGAAGUGCCACCACAUUGGUGCCGGCCAUGACGAACGGAAUUUCACCCAAUCCCAUCCAUCACCUAGGGUGCUCCGGAGCCCACCACCAAAACCAACCACCACCCUGUGCCAACAUGGUCUUGAAGCUUCACACACCGUCUCAUCACGGGACCACGAAGUGAGGUCUGCGCACUAUCGGCACGCGGGAGGGCUCAACCUCCACCGCCAGCAACGGUAGCCGGUCGGACGCAGUAGCAGCAGCAUACGAGACCCGUGGGUUGAUACGUCUCCAACGUAUCUAUAAUUUACAAAGUAUUCAUUCUCUUAUAUUAUCAUUCUUGGAUGUUUUACAAUCAUUUUAUAGCAACUUUAUAUCAUUUUUUUGACUAACCUAUCACCAAGUGCCAAGUGCCAGUUGCUGUGUUUUGCUUGUUUUUUACAUCACAGUAAAUCAAUAUCAAAUGGAGUCCAAACACCGCGAAACUUUUUGUGGAAUUUUUAUGGACCAGCAGACACCCAAUGGUCCAGAGCUGCACCUGGAGGGUGCCCCAAGGGGGGCACAACCCACCAGGGCACGUCUGGGCCCCCAGGCGCGCCGUGGUGGGUUGUGCCCACUUCAGUGUCCUCCGACACCCCCUCUUUGCACUAUAAAUCACCAAAUAUUCCAAAAACCCUCGGGGUUAACCUAGAUCAGAAGUGCCGCCAUCGCAAGGCUCUGUAUCCACCGAAAACCAAUCUAGACCCUGUUCCGGCACCCUGCCGGAGGGGGAAUCAUCACCUGUGGCCAUCUUCGUCAUCUCGUCGGCCACCACGGUGCUAAGGGUUUGUACCGGUAGCUAUGUGUUUAAUGCCUCUCUCUUGUGUUCAUCAUAUGCACAAUCUUGAUGUAUCACAUGCUUUGUUAAUAUAGUCGGAUCAUAUGAUGUUUUCCCCUCGCUAUCUUGUUGUGAUGAAUUGAGUUUUCCUUUGUGAUUUUGUUUUAUUGGUUUGAAUACUUUUAUGGAUUUGAGAACACUUGAUGUAUGUCUUGCAUAUGAAUACUCAUGGUGACAAUGGGGUAUCGUAUUGAUUUACUUGAUAUAUGUUUUGGCACUCAACUCGCGGAUUCCUGAGCUGACAUUGUGGUAAUCUAUGCAUAGGGUUGAUGCAUGUUCUUGUCUUUGUUUCUCCGAUGAAAAUCUUGGGGCACUCUUUGAAGUUCUUUGUAUUGGAUUGAGUAUUAUGAAUCUGAAAUUGUUGGAUGCAUAUCGUAUAUUAACUCAGAGAUAGUCGUGGUGACAUUGGAGUAUCUAGGUGACAUUAGAGUUGGUUGAUGUGUGUCAUAUGGUGUUAUUCUAGUACGAACUCUUGAUUAGAUCGACCGAAGAGAAUAGCUUGCUGUUAUUUUAGUACGAACUCUAGGAUAGAUUGAUCAGAAAGAAUAGCUUUGACGUGGUUUCGUACCCUACAAAUAAUUUCUUCUUAUAUUCUCCGCUAGAUAGGAACUUUGGAUUGAUUCUUCGUUGAAUGUUGAGGGAUGGUUAUGUGAUCCAAUUAUAUUAGCGUCGUUGAGAGAUCACACUAGAUAAAGUACGGACCCUAGGCCUCAUUUUCAAGCUUUGCAAUACCGUUUGUGCUCAAUUUUCUUACUUGCUACCUAGCUAUUUUUUAUUGUUCUUGUUACAAAAAACCAAUAUCUACUAUCAUUACUACACUUUUAUUACCAUCUCUUCGCCGCACUAGUGCACCUCAAUUUACCAUUGUAUUUGGUGUCCUGGGGACACAAGAGAGUUUUUGUUAUUUGGUUGCAGGGUUGCUCGAGAGAUACCAUCUUCAUCCUACACCUCCCACGGAUUGAUAAACCUUUGGUCAUCCACUUGAGGGAAAAUUGCUAAUGUCCUACAAAACUCAGCGCUUGGAGGCCCAACACGAGUCUACAAGAAUAAAGUUGCGUACUAGACAUCAAGCUCUUUUCUGGCGCCGUAGCCAGGGAGGUGAGUGCAUGAAGGUAUAUCUUUAGAUCUUGCAAUCGAAUCUUUUAGUUACUUGUUUUAUCACUAGUUUGGUUUAUAAAAGAAAACUACAUAAAAAUGGAAGUGAGGUUGCAUCAUAUUAUUGAUCAUCUUUAUUAUAUCUUCUUGAAAAUGAUGGAUCUGAAAAUUGUGCUCAAUUGUUAGAAGAAGAAGUCAAUAAAUUUUUUGGCACAAAAUAUUUGAAUGAUGAGCAUGAUUGGAAUUUUGUUAGUAUGAAUUGUUUGAAUAUCCAAAAUGCUAAUGAUGAUUGCAGUAGUCAAGAUAAUUAUGUCUUUUAUAAGUAUGUCAAUUUUUGCAGAGUCAAUUGGGAGUGCAUUUGCACAUAAAAAGGGAAGAUAGAUUUUGUAAGAGGCAUAAAUAUUUAGGAACAAAAAAGUUGCAAGAGAAGCUAGAUGAUUGUGCUGAAAGAUUUCAUUUUUUUCGUCGUCCUUGUGAACUUUGCAAUGAACACGGUAAUUUAAAUCUCCAAUGCAAAUUGUUUCAUGAUCAAAUUGUGUACAAAAGUUUUGAUAACUUGAUUACCCUUGAGGAUCAUAAGGAGAUAAGUCUUCUUUUGGGAUAUGAAGAAAUGAAACAUAAAACUAAGUAUACUAGUCAUCAACCCGUGCAACUGCACGGGCUAGGUCAAAUUCUUGGAUAAUAUUAGGUCACAUAAAUUUCAUUUGCAUAUGCAUCAUUGUGUCUAACUAUUACUUCCUCCGUAAACUAAUAUAAGAGCAUUUAGAGGAGUAAUUCUUUGUCAUUCUUUUUUGAUUAAUAGAGUUUUCUAUUGAUCCAAAGUGUUUGAUCAACGUGAUAAUAAAAAAGAGUUCACAUUCGGCAUUUGUUUGAUCUCCAUUUAGAAUAUUUGAAGGAAUAUAUGUUAGUUAGACAUGUUUUAUAUUAAUAAUUAAUUGACGCGCUUAAAUACAGGAAAUACACACGUGGUUCCUCUUCUAGUAUAAGAAUUAUUUAUUUGUAGUUUUGCGCCUACCUAUAGACUCCAAGUGCCACAUCUAGAUAACGUGGUCAUAUUUAUAUUCUUAAGUAAAAAAAUAUGUUACUUCAUCAAGAGGGUUAGUUAUAUAUGUACAUCGUGGUUUGGGCACAUUUUUCCCAGGCUGUCAGAACAACAAAUAUUAUUUGAGGUAUUUGUUAUACUGAAUGUUCGAGCCUUUCCUAAAAAAAGAGUAAUUUCGUGUUCAUUCAGAAAUUGACCCAACCGGGCUCGGAUGGAAAAGAUUUCGUAUUUAUACCAAAGCUUGUAAUGUUACCUUAUUUGUAUUGUUUAAUACUCCAUACUGUUUACAACAAAGAAGAAUCAGCACACUGAUUAUGAUAAACAACCACGAAUUUUUUACAUAUGCUGUAUGAAUCACAGUAAUACAUACCACUGGUAGACUUUUUGACAUUAUGCUAGAUGGGAUAAACCCAUUUAAAAUAAGAACAUAAACAACAGCUAGUAAACAUAGUGGCAAAAUUUAACAUUGCGUUGGUUCAGUACAUUUACCUUUCAGCUAUCAAUGAUAACAGAAAUUCCGAAAGAACACAUAACUUAGUUGGAUGUGCAUACCUGCAUGGACAUGAACAUGAAUGUUCAUUGUCUCAUAGAUAAAUAUCCAGUCACAAAAUAUACAUUAUGUUCAUUCUUCUCACAAAUCUAUGAAGACACAAAAUGUUUACUGGUUCCUCUUAACAUGGAAAAAAAUUAACCUUUCACCCUGAAGAUUUUCUUUGGCUUUGCAUCUCCAUAUCUUUGGAGACUUUCAAGAUAUAAGAAUACAUUAUAAUGUGAAAUAUUUCUUCUCAGACACCAAUGUCAUGAGCUGCUCACAAAAACGGAUGGGAAACCUUGUCAGGAAGACACAUAGUAAGUGCCAGGCAUUAGCACUUGUGUACCAAUCAGGAUCAUGUAGGUAGCAGGAAAAUGGAAGUAUUCAUAUUAACUCUAUAUAUGGUAGUUUUGUGACUCUUCAUUACACUACGGUCAGAUACCUUCUCCUUAUCUUCUGUUUUUUUUUCACAAAUAGGAAAUCAUUAGAAAAACUGAAUAGUGAGUCCAACUUGAACUGUGCACCUGCAUGGGCUAGCUAUUUGGGUGAACACAUAAUAUAGUAACAUGAACACAAUUAUUGUAUUUCCGUGACUUUAUUGUAUUUGCAAAUUUGCAACAGUAUUGACAGAAAAAUAUAUCAUCCAUAGGGGCAUUCCAAGGACAAUAAUGAAAUAGUUUGUAUAGUUUAAUAGGACAUAUAUAUGGUGCAUAUCUAUGUACAAUUACAAUAAAAAAUCGCAUAAGGGAAAAUGGUCUAAACAUAUCAUCGUAGUACAAUUAACACAAGCAUUGAUAUGUAUAUAUCUCCAUAAGACACUGUAACAAAAGAAUAUCACCUCUAGUCUUCAACAUCUGAUGUUUUUGAUGUUGAUUCUGAAGGAAAUCCUUCAGCAAAAGAACCAUGUAAAUGUCAAUGAUAAUACUAGAAGUCUCAAGGUACAUACUCAUGCUUAUUAAUUUCUUGUUAACAAAAAUUAACAACUAACUGGAACUGUAGGACAUUACGAACAGAAUCAUAAACUUUGACAUGCAUCUCUCACACUUGAUGAUGCCAUUACAGAAGUUUCGAGUGAGUCUUGGCACUACAUAAUCUGAAAAUCAAUUUUAAUACCCUAUGUACCAAGCAUGUGGAGUAUAUGGGGAAUGGGAGGAUUUAAGAAAAAGAGUGAAUAAGUGAAUUAGCUUGAACCAAUUUUCAUGGCGGCACCGGUAGUAGGUGCAAUAUUACAACAUCUCGAUACGGAGGCUGGUGGUGAUUGGUGGUGCUUUUGUUCAACCUGUGUGAUGGAAGUGCCGAGGAUAACUGCAACAACACCACAAAGCCAUGGGUUAUAGGUGGACUAGCAAAAUCAUGGCCUGGCUCAUGGCGGCGUGACCUUUGGAUUGCCUACAGAUUUUUGGAGGACGAAAAGCGAGGUGCUCUACUUGAGAGAGAUUGGGAAGAUGUAUGGGUGAACCUGGGAGGCAUGUUUCUUUUUUACGGGAGGAGAAAGACUACCGCCAGGAUUGAGAAAGACACCAUGGAAGGUAUGCCUGGGAAGAGAGGAGAACAACACACGCUAGAUUGAAGGAGGAAACCCGGAACGCCCCAACGAAUCAGAAGUUUUUCUUUUAUCAUAAUUCUCUGCCGAUUUUCUUCCUUUUGAUUUUUUGAAUCCUUCUUCCUUUUGAUUCAAUAUAGAUUGUAGGCUGUAGAGGGGACCUGAAAAUAAAAAGGUGCUAGAGGAGUCCUAUAGAUAAAAGGUGUUCAUGUGGGACAAUAUAAAAGGAAUUCUCGUGAGAUAAUUCAUCCAACGAUUACCAAAUAAUCAACACAGAGAUUGGAUGUAUGAUUUUGCUUAUUUUUCAAGGAAUAACGCGAAGCCUUUUUUUAUCUAUCAUGGAGAUUUCACGCUUGGAAGUUUUUUUUCCUUUAAUACCUAUGGACAUCGUGGAGUUCCCAUGGACGUGAUAUAGAUCGUUUUUACUGCACCAUCUUUAUUACGCAACUGUUCCACCUAUCUUGGCCGUAAAUUCUACAAUCCAAUGGUACAAUUAAUAUUGAUGAUGUGGGUUAAUUAAGCGGCUUUAAUGGUGCCUCCAAUUAUUAAAUAUAAGAUUGCAAAAUUUAGUCUCAAGAGAUUUCUUGAUUUUGAUCAACAGUAAAUUUAAAUAUUUUGUGCAGUAAAUGGCAUUGAAAAUCCUUAUAUUGCCGACUAUCUAAAGACAAGAAAACAAAUAGAAUAUGAAGAGAGCACUAACGAAAAGGAAAAUAUUUCCCAAUACCCUCCGAGUUUUUAUUAUGAUGAAUCAGGUAACGAGGGGGCUCUUCCUAUCCAAUCAAUCUCUUCAACAAGAAGCUUGAAAAAAUUAAUUAAACCCACACAUGAUGUGGUGAAGAAGAAGAAAAGAAGAAAGAAUAGAGGUAAAGAGGUAUCUCUCCUAAACAAUGUUGCUCCUAUCACCAUUGUGCCUCAUGAAAGUGAAUCAAAUAUGUUGAUGGGAGAUGAUGAUAUUGAGUAUGAUUUUUUAUACAUACUACUUGUUGUAAUGAUUAUGAUUGGGAAGACAAUGAUGUCCCUUAUGAUCUUGAAAAUAUUUUUAGCACUUUCUUGGAAGAUUAUGAUAAUAAUGUUUGCAAUACUAUUGGUGCCAUUCAUGCUAUUGAUAAGAAUGAUUGUGAUGAUAUGCAAAACCACAAGCUUGGGGAUGCUAUGUUUAAUGAGUAUGAAAUGUUUGAAGAUAUAUUUGCUCGAAAUAAUGCUUUUCCUAAGCUUGGGGAUGCUUUGCUUAAUGAAUAUGAUCCUUUGAUUCCUUCUACUUUCGAUAAGAAAAUUUAUUAUGAUGAUUGAUGUCUACUACACAACCUUCUUCUUGUAGACGUUGUUGGGCCUGCAAGUGCACAGAUUUGUAGGACAGUAGCAAAUUUACCUCAAGUGGAUGACCUAAGGUUUAUCAAUCCAUGGGAGGCGUAGGAUGAAGAUGGUCUCUCUCAAACAACCCUACAACCGAAUAACAAAGAGUCUCUUGUGUCCCCAACACACCCAAUACAAUGGCAAAUUGUAUAGGUGCACUAGUUCGGCGAAGAGAUGGUGAUACAAGUGCAAUAUGGAUAGUAGAUAUAGGUUUUUGUAAUCUAAAAAUUUAAAAACAGCAAGGUAACUAAUGAUAAAAGUGAGCGUAAACAGUAUUGCAAUGAUAGGAAACAAGGCCUAGGGUUCAUACUUUCACUAGUACAAGUUCUCUCAACAAUAAUAACAUAGAUAGAUCAUAUAACAAUCCCUCAACAUGCAAUAAAGAGUCACUCCAAAGCCACUAAUAGCGGAGAACAAACGAACAGAUUAUGGUAGGGUACGAAACAACCUCAAAGUUAUUCUUUCAGAUCAAUCUAUUCAAGAGUUUGUACAAGAAUAACACCUUAAGACACAAAUCAACCAAAACCCUAAUGUCACCUAGAUACUCCAUUGUCACCUCAAGUAUCCGUGGGCAUGAUUAUACGAUAUGCAUCACACAAUCUCAGAUUCAUCCAACCAACACAAAGUACUUGAAAGAGUGCCCCAAAGUUUCUACCGGAGAGUCAAGAAAAUGUGUGCCAACCCCUAUGCAUAGGUUCAUGGGUGGAAUCCGCAAGUUGGUCACCAAAACAUACAUCAAGUGGCACGUGAUAUCCCAUUGUCACCACAGAUAAACACGGAAGACAUACAUCAAGUGUUCUCAAAUAAAGACUCAAUCCGAUAAGAUAACUUCAAGAGGGAAACUCAAUUCAUCACAAGAGAGUAGAGGGGGAGAAACAUCAUAAGAUCCAACUAUAAUAGCAAAGCUCGCGAUACAUGAAGACCGUGCCAUCGAGAGAACACGAGAGAGAGAGAGAGAUCAAACACAUAGCUACUGGUACAUACCCUUAGCCCUGAGGGUGAACUACUCCCUUCUCAUCAUGGAUAGCGCCAGGAUGGUGAAGAUGGCCACCGGUGAUUGGUUCCCCCUCCGGCAGGGUGCCAGAACGGGCUCCCAAGAGGUUUUUGGUGGCUACAGAGGCUUGUGGCGGCGGAACUCCCGAUCUAUCUUGAUAUUCGAUGGUUUUAGGGUACAUAGGCUUAUAUAGGCGAAAGAAGUCGGUCGGGACGUGCUCGAGGGGCCCACGCGACGGGGGCGCGCCCUACAGGGGGGGCGCCCUCCUAUCUCGUGGCUGCCUCGAGUAUCUUCUGACGUGAACUCCAAGUCUCCAGGAACAUAUUCUUCCAAAAAAUCACGCUGCCGAAGGUUUCAUUCCAUUUGGACUCCGUUUGAUAUUCCUUUUCUUCGAAAUACUGAAACGGGCAAUAAAACAGCAAUAUGGGUUGGGCCUCCGGUUAAUAGGUUAGUCCCAAAAGUAAUAUAAUAGUGUAUAAUAAAGCUCGUAAUCAUUCAAAACAAAUAAUAAAUAGCAUGAAUGCUUCAUAAAUUAUAGAUACGUUGGAGACGUAUCAAUGAUAGCAUGCCUCUUAUUUAUGAUGAUUACAUUGAUGAAAGUGGGUUUGGCAGAGUGUCAACUCUAGAUAGCAUGCCACUAUUUCGGAGGGUGUUGAAUCUUAAUACAAUAUGGGUGAAAUUGGAUUUGGAGAGGUCAUGACUAUUUAGUGAUACAUCCACUAUUUUGGAAUAGGUUUCAAUUAACUAUGACAAUAAAGUUGCUAUCUAUGAUGAUUAUAUGAUGACACGUAUGCCAUAAAGAUUAAUAAAUCUACUACGCUUGUGCAUCAUGUAAAGAGUGAUUUUUGUGAUAGUUAUAUUAUUGAAUCCCUUCAUGAGAUGUUUCUGAAAAUUAUUAUGAGAGAGGAACUUCUGCUCUUACCUAUCUCAAUAAUAUCAAGUUUCUUCUCUAUAUGUUUAUUGUUUCGAAGUUGUAUUUGUUUUUCCUUCCUAUGCUAGUUGGUUCUUGAUUUCAUGGGUUGCUUGCUCAAAAAAUCCCAAUGCAUAGGAAGUGUGUUAGACUUAAAUGUGCCUGACAUGUGCUUCAUGAUGCUCUCUUUGUGUUUCAAUUCAAAUCUUUUAUGCGAGCAUCAUUGAAAUCGUCAUGCCUAGCUAAAAGGCGUUAAAGAAAAGCGCUUGUUGGGAGACAACCCAACACUUUUACAUACUGUUUGUGUUUUCACAUGAUUAAGCUACUGUAGUAAUCAUGUUUUAUUGCUUUAGUUUCAAUAAAUUGCCAAGUAAAUCCUUUGGGAUAGUGUGGAUGAUAGUUGACUUGAAUUUGUGCAUAAACAGAAACUUUUGUGCUCAGUCAAGGAAAUUUAAAAAUUCACUGGAACAUGCUUAUGAUAUGAAUUAUUUGCAGGUGAUAGAUAUACAAAUUCUCUAUGUUAUCCCAAUUUUUCAGAAUUUUUGGAGUAGCAGAAGUGUGGUUGGACUACAUAUUACGUCAGACUUGUUCUGUUUUUGACAAAUUUUGUUUUGAAUGCGUAGUUUGCUUGUUUCCUAGUUUCUAUGGCUUAUAUUACUCAAUAUAAAUUGUGGAAUUGAUAUGCUACAGUAGGCAUUGUGUGGAAAAAAAUAUGAAUCUUGUCUUUUACAGUACCAAAGUGAAAUGGUUUGCUCUUUAUGAUACUAACCUAUCUCACGAAGUUCCGUGAAGUUUUGUGUGAUUGAAGUUUUCAAGUUUCGUGUGAGAUAUCGAUAUGAGGAGAAUAAGGAUUGACAGUAACCUAAUCUUGGGCAUGACAAAGGCACUCCAAGGUAAUAUUCAAGGAAGAUCCAAGCAACUAAGCUUGAGGAUGACCCAGAAGGCAUCCCCUCUUUCGUCUUCAACAUUAUCGGUAACCUCACUUGGAGCUACAUUUUCAUUCGUCACAUGAUAUGAGUUUUGAUUGGCGAGUCAUUUUCUCUUGUUUUGAUUUGCUUGAUGUUAUUUAUAAUAAUGUUUUGCAUCUUUAUUUUCAAUAAUAAUGUCAAGUAUAGCCUUUACCGUUCUUAUUUUGCAAGUAUAUGAGUUGAUGUUUAAAAAACAGAAAGUUUGUCGCUGUUGCAAAAAUUCCCUAGAUACGUAAGAAUGUGAUAAAAUGCUGAAACUUUUUUCAAAAUAAGUUAUGAUAAAGUUUCUAAAGCGUGGUAAAUUUUCAUAAUUUUUGGAGUUCAAUAAGUAUUGAUACUCUUGCAUUCUUUACACAUUGUACUGUUUUGGCAGAUUGUUGUUAUGUUUGCAUUGUUUGCCUAUGUUUGCUUGUUUAAUGAUUCUAUUUGAGGAUAUGAGUAUUAAAUAUGCAUAGGAAUUUAGUAUGCAAUGUUGAAUACUAAUUUUAGUCAUUUGCUAUAGUAGAGAAUGAUAAGGUUUUUGCAUUGGUUUAUACAAACUUAUCUCACGAGUUCUUUUAUAGUUUUGUGUGUAUGAAGUUUUUAAGAUUUAUAGAGACUGUGAUAUAAAAGGAAUUAUGGAGACACAAAAGCUCAAUUUUGGGGAUGCCCAAGGCAUCCCAAGAUAAUAUUUCAAGAAGACUCAAGCAUCUAAGCUUGGUGAUGCCCCGGUAGGCAUCCCACAUUUCUUCAUCAACAAUUACCGGUUAGUAUCGGUUGAAACAAAGUUUUUGCUUCUUCACAUGAGUUGUGCUAUUCUUGGAAUGUCAUUUUGUUUUGUUUUGCUUGAUGUUUUAAUAAAAUACAUAGAUAUGAAAGUUUUUAAAUAAUAGAGUCCUCAAAUAGCUACCUAUUUACUUUACUACUUGCUUUAUCUUCACUUAUAUCUUUUUGGAGUAGCUUGUCAUUUACUCUUGUGCUUCACGUGUAUCCUAUGAGUAAAUUGUUGAAUGAAUUGUAUAUAGUGAAGUUGAAAUUAUAUGUUCAUAGCAUACCUAGUAGUAUCUUCACAUUGGGUUUAGAAAGUUGAAGUUGAAGUUGAAGUUGAAAUCUUUUGAAGCUUGACAAUCACAAUAUUGGUCAUGCAAGCAAUUCAUGAAUGAUUACUAUAAGGAAGAGAACAUUCACAUGUAAAUACACUAUCCUGGAAAAAUUUUGUGAUUGUGAGCCCCCAUCAAAAUAUUAUAUGCCAAAAUUGUUUAUGUUGGACAAGGAAGACAACGUAAUGAUUUAUGUUUGUUCAUAUUCACAUAGUAGCUAUAUUGUCAUAGAUCCUUCAACAUGUGGUGCUUGCCCCUCAUCUUUGCUAGACAAAAAUUCCGCACCAAGUAGAGAUACUACUUGUGCAUCCAAAAAACCUUAAACCCAAAUCUUAUUUUCAACAAUCCACCAUACCUACCUAAGGAUUGAAUAAGAUCCUUCAAGUAAGUUGUCAUUAGUGCAAUAAGGCAAUAAAAAUUACUUCUAAAAAGUGUUAGAUCAUUUAGUGUAAGAGAAAAUUGAGCAUUGUAAGAACUUGUGAUCGCAAAGAAUAAAAGCGACAGACUACAUAAUAAAGGUUGCUACCAUAAGUGGCAAUACAUGAUCUUCUUUUGCACUAAGGGUCUGAGCAUAAAAACAAAUAAGCGCAUGGCAACCUCUGCUUCCUUCUGCGAAGGGCUUAUCUUUUCCUUUUAUGUAUUUACUUUCAUGCAAGAGUCAAAGUUUUUCUCUCUAUUCCUUUUUAUUUUUCUCCUUUGGCAAGCAUAAUGUGGUGAGGAAAGGUCUAGGCACAUAUAUCCAGUUGGAUAUGGGUUGCAUGAGUUAUCAUUGCUGACAUCACCCUUGAGGUGAAUACGUUGGGAGGCGAAACUCUAAGCCCCUAUCUUUCUACGUGUCUGGUUGAAACGUUUUACUCAUGUGUAUGCGGUGAGUGUUAGAAACCAUAGAAGACUAUGAUGGUUGAGUAUGUGGAGCUCUUACUUAGACUUUGUUGAAGACUUUGUUGAAUAAGUUGAAUUACAAUUGCUUGGUGACUGAGAAAAUAGGUUGUUGAGUUUCAAGAGAAUUCAUUGUUUGAACCUUAUCAUGUGAAUUGGUUGCUACUCUAUCAUGAUAAGUUUUACGAGAAACAAUUGCUUGUGCACGUUGCUAGCAUUCAAACUUCAUACAUUAUUUCUUUUAUCAUUUACCUACUCGAGAACGAGUAGGAAUUAAGCUUGGGGAUGUUGAUACGUCUACAACGUAUCUAUAAUUUAUGAAGUACUCAUGCUAUCAUAUCAUUAUUGGAUGUUUUACAAUCAUUUUAUAGCAACUUUAUAUAAUUUUUUGGGACUAAUCUAUUGACCCAGUGCCAAGUGUCAGUUGCUGUUUUUUGCUUGUUUUUUACAUCAAGGAAAUCAAUAUCAAACGGAGUCCAAACACCGCGAAACUUUUUGUGGAAUUUUUAUCGACCAGAAGACACCCAAUGGGCCAGAGCUGCACCUAGGGGUGCCCCGACAGGUGCACAACCCACCAGGGCGCGCCUGGGGGCCCACCUAAUGGCCCCCGGCCCCCCUAUUUGCACUACAAAUCACCAAAUAUUCCAAAAACCCUCGGGGUUAAUGUCACGCCCAAUAUGUGAUACUAUCCUAAAGAGACUCGAAGGUCCCACCAAGGAUAGAACCGCAUAUUGAAACGCUUUUGCAAGGUGGAUAUCAUUACAUCAACAUUACAUAAAUAGAUGGGGAUACAUACUAGAGGCAUACAAUGCCACAUGAAUACAACAAUACAUCAUCCAUAAGAUCAACAUCCGACUACGGAUGAAACACAAACAGAAGCUCAAACGACAUCCACCCUGCUAUCCCAGGCUGCCGACCUGGAACCUAUCCCCUGAUCCAAGAAGAUGCAGAAGAAGAACUCCAAAACAAGCAAACAUCACUCUCGCGUCAUGAUCAUCGCAUAACAUGUACCUACAACUGUUGUUGUAGUAGUCUGUGAGCCACGAGGACUCAGCAAUCCCAUUACCAUGGGUAUCAAGACUAGCAAAGCUUAAUGUGAAAGGAAGGGGUAAAGUGGUGAGCUUGCAGCAGCGACUAAGCAUGUAUGGUGGCUAACAUACGCAAAUAAGAGCGAAAAGAGAGCAAGCGAAAUGGUCGUGAAGCUAGCAAUGAUCAAGAAAUGAUCCUGAACUCCUACUUACGUCAAACAUAACCCAAAACUGUGUUCACUUCCUGGACUCCGCCGAAAAGAGACCAUCACGGCUACACACGCGGUUGAUGCGUUUUAAUUCGAAUCAGGUGUCAAGGUUAUCUACAACCGGACAUUAACAAAUUCCCGUCUGCCACAUAACUGCGGCACGGCUUUCGAAAGUUUAUACCCUGCAGGGGUGUCCCAACUUAGCCCAUGAUAAGCUCUCGCGAUCAACGAAGGAUAUACCUUCUCCCAGGAAGACCCGAUCAGACUCGGAAUCCCGGUUUACAAGACAUUUUGACAAUGGUAAAACAAGACCAGUAAGACCGCCCGAUGCGCCGACAAUCCCGAUAGAAGCUGCACAUAUCUCGUUCUCAGGGCAACACAGGAUGAACACUGCGUACAACUAAAACCAGACCUCAAGUUUCCCCGAGGUGGCGCUGCAAGUGGCUCUAGUUUGGACCAACACUCGAAGGAGCACUGGCCCGGGGGGGUUAAAUAAAGAUGACCCUCGGGCUCCGGAAACCCAAGGGAAAAAGGGCUAGGUGAGGAAAAUGGUAAAACCAAGGUUGGGCCCUGCUGGAGGAGUUUUAUUCAAAGCGAACUAUCAAGGGGGUCCCAUAAAUCACCCAACCGCGUAAGGAACGCAAAAUCCGGGAACAUAACACCGGUAUGACGGAAACUAGGCCGACAAGAGUGGAACAAAAAACCAGGCAUAAGGCCGAGUCUUCCACCCUUUACCAAGUAUAUAGAUGCAUUAAUUAAUAUAAGAGAUAUUGUGAUAUCCCAACAUAAUCCUGUCCACCAUGGAGCAAUCUUCAACUUCACCUGCAACUAACAACGCUAUAAGAGGGGCUGAGCAAAGCGGUAACAUAGCCAAGCAGUGGUUUGCUAGGAAGGGUGAAAAAGGUUAGAGGCUGACAUGGAAAUUUAGGAGGCUUGAAGAGCAAAAGAUAGGUAGCGCAGCAUAGCGAUAGAAUGAAGCAACUAGCAAAGCAAUGAUAGUAAUGAGAUCCAGGGUGAUGGUCAUCUUGCCUAGAAUCCCGCUAGGAAGAAGAACGAGUCCAUGAAGAAGAUGAAGCCAUGAAGACUUACCAAGCAUAGAUGAACGAAUCCUCACGAUCGUAACAAAACGGGAACUAUCGAGAAGAAGCACACAACAUAGUAAACACACCACACAUAGACAAGACAUGAUGCACAAUACGCAUGAUGCAUGACAAGGCUACAUGAAGCUACUCAUGGCAAGAGAUGAUGCAUACAAGAGCAACACAUCAAAGCAAGUUUAAAUGAGGCUGGGAACAACACAUAACAAUUCCGGUAAGUCCUCAUAUGCCAAUCUCGAAAUUGGUCCAGAUCUGAACAAACAUUAAUUUGAAGUUGUUAAACAGCAAGUUAAAGAGCACCAAGAGGAUCUACAUGAAAUUUUAGUCAAGUUACAUAUAAAGUUCAUUUAAUUCGGAGUUACGGCCUAGAAGAUAUGAGCAAAACAAGUCAAGCAUGGCAUUGAUGCAAAAUGCAUACAAACAUCAAGCAAACACCUCAAAACAAGGAUGCAACAUGAUAAUGUGAAACUACAUGCAAAAUCAAGCAAGUUUCACAUAGAGCACACUCAAAACGGAGGAACGAUUCAACACACACACUAAACAAGAUAUAACAACAGUCUGUCCAAAACAGCAACUAGGCAUAUUGUAAGCACCAAAAUAACAAGCUACAGCAUCUCAACGUAAUAACAAAAGGCAUGGGCAUAAAAUAUAGGUAAAGCAUGACAAAACGUGAACACUGAGCUAUCUCUAUAAAUCACUAGAACAUGCUCAAAAGGACAUGGCAAGAUUGCAAAUAAUAACAGUUUCAGGCUGUGCAGAAAUAACAUCAGGUUGCAAUGUCUAGAGCUAUCAAACAACAUGCUACAGGAACUCAUCAUGGCAAGCAAAGGCAUGGCAUGAUACUACUAAAUGCAUAGAACAAAAGUCCCUUACUGACCAUGAACCAAAAUGGCACAGAAAAUAUGAUGGCACCCAUGUAAACAUGGCAAAUGAUAUGACAGAUUCAUGCAUGGCAGGAACAACAAUAAGUGGGCAUGUUGGUGAGCUUGUACCACUCACCACAGAGCAAUGCCUGGCAUGCCAAGGUGACUAACAGUAAGAAUACAUGUUUGUGAAUCUAAGCAUGGCAAGAGCAAGUUCAUAGGGUGCAUGGAUCACUAACAACAAUCAUGGCAACAUUGAGCUUAGAGUUAACAGGCUAACAACAACAUUAUUUAGCAACUUUGGAGCAUGAUAACAACAAGCUACAACAGUCUAUAAAUGCAACCAGGGGCAUGGAUGAAUGGAUCAUGACGUGUAUAACAAAUCAUCCUUAGUGAACAUCUCCAGAUUAUGCAUAGAAUGACUUGUAGCAGCAGUUUUACAUAGCAUCACGAAAUAACAGAUUCAGCCUAGCAAAACAGUAACAGCAAGUACCCUACUUCAUGAGAUCGAUGCACUCAGUACAAGACUCACAAAAAUACAUGGAUGGCACCAAUGUGAAGACGGCAUGAUGUAGUUCAAAACACAUGUAGACAUCAAGCUCAUAGGAUGCACACAUCAAAUGCAACAAAAAUGACAAAUCAACAAGUUCUGUUAACAGACAGUAGUUAACAUCAUAUAGCACUCUUGCAACGAUGAUUAAAGCAUCAAGAUGGACUCAAACAAACAUGACAUAAUGGAAUCUCACAACGAACGAUUCGAUAUAUCACAAGCACAAAACGGAGCUACGGAUGCAAAGUUAUAAUGCGAUGAAUAGGGGCUAAAAAUAUGCAAUUAUUUCGGGACUUGGGGAAAUCGGGGUCUACCUUCGGUUAUCUCGGAUCUAGAUCCGGGGCGUGGGAACCGAGGCGGCGGCGCGAGCUGGCCGGAGUGGGAGAGGACGGUGGCCGGAGGGGUCGGAGAAGGGCGGAGGAGGCCGGGGGCGGCGCCGGAGCCCGGCGAGGCUGCGGGAGGAGGCCGGCGCCGGAGGAGCUGCGGUGGCGCGCGGGGUGCGGCCGGGUGGNNNNNNNNNNNNNNNNNNNNNNNNNNNNNNNNNNNNNNNNNNNNNNNNNNNNNNNNNNNNNNNNNNNNNNNNNNNNNNNNNNNNNNNNNNNNNNNNNNNNNNNNNNNNNNNNNNNNNNNNNNNNNNNNNNNNNNNNNNNNNNNNNNNNNNNNNNNNNNNNNNNNNNNNNNNNNNNNNNNNNNNNNNNNNNNNNNNNNNNNNNNNNNNNNNNNNNNNNNNNNNNNNNNNNNNNNNNNNNNNNNNNNNNNNNNNNNNNNNNNNNNNNNNNNNNNNNNNNNNNNNNNNNNNNNNNNNNNNNNNNNNNNNNNNNNNNNNNNNNNNNNNNNNNNNNNNNNNNNNNNNNNNNNNNNNNNNNNNNNNNNNNNNNNNNNNNNNNNNNNNNNNNNNNNNNNNNNNNNNNNNNNNNNNNNNNNNNNNNNNNNNNNNNNNNNNNNNNNNNNNNNNNNNNNNNNNNNNNNNNNNNNCACGGGCCGGGAGGGCCCCGCACGGGCCUGGCGGGCGCGGCGCGGGAGGCGGCGGCGCCCACGUGGCGGCUCGGGAGAGGCUGGGAGCGGCGGCGCGUGGACGGGCGGACAUGUCUGGCCAUCGCGUACGUGUUCGGCGGCGCCCAUGUGGCGGCUCGGGAGAGGCUGGGAGCGGCGGCGCGGGGAUGGGCGAACAUGUGCGGCCGUCGCGGACGUGUCCGGCGGAGCGGGGAGGAGCGGGGCUAGGGUUUGGAUCCGAAAUUUUGGAGGAGGGACUAUUUAUAGAUUCUGGGAGCUAGGAGAGUCCAAAUGAGGAGAAGUUUUCGGCCACGCGAUCGUGAUUGAACGGCGGAGAGCAUGGAGGGGGGUAGGAUGGGUUUUGGUCCACUUUGUAGGGGUGUUGGGCUGCAACACAAAGAGGGCUUUACGGUUCCCCGGUUAACCGUUGGAGUAUGAAACAACCUCCAAAUGGCACGAAACUUGACAGGCGGUCUUCCGGUGCUAUACCAAGGCCGCUUGGCAAACCUCGGGCCAUUCCAAGAAAGUUUAACACCCGCUCCUAAUGAGAGACAAAAAGGGCGACGCCGGAGGACAUAGGAGUGCCGGAUUGCAAAACGGACAACGGGGAAAAUGCUCGGGUGCAUGAGACGAACACGUAUGCAAUGCAAUGCACAUGAUCACAUGAUAGAAUGCAACAUGCAAGCAAAUGACAUGGCAACUACGGCAAAUAACUAGCAGACACCUGGCGCAUCAAAUCCGGGGCAUUACAACACUCCUCCACUAACAAGAGAUCUCGUCCCGAGAUCUUAGGACCGAGACAGAAGGGAAAAGGGAUGAGGUGAAACAAGAACUCAAGAGAAGAAGCAAGGAAUCGAGAGCACUCGAGAAGAAGAGGGGAACAACGAAAAUGACGAGAAUCGAAAACUCGCGGAAUCAGAUAGACUAUGAAACCACUCCGGUUAGAACGAGAUAAGAAACGAAUAAGAUUGAAAGGAUUUAGGCAGCACUCCGGCUAAAAAUGGGAGGAAUAGAACACGAGCUUGAGAGGAUGGAAUGAUACUUGUUGGGGAUAUAACUAUAUGAGUAAGCCGCCCAGGAGGGGCCGGGUUACACAAAGAAGACUUACCAGAGAGAAGGCCCAAGACCAACGCAUGAAGAUGGUGGUUCAUAGAGGGCUUAAGGCCCACAGGCGACUUAAGGCCUGUUGUAGUAAACCGCCAUAAUGACAUGACUUGUAUCAUAAGGUAGUUUUGACUAGUCACCAAGACGGACACUGUUAUGAGCCGGCCGGGACUCUGUAGGCCACAGGGCGUCAACCCGUGUAUAAACCCUCUCGUGUCCUUUGUCCCGAUUAACCCCUUCAAGCUUCCUAGUUGCGAUAGCUCCACAACUAAGUCCUUUCACGAGGACAUCUGACGUGACAAUUCCACGACAGUUGGCGCUCACCGUGGGGCCAGCGCACGGUGGAUUUGAGUUCUUGAAGGGCAACUUCAAAGGGCUCAAGGGAUACGUAGUGGGCCGGAUGACCAAGAGUCGUCGCGGCAAGAUCUACAUCAACAAUGAAGGCUAGGGCCCCGACGCCGGCUCAAUUGAGUACGGGUACUGGGUCCCCUUCGGAGGGAUCCAUGUCUUCAUCGGUCGGAUUGGCGAGGCGGGGCCUGAGCCGGACAACUGCACCGACCUCGUCGAGACAGCUCAGCAUGCGAAACCCUCCCGAGCUCAACCCGGCAUGAAGCAUGUCUUUGUGGGCUGCGUCCAGGAGAAGAGCUUUUUGAAAGUCCUUAAGAUGGUGGUGAGACGGACGUCCACUCUGACGGUGAUUCGUCCGCCGGUUCAACAGAUUCUCUGUAUCAAGUUCAAGAUGGUGUGCUCGGGGGCUGUUCCGAUGGCAUCAGUAUUCCGGACCCCUAUGAGUCACCGAAUUGGGCAGGAGUCUUCAUGGCUGGGAUUCAACCCGGUCAAAACUCUAUGGCCGCUACUGCAGUCACGUCCGGGAUAGGAGUGGCCCGGGCAGGAGGCCCUGUGCGCCUGCCGGCUCAAGUGCUGAUAGACCUCAUGGACAGGCUUACGACCCUGUUAACCGCCACGGUUAUCCCUGCGAACAAACAUGAGCAUGACGCGGAGGUGGCACGGGUACGUGAGGAGAUAACUCAGGCCAAGGAGGCCUUGGCAGCCGAGGAUACUAGACUAGCUACGGAGCGGGCGGCUCUCGACGCCCGGGCACAGUGUUUGCAGUCAGAGGCUUACCAGCUCACGAUGAGCUUAAAUGCGUCCAAUGAGGUAAUAAGGAGGAGACACCAGAAGACCCAAUCCCGGUUACCACCGAAUUACGACCCUCGGGUUCUUUUUGCUACACCCGGAGCCGGCCCAAGUAACCCGACAGAUGCCAAUCAGCUUAUGACAACCGGAGCAGGAGGACCGGCUCAGCAUCGAGAGAUGCCGCAUCCUCAUGUGAGCAUGGCGCCGCCGCGUUAUGUGCCGAUACCGCCGGGUCACUUUUCCAACCCCAUGGAGAACUUAAUCGCAGCAUCAGCGCGUCUGGCGGCUCUCCCAGUGGAUGGUGAUGAUCCAACAGCAGUGGACACCCGGAGAAUCAGGGAACUUGUCCAGACGGCCCUGGCUCAGCAAGGGACCUAUUCUUACAGCCGGGAUAGGAUUCAUUCAACUCCUCCGCCUUGGUUUGCACCGCCUCGUCAGAACCGGAGUCCGAGUUACAGCAGGCCCAUGGAGUCUGAAGCUUUGUCAAGCAACGCCCAGCGCCGCGACCAACAUGGUGGCUAUAACUCGGUGUAGCACCGAGCACGUCAAGAGAACGAGCGGGCGGCUCAGCUCGCGGCUCAACAGGCGGCACGUCAAAAUGUUACAGAGUAUCCAACAACUUCCAUUGAGAUGGGAGUAAUCACCAGAACCGGUGGUGUUCGUUGUUUGAUACCGGCUUUGCGUAACGUGCGCCUGCCCAAGGACUUCAAGGGACCUCGAAAGGUGCCGAAUUACACGGCCGAUUUACAACCUGGAGGCUGAAUUGAGAGCUAUGAGAUGGCCAUGGAGCUGUUGGAAGUCAGUGACGUGGCAAUGGCUAAAUACUUCACCAUGAUGUUAGAUGGAACGGCCCGGUCUUGGUUAAAGAGUUUACCACCCAAUUCCAUUGGUUCGUGGGAGGAGUUAAAAGCCCGUUUCAUCCAGAACUUUAAGGACACCUGUAAGCAGUCUAUGUCAAUCGUGGACUUGACGAAUUGUAAGCAGGGGCGGGCGAAUCCACUAACCAUUGGGUACGCCGGGUCAAGGAGAUAAUUCAUUCAUCUGAUAAGAUGGAUGCCAGCUCUGCAGUCCUCACGCUGGAGAAAAAUUGGAGCUUUGAACCGUUGAGGCAGAAACUAGGGCGCCUUAAGCGUGACUGCAGAGAUAUGGGCACACUGAUGGCGGCUUUAGUUAAAUAUGUCAAUUUUGAUAGUACCAAGGAUCCCGCGUCUGAUGAUGAGAAGACAGGGAAGGGAAAAGGAACGACAAUGGAAAGGGUCAACAACACAACCCGGGGAAUCAAAAGCGGCAAUAAGCAUAAGGCGGACGACAACCUGGAGCUUGUAGCCAACGCUAAUACACAGGGUAACAAUCAGAGACGUAAGGGUAAGUGGCCUCGAUCCACCGGGUCAGGCCCAUCUCUUGAGCAGCUACUCAAUGAUCCCUGCCCGAAACACGGCACCCGGGAGCACCCCGCUACACACCUGUGGAAGGACUGCGUGAUCAUGAAGGAGUUUAGAAAUUCCAAUACCUUUGAUGGUGGUCAUGGAUCGGGCGGCGGUUCAGUGGCUGGCGGCUUUCAUGUCCCGGGUGGUGGUUCAAAUUCCGGUUUCCAGGGACAGCUGGGUGGAAAUAAUCAGCAGCAAUCUGGUCAGGGAGGACAACAGCAGCAGCAGUCGGGUUAUCAGAGCCAUGCAAAACAGUUGAGUGGUGGGCAGUAUCAUGUGUUUACCACUAGCUUAUGCAAACGUGACCAGAAGGUUCUUAAUAGGGCCGUAAAUUUGGUUGAGCCGGCAAUUCCUCGUUAUUUGAGGUGGUCAGAGCAACCCAUCAUAUGGAGCAGAGAGGAUCACCCUCCACGAGUCGAUAAUCCGGGUCAGCUAGCCUUGGUGGUAGCACCCCAGGUUGGUGGAUAUAAAUUCACUAAGGUACUCAUGGAUGGAGGUAGCAGCAUCAAUAUCCUCUAUUAUGAUACUUUCCAGCGCAUGGGGUUGACUGAGAAGAAUCUGAGAACAUCCAAGACUAUUUUUCACGGGGUGGUUCCAGGCAUGUCGGCUUACCCAGUUGGCAAGAUUGAGUUGGAGGUGGCCUUUGGAUAUGAUUAUGAUCCCAGGGCUGAGAAAUUGACGUUUGAAGUGCUCAAAAUCAGGAGUCCAUAUCACGCUUUGUUUGGGCAACCGUCUUACGCUAAGUUCAUGGCACGAGCGUGUUACGUUUACUUAUAGCUCAAGAUGCCGGGUUACAAGGGUACCAUCACUGUGCAUGGGAAUCGGAAGGUAGCUUUGGAAUGUGAAGAAGGUGACGCGGCUUACGCUGAGACUGCAUGUGUUGCGGAAGAGCUUAAGUUUUACCAAGACAAUGUUGACCCGGCGGAUAUGACCUCCCUCAAGAAACCAACUACUGAGCAUGACCCGGCAUUGAAGUUUAAAUCGGCUGCUGAGACAAAGCUUGUUGACUUUACCCCAGGAGGCGCCUCUAAGCAGUUCAGUAUCAGUGCCAACUUGGAUCCUAAAUAGGAAAGCAGGCUCAUCGAGUUCAUCCGUGACAAUCAGGACAUCUUUGCAUGGAAACCUUCUGACAUGCCGGGUGUAUCGAGGGAACUCGCUGAGCACACUCUUAAUAUUGAUCCAAAGUAUAAGCCGGUCAGGCAGUUUCUCCGACGGUUCAACGAAGAGAGACAGAAAGCUAUUGGAGAAGAGGUUGCCCGGCUCUUAGCGGCUGGGUUUAUUGUUGAUGUUUUUCAUCCGGAGUGGUUGGCUAACCCGGUGUUGGUACUCAAGAAGAACGGCACUUGGCGGAUGUGCAUGGAUUACACGGACUUAAACAAGGCUUGUCCGGCUAAUCCCUUCGCUCUCCCCAGUAUUGAUUAAAUCAUUGAUGCUACAGCGGGUUGUGAAUGUUUGAGCUUCUUGGAUGCUUACUCUGGUUAUCAUCAGAUCAAGAUGGCAGUUAAGGACCAGGUGAGGGAGUCCUGGAUUAGGGGGUGUCCGGAUGGCCGGACUAUGACCUUUGGCCGAACUCCCGGACUAUGAAGAUACAAGAUUGAAGACUCUGUCCCGUGUCCGGAUGGGACUUUCCUUGGCGUGGAAGGCAAGCUUGGCGAUACGAUAUGAAGAUCUCCGCCUAUUGUAACCGACUCUGUGUAACCCUAGCCCUCACCGGUGUCUAUAUAAACCGGAGAGUUUUAGUCUGUAGGACGAACAACAAUCAUACCAUAGGCUAGCUUCUAGGGUUUAGCCUCUCUGAUCUCGUGGUAGAUCCACUCUUGUACUACCCAUAUCGUCAAUAUUAAUCAAGCAGGAGUAGGGUUUUACCUCCAUCGAGAGGGCCCGAUCCUAGGUAAAAGCAUUGUGUCCCUUGUUUCCUGUUACCAUCCGCCUAGAUGCACAGUUCGAGACCCCCUACCCGAGAUACGAUGGUUUUGACACCGACAUUGGUGCUUUCAUUGAGAGUUCCUCUGUGUCGUCGCCCAUAGGCCUGAUGGCUUCUUCGAUCAUCAACCACGACACGGUCCGGGGUGAGACCUUUCUCCCCGGACAGAUCUUCGUAUUUGGCGGCUUCGCACUGCGGGCCAACUCGCUUGGCCAUCUGGAGCAGAUCGAAAGCUAUGCCCCUGGCCAUCAGGUCACGUUCGGAAGUUUAAACUACACGGCCGACAUCCGCAGGGACUUGAUCUUCGACGGAUUCGAGCCACGGCCGAGCACGCCGCACCGUCACGAUGGGCAUGAUCUAACUCUGCCACCGGACAGUGCCCAAAGCAUCGCUCAGGUGCCCGCUCCGACCAUUAGCUCGGAGCCGACUGCGCUAGUUGGGGAUGGACGGUUGGACGCCACCCCAGGAGCCGCAAUCUCUACGGCGAUAGAGCCGAAUACCAGCCUAGUCCUUUGCAAGGCCCGUGAUUCCAAGGUGUCGGACUCCGUUCCGGACUACGAAUCCUCCGCACCCCUUCUGAUCGAACCUGAUUGGGCUCCCAUUAUGGAGUUCACCGCCGCGGACGUCUUUCAGCGCUCGCCUUUUGGCGACAUCCUGAAUUCACUAAAGUCUCUCUCUUUGUCAGGAGAGCCCUGGCCGGAUUACAGUCAGCAUGGUUGGGAUACGGACGACGAAGAAAUUCGAGGCCCACCCACCACCCACUUCGUAGCCACUGUCGACGAUUUAGCCGACAUGUUCGACUUUGACUCCAAAUACAUCGACGGUAUGGACGCCGAUGAAGGAGACGACCAAGAACCAGCACCUAUAGGGAACUAGAAAGCCACCUCGUCAUAUGACAUAUACAUGGUGGACACCCCCAAAGCAGGGGAUGGCGACGAGAAAACGGAGGAUGACCCCUCCAAGAAGCAACCCAAGCGCCGACGUCAGCGGCGCCGCUCUAAGUCCCGCCAAAGCAAAAACGGCGAUUCCGGCACCGGAGAUAACAACACGCCGGACAGUGCCGAAGAUAACCCCCUCCAGCAGGAUUCAGUGCAGGAGGACGAAGGAGCCAGCCCUCAUGAGAGGACGGCCAACAGAGAGGUUGAGGACGACAAUUAUAUGCCUCCCUCUGAAGACGAGGCAAGCCUCGACGACGACGAAUUCGUCGUGCCAGAGGAUCCCGUCAAACUAGAGCGUUUCAAACGCAGGCUUAUGGCCACGGCAAGCAGCCUCAAGAAAAAACAGCAGCAGCUUAGAGCUGACCAAGACUUGUUGUCGACAGAUGGACCGAAGUCCUGGCGGCCGAAGAGUAUAAACUCGAGCGCCCCUCCAAGAGCUACCCAAAGCGUAGGCUGCUACCCCAACUUGAGGAGGAAGCAACUAAACCUACAUCACCAGCGUACGAUGCGCCCGAUCGGCCACCCCGUGGCCGCGACAGAGAGGCCUUCAGGCCCUUGACCCAAGCCGCACCCAGGCACCGCUCAAAACAUACCAGAGUACGGGGAGACGCAACAGACCUGCGGGACAUAUUGGAGAACAAGGCAAGGGAAACAAGAUCGAUCUACGGAUCGCAUGGGCGCCCCACUCCACGUGACGCUGGCCGUCACGCCAGACAUGAUAAGUUCGGCCAGGCAGAAUACAACAGACCAAGCUCAUUCGAGCUCCUUCGUGAUAUAGCCCAGUACAGGGGCGCCGCACACCCACUAUGCUUCAUAGACGAAGUAAUGGAUCAUCAAAUCCCCGAGGGUUUUAAGCCCGUAAACAUCGAAUCAUACGAUGGCACAACUGAUCCCGCGGUAUGGAUCGAUGAUUAUCUCCUUCAUAUCCACAUGGCCCGUGGUGAUGAUCUACACGCCAUCAAAUACCUCCCGCUCAAGCUUAAAGGACCAGCUCGACAUUGUCUUAACAGCCUGCCAGCAGAGUCAAUUAGUUGCUGGGAGGCCCUGGAAUCCGCAGUCCUGGACAAUUUCCAGGGCACUUAUGUGCGGCCACCAGACGUCGAUGACCUAAGCCACAUAAUCCAGCAGCCAGAAGAAUCGGCCAGGCAAUUCUGGACACGGUUCCUAACCAAGAAAAAUCAAAUAGUCGAUUGUCCGGACGCCGAGGCCCUUGCAGCCUUCAGGCACAACAUCCGAGACGAAUGGCUUGCCCGGCACCUAGGACAGGAAAAGCCGAAAUCUAUGGCAGCCCUCACGACACUCAUUACCCGCUUUUGUGCGGGAGAAGACAGCUGGCUAGCUCGCAGCAAUAACAUAACCAAGAGCCCUGGGAAUUCGGAUACCAAGGACAACAAUGGCAGGUCACGUCGCAACAAGCACAAGCGCCGCAUUAACGGCGACAAUACUGAGGAUACGACAGUCAACGCCGGAUUCAGAGGCUCUAUACCCGGUCAGUGGAAGAAGCCAUUCAAAAGAAACCCUCCGGGCCCAUCCAACUUAGAUCGGAUACUCGACCGCUCGUGCCAGAUACACGACACCCCCGAACAACCAGCCAACCACACGAACAGGGAUUGUUGGGUGUUCAAGUAGGCAGGCAAGUUAAGUGCCGAAACCAGAGACAAGGGGCUGCGUAGCGAUGACGAGGAGGAGCCCCGGCCGCCGAACAACAGAGGACAGAAGGGAUUCCCCCCACAAGUGCGGACGGUGAACAUGAUAUACGCAACCCACAUCCCCAAAAGGGAGCGGAAGCAUGCUCUCAAGGACGUCUGUGCGUUGGAGCCAGUCGCCCCAAAGUUCAACCCAUGGUCCUCCUGCCCGAUCACCUUUGAUCGAAGGGACCACCCCACUAGCAUCCGUCACGGCGGAUUCUCCGCAUUGGUCCUAGACCCAAUCAUUGACGGAUUUCACCUCACCAUAGUCCUGAUGGACGGCGGCAGCAGCCUGAACCUGCUAUAUCAGGAUACAGUGCGAAAAAUGGGCAUAGGUCCCUCAAGGAUUAAACCCACAAAGACAACCUUUAAAGGCGUCAUACCAGGUGUAGUAGCCAGCUGUACAGGCUCGGUUACACUCGAAGUGGUCUUCAGAUCCUUGGAUAAUUUCCGAAGCGAAGAGUUAAUCUUCGACAUAGUCCCAUUCCGCAGUGGCUAUCACGCCCUGCUCGGACGAACCGCAUUUGCAAAAUUCAAUGCGGUGCCGCACUACGCAUAUCUCAAGCUCAAGAUGCCAGGACCUCGCGGAGUCAUCACGGUAAAUGGAAAUACCGAACACUCUCUCCGAACGGAGGAGCACACGGCUGCCCUGGCGGCGGAAGUACAAACUAGCCUCUCAAGGCAAUUCUCCAAUCCAGGCAUCAAACGUCCGGACAACGACAAGCGAGCCCGAAGUAACAUACAACAAAUCCGGCUGGCACGUUCCGAGCAAGCAUAGCAGUGUGGCCCCAACCCCAGCCAUCACCAGAUGGUGAUAUCGGUACCACGCGUACAUAACUACGCCUUAGAGAUACCAUGGGCAUAAGGGGAGGGGCACAACUAUGGCACACCCAGAAUGCGGCCCAACCGCACUAAGGGGCUCCCUAUUCCGCCGUUUCCUUUUUAUACACUUUCAGGACCCAACUAUUCGGAAGGCCUGUCCGGCAACACAAUCACCGAACAUAUGAUGCAACAGCCAGGGAGAGAACAAGCCGCGUCAAAUGUCCAGGUGGUCUCUAUAACGAGCUUAAUACCUGUUUUACUUAAAAUCUCGCAGCUUGCCCCUGGAGGGGGACAUGUCAAAUAAUCCCAUCUCUUGCUUAUCGCACUACUUGUAUCGUUCUGCUUUCGUAGCAGCCCUUUUUUAAUAAACAAUACAUAGCUCUUAUCUAUUAUUGUACUCAUCUAUUCUUUAUAUACAAAUAUGUUCAGUCAUGACAUUCUACAACCGUACACUUUGGUACGGCCAAUACACCAGGGGCUUAAGCACCCCAUAACAUGGUGUGAGAAGACCGAACACUCACCUGAGUGUGGCACUCCAAACUUAUAGCACUAUAUGCAUCGGCUCCAAAUCAUGUCUUUGGUCAAUAGUUGGGUUUGCCCGGCUCCCAUGUUUUGGUACCUUACGUUCCGCAAUGUUGGCUAAGGUAGCACUGGGAGAACUACUGCGAUUGUGCCCCAGUUGAGCUGGGUUAACACCUCAGUAGAGAAAGCUAAAACUGACCAUCAUGAUAGUGCGAGAGACCGGUCGCUGUUCGCGAGGUUUUUCGAGUCCUUAAAGACUUAUGCCGCUUAGAGCGAGGAACCGGACUUAUCCGGCCUAGGCGUGGAUAGCGCCCCGAACUCGGUCUUCGGAACACUAGGGGCUUCACCGAAAUUUAAAACUAUAGAAUUCUAUGGCCAAGUGAGAGUGAUAAAGCAUUAUAAGUCCAACGGCAUGGUUCGUUGUGCUGAGCGCCUCCCUAGAUGGACCCAAGAAUGGGAACAAGAGCGCUCAGGUUUAUCCCAAACACCCCAGCACUCGUGGCAUGGGGGUCGAGGCCGAUGACUUGCAUCUCUCAGAUUUGAUAAACGGCAGCACAGAAGGUAAUAUUUUAAAUUAACAAGCGUUGCUUAACUCAUAUGAACAAAGUUUUCAGUGUACAGGAUAAAAAAUGCGAUUCUACUCAAAAAUUACAUCUUUGGAGCAUUCGUCCGCUAUACGGCGAGCACCCUUCAGGACGCCCUUAUAAUACAUCUCGGGCGUGCGAUACUCCUUGCCCGACGGUGGCGCGUCCGUCAAAAGCUGCUUAGCGUCCAGCUUGCCCCAGUGCACUUUAGCACGGGCCAGGGCCCGACGGGCACCUUCGAUACAGACGGAGCGCUUGACGACCUCAAUCCACGGACACGCGUCCACCAGCCGCCGCACCAGACCGAAGUAGCUCCCAGGCAUGGCUUCUCUAGGCCACAGCCGAGCUAUGAGGGCCUUCAUGGCCUGUUCGGCCACCUUGUGGAGCUCGACCAGCUGCUUCAGCUGGUCGCUCAGGAGCACCGGAUGUUCGGCCUCAGCAUACUGAGACCAGAUCACCUUUUCCGUCGAGCUCCCCUCUUCGGCUCGGUAGUAUGCGGCAGCAUCAGACACACUACGGGGCAGGUCGGCGAACGGUCCUAGAGAGCUCCGGAUUCGGGUAAGUAGCAGAUAAUUUACUUUUAUAUUCUUGCUUUGCAUAAAGAAUGCCUUACCCGCCGCUAUCUUCUUCAUCGCCUCGAUCUCCUGGAGGGCCUUCUGGGCUUCGGCCUUAGCGGUCUUGGCACUCUCAAGAGCCAAGGCGAUCUCGGACUCUCGAGUCUUCGAGUCACGCUCCAAACCCUUGUGUUUUUCCACGAGAGCCUGGAGCUCUUGCCGCACCUCCGCCACCCGCGCCUCCUGCUUCUCUCGCUCGGUGCGCUGCAAGGCCGCACUGCUCUCGGCCUUGGACACCGCCUCUUUCAGGGUCGCCACCUCGACUGUGGCCCCUGCAACAUUUACGUUGGUCCUGUCAUUAUUUGCAACCAAGUAUUUCUAUAUACAUUUACAUGCGGUACUACGUACCCUCUUUCUCCUCGAGCUGCUUCUUGGCACGGCCAAGCUCGCUCUCGGACCGCUCGAGGCUUUCCUUCAAGGCAUUGACCUUCGCAGUCAGUGCGGUAGAGGUCAGCAGCACAGCCUGCAUUCCCAUAUUGACAUAUUUUUAUUAGACUCCUGCGUAUAUCGUUUUAGAUCCUCAGCUCGGCUUUUCUUUCCGAACACCGAACUGAGAAUCAGGGGCUACUGUCUAUGCGGUAACAUUUUUUAUAUGAUUUUUAACACAUACCCCAAAGCCUGUUAACAGGCUUGUAUAGGCUUCUGUCAGCCCGCUCUUGGCGGACUGAACCUUCUGAAUCACCGCACUCAUAACAGUGGGUACUCCUCGUUGAUGGAGGCGUCGUUAAGCAAUUCCAGCAAAUUGUCCGGCAUCUCCGGAUGGACGGAGGUCGCCGGCGCCGUAGGCUUGCCCUUCUUAUGAAGGCGCCGCCUGUCGGACUCUAGAACCAUUGAUAGUUCCGGAGCAGUGUCCGGCCCGGGGCCGGACUUGGAUCCCUCCAGGGCUUUAUCCCCUUUAGGCCUGGAGUCCGGGAGGUCGCCUUGCGGCGCCUCCAGGACCACAUCCUCCUGGUGUAGUCCCUUUCGGGACUCCACCUCGGCAUCGUCCGUAGGGAGAAGGGAGGAGGCCGUCGGGAGUGAAGCGCUAUUCACAUCCAACGAAUCCAAGGAGCCACUCGUCGAAUCGUCGAGCUGAGCCUUGGGCGGACUGCAUGAUCAAAUUCGGCGUCAGAAAAUGCCAAAUAAUGGAGAAGCGCCAUAAGUUAUUCGGACAUCCGGAUGCUUGCGAUUUUGCCAGGGGCUUGACCCUGGAUGGCCAUUCCUCCCCGCCAUCUUCGGCAUCGGAGGUGUAGUCCGGAAGAAGGGUUCUCCCCUUCUUGGACCCUCAGGCCUCCCCAGUUGGGGCGGCCUUUCUCUUCUUUCCUCCCCCCGUUGGAGGGGGAGAGGCUUCUUCUUCUUCUCCUUCCUCCUCCUCGUCUUCGGAGGCGGAGGGUGCGUCGGGGUUGUCGGCCGAUGAAUCCGACACCACCAAGCGCCGGGAGCUCUUUCGAGUCCCCGUGGCCUUGUUCUUGGCCUUCUUCUCCGGCACCACAUGAGGUGCCGGAACCAGCAGCUUCGUUAAGCGGGCAUCCGCUGGGUCUUCGGGCAAGGGAGCCAGACAGUCGAUUUGUCCGUCCUUCUUUUGCCAGUCCUGUUAGAAAGAUGGGAGUUUAGAUCCCGCAUAGAAUCAAAUCUAUGAAAAACGAAUACCCCGUAAAGGGAAAAUUAUGCUCACCACGCUGGCUUGGCGCUUGGCGCAUAAUCCGUGAUCCUCGGUGACGGAGGGGAGACCUCGGAGCUCUUGAAGAGCACCUUCCAGGCAUCCUCGUGCUUUGUGUCGAAGAGCCGAGACAGAGUCUGGUGCUGGGCUGGGUCGAACUCCCACAAGUUGAAAGCCCGUCGUUGACACGGGAGAAUCCGGCGGAAAAGCAUGACCUGGACUAUGGUGACAAGUUUAACCUUCCUACCGAUCAGAUAUUUGAUGCAGGUUUGAAGUCCGGUCACUUUCGCCGAAUUACCCCAUGACAGGCCCGUCUCUUUCCAAGAUGUGAGCAAUGUGGGGAUGCCAGAUCGGAAUUCGGGGGCCGCUGCCCAUUCUGAGUCACGCGGCUCGGUGAUAUAGAACCACCCCGAUUGCCACCCUUUGAUAGUCUCUACGAAGGUGCCCUCGAGCCAUGUAACAUUGGCUAUAUUGCCCACCAUGGCACCUCCGCACUCCGCUUGGCGGCCGCCCACGACCAUCGGCUUGACGCUGAAGAUCUUCAGCCAUAGGGCAAAAUGAGGCUGGAUGCGGAGGAAGGCCUCGCACAUGACGAUGAAUGCCGAGAGGUCGAGGAUAAAAUUCGGGGCCAGAUCGUGGAAGUCUAGGCCGUAGUACAACAUGAGCCCCCGGACAAAUGGGUGAAGAGGAAAACCCAGUUCGCGGAGGAAAUGAGGAAGAAAAACAACCCUCUCAUGGGGCCUCAUCUGGAAGCCGGUGCACGAUGUCGUCAGACAAGUAUCCAGCCUUCCUCAACUUUUUGAUUUGCCCCUCCGUGACGGAGGAGGCCAUCCAUCUACCUCCCACUCCGGACAUGAUUGGAGAAGGUUGAGGUGGAAAGUGUGGGCUUGGGCGUUGGAGCUCGAGCGCGCAGGGACGAAUAAGCAACGGAGGAAGAAGGCGUGAAUGGAAAGGGCGGAUGCUUAUCCCCUUAUAUGGGCGGCCGAAACUACGAGGCCCCACCGGCCUAAUAAAACUCGCUUAUCUCCCAAGCGCCAUGGUUAAUGGCGCGGUUGGUUUACCCACGCCCGUAUUGAUGAGAAUCCCGGAAUAAGGGGACAUGAUCUCUGCUUUGACAAGACGUGCCAAGGAAACCGCCUCGCUAAACGCACUGAGGUGGAAUAGUGAAAUGAAUGAAAGCCUGGCCGUGGCGUGAUGUCACGCUGCGGAAUACGUCAGCAGAUUAGAUUGGUGCAAAUAUUAUUCUCUCUACGGUGGCAUGUGGAACUUAUUUUGCAGAGCCGGACACUACCCUGGUGUUCAACAUCUUCUAUGGAAUAUUCUGAGGAGGAACCUGCCUUGCAAUGCCGAAGACAACUUGCGCGCCGGACUCGUCGUCAUUGAAGCCUGGUUCAGGGGCUACUGAGGGAGUCCUGGAUUAGGGGGUGUCCGGAUGGCCGGACUAAGACCUUUGACCGGACUCCCAGACUAUGAAGAUACAAGAUUGAAGACUCCGUCUCGUGUCCGGAUGGGACUUUCCUUGGUGUGGAAGGCAAGCUUGGUGAUACGAUAUGAAGAUUUGCUCCCAUUGUAACGACUCUGUGUAACCCUAGCCCUCUCCGGUGUCUAUAUAAACCAGAGAGUUUUAGUCCGUAGGACGAACAACAAUCAUACCAUAGGCUAGCUUCUAGGGUUUAGCCUCUCUGAUCUCGUGGUAGAUCCACUCUUGUACUACCCAUAUCGUCAAUAUUAAUCAAGCAGGAGUAGGGUUUCACCUCCAUCGAGAGGGCCCGCACCUGGGUAAAAACAUCGUGUCCCUUGUCUACUGUUACCAUCCGCCUAGACGCACAGUUCGGGACCCCCUACCCGAGAUCCGCCGGUUUUGAUACCGACACCAGGAGAAGACAGCUUUCAUCCGUUUGGGGCCUUCUGUUAUGUAUCUAUGCAGUUUGGACUCAAGAGUGCCCAGGCGACUUAUCAGUGAUGCGUGCAGAACUGUUUACAUGAUCAAAUUGGGCGUAAUGUUCAUGCUUAUGUAGAUGACAUCGUGGUGAAAUCCAGAGAAAAGGAAACCUUAAUAUCCGAUUUGAGAGAGACCUUUAACAAUCUCCGGGUUUACAAGAUGAUUCUUAACCCCGCCAAGUGUGUGUUUGGUGUACCGGCAGGCAAGCUCUUGGGUUUUCUGGUGUCAAACAGAGGCAUUGAAGCUAAUCGGGAGAAGAUCACGGCGAUUACCUCUCUGGCUAAGCCGGCGUGUAUCAAUGAUGUUCAGCGCCUGGCGGGUCGUGUUGCCGCUUUAAGCCGGUUCAUCAGCCGGUUAGGGGAGAAGGCCUUACCGCUAUAUCAGAUGAUGAAGAAAAUGGACACUUUCGUCAAGAGCGAUGCCGCCAAUACUGCCUUUGAAGAUUUAAAGAGAUAGUUGUCUGAGCCACCGGUUCUUGCGGCUCCCAUUGAUAGAGAGCCGCUAUUGUUAUAUGUGGCUGCUAACUCACGGGCCGUCAGUGUUGCCAUCGUGGUAGAGCGUAAAGAGGUAGGCAAGGAGCAUUCGGUUCAAAGGCUUGUUUACUACGUCAGUGAGGUGCUCAUUGUGUGUAAACAAAGGUAUCCGCAUUGGCAGAAGCUUGUUUAUGGUGUGUUGAUGGCAAACCGGAAGCUGAAGCAGUACUUCCAAAGUCACCCUAUAAUGAUGGUAAGUUCAGAUCCUUUGGGAGACAUCAUUCAGAACAGGGAGGCCAUAGGACGAAUCGCCCAGUGGGCUAUUGAGCUUGGGCCUUAUGGUUUAAAAUAUAUGCCCCGUACUGCCAUCAAAUCUCAGGCCUUGGUGGAAUUUAUCAAUGAUUGGACAGAGUUGCAGGCACCUGAGGAGAAGCCGGACAAUACAUAUUGGAUUAUUCACUUUGAUGGGUCCAGGCAGUUAGAACGAUCAUGGGCUGGAGUUGUUUUAACUUCCCCUCGAGGUGACAAAUUUCGUUAUGUGCUCCGGCUCAUGUUUCCUUAAUGCAGCUGAAUACGAGGCCUUGCUCCAUGGUCUCCGGAUGGCCAAGGAGAUGAAUUUAAGCCGGGUAAGGUGCUUGGGCGACUCAGACCUCGUGGCUCAACAGGUCUCAGGCACGUGGGAUUCUAAGGAUCCCCUUAUGGCGGCUUAUCAUCGUGAAGUAGAUGGUGUAGCUGGGUACUUCAAAAGAUAUCAGGUGGAGCACAUUGAUAGAAGGAAGAAUGACGCGGCUGAUGCGUUAAGCCGGUUGGGCUCUCAGCGUAAGCCGGUACCGCCUAACACCUUUCUUGAUGUUCUGCAUAAUCCUUAUGUCAAGGUACCUACAGAGGAAGAGCUUGCAGUGCCAGACCCGGAGGCACAGUUGGUGGCCGCACUUCACGUCAUCCCAGAUUGGACAUUACCAUAUUUGGCUUAUAUGACCCGGGGAGAGCUGCCUGAGGAUGAGACCUUGGAAAGACAAAUUGUGAGGCAGUCCAAAUCCAUGACAAUUGUUAAUGGUGAGUUACAUCACCUCAGUGUCACAGGGGCGUUCCAGCGUUGUGUGUCACCUGCGGAGGGUCAAGAGAUAGUUCGAGAGAUCCAUGAUGGAGAUUGUGGUCACCAUGCCGGCUCAAAGUCGCUGGUGGGCAAGGCCUUCCGUCAUGGUUUUUAUUGGCUGACGGCUCAUGCUGAUGCAGAGGACCUUGUUAGCAAAUGUGACGGAUGUCAAAAAUUCUCAAGACGAGCUCAUGUGCCGGCUCAAGAAUUGAGGAUGAUUCCAAUUACUUGACCAUUCGCAGUCUGGGGGCUUGACAUGGUGGGACCCUUCAAGAGGUCUAAGGACAAAAAGACACACCUCCUGGUGGCAGUGGAUAAAUUUACAAAGUGGAUUGAGGGAGAGCCGGUCAGUUAGUGUGAUGCGGCCACGGCAGUUCAGUUCAUCAAAAAGGUGAUCUUUCGUUUUGGUUUUCCACAUAGCAUCAUAACUGAUAAUGGCACUAAUCUUUCCAAGGGUGCAAUGGAAGAGUUCUGUCAACGAGAGCAUAUCCGGCUUGACGUUUCGGCUGUUGCUCAUCCUCAAUCCAAUGGCCAAGCAGAAAGAGCUAAUUAGGAAAUUUUAAGGGGUAUCAAACCACGGCACUUGGUCCCCUUACAGCGGACUCCGGGUUGUUGGGUGGAAGAAUUACCCUCUGUGCUGUGGAGCAUCAACACUACGCCUAAUAGAUCCACGGGUUAUACAGCUUUUUUCAUGGUUUAUGGAGCAGAUGCAGUUUUGCCAAGUGAUAUCCGGCACGAUUCACCUCGGGUGGCGGCUUACGUUGAGGCUGAUAAUGAAAAAGCUCGACAGGAGGCACUUGACUUGUUGGAUGAGGAGCGGGACUUGGCCAUAGCCCGCUCAGCGAUUUACCAGCAAGACCUUCGUCGCUAUCACAGCCGCCGGGUCAAAAGCAGAACAUUUUAGGAAGGCGACUUAGUGCUCCGGCUCAUCCAGGAUCAGUCUAAUAUGCACAAGCUAUCCCCUCCUUGGGAAGGAACCUUUGUGGUCAGCAAGAAUCUGAACAACGGUUCAUACUACCUCAUUGAUAUUCGGGAAUACAAAGACUCACGUAAGUCGGAGGAGGAGACCCGCCGGCCGUGGAAUAUCGCCCAUCUUCGGCCUUACUAUACUUGAGCCACCGGCUCUUAGGAUGUAUAUAUUUUUGAUGAUGUCCAUAUUAUAUAAAGCAAUAAAGCAGGACCUCUGUCCUUUUUUCCCAUAAAGAAUGUUUUUAUGUCUUCUUUAUCAGGGAAUGGACACUAUCAACAGGGAGCGGAUCAUAUCUGAAUCUGGCUUUCCCUUUGGACUGGCUUAUGAUCAUAUCUGAAUCUAGCCAUGAUCACUUGGGGGCUUCCUGUUCAAACAUAGGUCGUAUCCGAACCAAAGAGAACAUAGCUGUCGAUACCCGCUUGAUCGGCAUACUGCCAAACCCACUUGGGGGCUUCUUGAUCAUAUUUGAAUCAUAGCUUAACCCCUUUGGGUCUGACCUGGAUCGUAUAUGAAUCAACAUCAUUAAACAAAUCUCAUGGUCACUUGGGGGCUUUCUGUUCAAACAUAGGUCAUAUUUGAACCAAAGAGAACAUAGUUGUUGAUACCCACUUGAUCGACAUCGCCAAGCCACUGGGGGUUAUAUGAUCGUAUCCGAAUCUUAGCUUAACCCCUUUGGAAUGGUUUACUGAUCGUAUUCAAAUCAGAAGCCUGUAAAUUAUUUCGAAUAUCCUGAGAUCUUGGGAAAACAUUAUGAGAUGUUUUUUUCUUUUCCGGUUUAAUAUUGGUUACACCAGGUUGUUGAGUACCAGGCGAGCACUAAGUCAGCAGGAAAAGUUAUCAAAAGAUUGCAGGUAUGCUAUUAUGCUAAGUAAAGUAUAGUCAUAAAUCGGCCUAUGUAAGGUGCCUUGGGUUGUUUCCGGGUUACAAAUACUGUAUGUGACCCCCGGUGUGAUAAACCGCCAAGGGAGCUUUUUGUUCAUUUCAUGUGCAGGAUAAGACAAGCAAAUUUACCAUCAGGGAGACAAAUGAUCCACAUAAGCUAGAAAUAUAUAAACGGCUGCUUAUGAAAGUAUUAAGUGCCAUAAAACAUGCGCGGAGGCAUGACAAACAUUGCGAGGUUUUUCUUAUCCUAUUACAAGACUCCCUGAGUCUGAAUAAGUGAAGCAUUGUUUUUUGCAAGACACCGGCGAUUCACUCCUUUGGCGGGCUUGAAGUCUCCGGGUUAUCCUUCCCCGCUUCUCCGUCGACUGUUUUGUCAUGGAAAGUUGAUGAGGCCCAGUCAAUGCCGCUCAAAGCUUCAAACUCAGCUUCAUCAUCUAUUAAACCGGCUGGGUCCACUUCAGGGGCAAAAGUAUUCUUACGAACUGGAGGGAUCAGGCUGAUUUGAUCAUAUGGAGCGUUUGGAAUUCUCCGGUUUUCACUGUCAUAAGCCGGUGCAUACUUGCUAAGAUCAGUGUCGUUUCCAAUAAGGGUCGCCACGGACGUAUGGCUUUGACACAGGCGGUGAAGUCAUGGUUGUAAAAUGCAGUGUCGUCCUCCUUCAGACUUGGGUGUCCAAGGGCAAGGUCGGCCGGCUCUAGUUCUGGGAGCCAUGCUUUAGCCCGGCUCAAUGCGGCUAUGGCUCCGGCUCUUGAGGACGCCCACCUUAAGUCUUGGAUCUGCUGAGGAAGAAAAGCGAGGCUCUUCAAUACGUCUUGCAGAAGGCGGGGAUGUGGAGUUGAUAAAGUUACAACGGCCAAGGCACGUUGUGACCCGGAGUAUAGCUGUUCCACUAAGGUGCAAAUUGCUUUAAGCUUGAUCAGCAUGUUUUGCUUUAGGUUGAUACUCCUGGGGCCUGUAUGUGCACAAGUAUAACAGUUAGCCAGAAGUAAUUAUUACCAUAGUCAUUGUAAGGGAUGCUUCUGUUGUUUUAAGUCGGACAGCUCGGUUGUUGCUUCUGCAAGGGAUGCUUCUGCUGUUUCGGCCCGAGUCACCAGGGAAGCCUUUUCAUCAGCCCAAGUUUUCUUCUGCGACUCAAAAUUCUUCUUCAGUUUCUCAUUUUCAGAGACACUGAAUUCAAAUUUGGAGUUAGCCUUCUGUGUCUCAAGUUCUUGAGUUUCCAGAUGGCUCUUCAGGACAGCAACUUCCGAUUCAAACUGACUUAUGGCAGCCUGCAUGGACACCAGGUUAUGGUAAGGAUUUUAUUAAGGUAACAUUCAAGUCCCAAGCACUUCACAAGUAAAGAUACUUGGCACUUGGGGGCUAAUGUAUGCUGAAGAAUUUUAACCAUAUCCUACCGGGUCACACAUAUUAAGUCUCAAGCACUUUCCAAGUAAAGAUACUUGACACUUGGGGACUAAUGUAUAUUGCAAAAUUUACAAUUAUCAUGUUAUAACCGGGUUAAAUAUAGUCUUUUUGAACCAGUUCAAUUAAUAAGUAAAGCAGAUUUCUAAGUCUACAGCAUAUUUAUUCAUAAGCAAUAGACUUGGGGGUUGGUACAGUAUGUAAGACUCAGGUAAAAAGUAUAAAUUAUACUUCAGAUUUGUGAUGUAUUUGUUUUACCAUGUCAAUUUCUAGGUCACGGCUAUUAUGCACUUGAUUCAGAUAGCCUGAGACUAUAUCAUCAAUGCUCAAGUGAGUAUAAUCAGUAAUGUCCUGUUUGGCUUUCUAGCGUUCGGCAAGUUCUUCUUUGGCGAAACACUUGGCAAGUACGGUAGGCCGCCCUGGUUCAAUAAACUGAGACCUUACAAUCUCAACUUCCAUUCCGUUUGUCUUGACCGGGCUAUGAGUCUCCGGGUCAUUUGUGUUGAAAGUAUCUUCAGCAGGCGGAUCAGAAGUUGGCACUGGAAUAUCAGAAGCCGGAUCAGCCGGCUGCUGAUGGGCAGAGUUGUCUGGAGCAGAUGCAUUAAUCACUAGUUCAGUAAUAAUCGGGUCUUGGGACGGCUUAUUCUUCUUUGCCCUCUUGCUGGGUUUUACUUGCAUGUUGUUAACAAAGGUAGAAUGAUGAAUAUGCAAGCAUGGGUAAAGUAAAAUUUAAGGUACAUAAGGUUACAUUACCCGGGAGCAGUUUUGAAAGCCGACAUGUUUGACUGCAUGGAUUCACCAAGGAGAGGUAUCCUGGUAAUUGGAGUCAGACGAAUUGAGAGGAUGACGAAUUAAGCCCGCUAAAGGUAAAACAGAACGUAAAUCGGAGAUAACCUCAGUCCGACGCUUCCUAGUUACGUCAGGUAAGACGGAGGAAAGUUCCGCAUCCUUGUUGUUCCGGGUCUACCUCCGGUUCUCAAGCUGUUGUUGCUUCAAAAGAAAUUGAGGAUCUUGAUAAUCAAGAGCAUGUGAAAAUCUUACUUUCCGGGUCACCCUUCGGAUCUUUUGCUUUGGCAAAGGCUCUGAGUCGGAGGAGAUUAUAGUUACCUCUUCAUUGGCUGCUUGGCUGUUCCCCAUAUCCUCCUGAAGGGAUAGAAUGUCAGACAAGUAAUAACAAGGGAAUUAAGAAAAUUUAAAGAUUACCUCUUCAUCAUCCGAAGAACUAUCCUCCAGUCUGAGUAAGUCGGAGGCGCUAGGUCUCUUUUUCUUUGAGGUUCCCGUCUUGGCGGCUUUCCUUUCGGCUUUCUUGGUUGCCCUGGCUCGUUUUGCAGCUUCAUGGUUAUAUUUGACCUUUCAGAAGUUAUCAUCGGCCUGUGGGAAAAGAUAAGGAAUUAUGAGUACCAAAGAAGGUAAAACAUAGCAAAGAGCAUUUGUUAAGAUUGAUAACUUACUGCAGGGGCCGGGUUCUUCUUACAAAAGGGAAGUAAGCCGAAGGUGUUAUUCGUCACAGUGCCCUCCUUCAGCAAUGACUGGGUCGUAGCCUCCACCACAUCAUCUGGUAAGUCGUCAGGACUAUGGCGUAACGAGUCAUCUUUUUCGCCGGUAUAAGUACACAUUAAGCCGGAACGGCGGCUUAAUGGAAGUACUCGCCAAGUGACCCAGACAUGGACCAGAUCGACGCCGUUUAAGCCAUUUCCCAAGAGAGCUUUUAUCUUCUUGAUGGUAGGGUUGAGAGGCAGACGUUGAACGGACGUCAGUUUGUCUGGUAACGGAUGGUUGGAUUCAAGGCGCAGGGCGUGAAAGCCGGGUAGAGGCUUCUCAUCAGCCAGAGAAGUGUCUUGAUAGUAGAACCACGUUUGGUUCCAAGACUUUGGAUGACUCGGCAACUCAGCAUAAGGAAAAUGGCAAUCUCUCCGUCGCUGGAUUGAGAUGCCGCCAAGCUCAAGACUCGGCCCAUUGGCACGUUCAUUUUGCCGGUUCAUGUAGAAAGUUCCCUGAACAAUAGCAGACUUGGUUCUUCUCCGAGGUACACCUCGCAGAAGACUUGGAAAUUGCAAAUAUUUGACACAGAGUUGGGUCCCAUGUCUUGAGGUCUAAGAUCAAAGAAAUUCAAAACCUCCCUGAAGAAUUUUGAACCGGGAGGAGCAAAUCCCCGGCUCAUGUGAUCCAUAAAAACUAUCGCCUCCCCUUCUUUGGGAUGAAGCUUCUCUUCAGACGGGUCUGGGACACGAAAAGACAUGACCUCCUUUUUUGGCAGGUAGCCAGAUUUCACGAACUCGGCCAGUUUACUCUUGGUAACUAUGGAUGGGACCCAAUUGCAGGUUACAGGGGCCUUGGCCGCCUUAGGAGCCAUGACAAUAGUUGGCCUAUGAUAAAAUAAGAAGAUCCGGUUCAAUUUUAACCAGGGAGGAAAAUCCUAAUCAUUCAAAGUGGCGGCUUAAGGAGGGGCCUAAUGAUAUAACACUACUAGGGAAAAGCCUAUACAUAGAAUCUUAUCAGCAGCGCGCUUUAAAAUAAGGCGCUGCUGCUAAUUAGCAGUAGCGUGCUCAGGAGUAACUCGCUUCUGAAACAAAUAUAGCAGUAGCGCGCCCGCUCAAAGAUGCGCUACUUCUAUAAUUCCCACGAGGCCGCCACGAGGCUAGUUAUAGCAGCAACGCGUUAUAACGACGGGCGCUACUGCUAUGUAGCAUAGUAGCAGCGCAUUUAUCCAAUAAGCGCUACUGCUAAAUUUACUACAAAAAUUUAGCCCCAUCUCCUCUAUCCAAUCCACUCACACAGUCACACACUAGCUCACUGGAUCCCCUCUCAAUCCCCCACGUCGGUCCACCCCCGUCGCCCCUCCUCCGUUUGCGACGCCGUCACCUCCUCCUCCUUGCUGGACUCGGUACCGGCCUCCUCUCCGUCCUUCCUCUCCACUCGCCGCUGGCCGGCCCCUCCACGCUCCGCCUUCCUCCUCCGUCCUCCCUCCACUGGCCGCGCCGGCCGACCCCUCCUCGCUCCGCCUUCCUCCUCCAUCCUACUCUCUUCUCUCUCCUCGAGUCGCCCCUCCUUCUCCCUCCUGCCCGCUACAUUUUGAUUUAGUAGCUAGGCUAGUUCAUAUGCAACAUUUUGAUUUAGGUGAUAUGAUUUAGUUGAUUUAGUAGGCUAGUUGAUUUAGUUGACUUAGAACAUUUUGAUUUAGUUGAUUUAAGUGGCUAGUUCAUUUAGUUGAUUUAGUUGACUUAGAACAUUUUGAUUUAGUUGAUUUAGUAGGCUAGUUCAUUUAGUCUAUUUAGAACAUUUUGAUUUAGUUGAUUCAGUAGGCUAGUUGAUUUAGUUGAUUUAGAACAUUUUGAUUUAGUUGAUUUAGUAGGAUAGUUGAUUUAGUUGACUUCGAACAUUUUGAUUUAGUUGAUUUAGUAGGCUAGUUCAUAUGCAACAUUUUGAUUUAAUUGAUAUGAUUUAGUUGAUUUAGUAGGCUAGUUGAUUUACUUGACUUAGAACAUUUUUAUUUAGUUGAUUUAGUAGGCUAGUUGAUUUAGUUGAUUUAGAACAUUUUGAUUUAGUUGAUUUAGUAGGCUAGUUGAUUUAGUUGACUUAAAACAUUUUGAUUUAGUUGAUCGUUAAUCCUUUGCUCAUAUUGCUUUAGGAAAAAUGGCGCCACCACCACCACCACUAUGUCAAGAUGCGCCAGCAGCCUUGCAACUGGCCAGCUGUUCGGCAUCUACUUCCAACCGAGUUUUCGUCAUUCGGCGGUAAGAAAUUAGAUGAAAUGUAAUAACUAUUUUGUUUUUAGUGUUGGCAUUACUGCAUUGUGUCAUUUUGCUUAUUUUACAUAGAUCGUCCCAUGCAAUGUGAGGUUGAAAUUCAACAAGCUGACAGGAGACACUGUGACAUUUGAGGCUCCUGGGGGGCCGUACACUAUGGAGGUCGAGAAAGGACGCAAUAUGUCGCAGAUUGGAGGAGAUGGAUGGGCCCGUUUCGUCGCUCGCAUGCGUCUUACUGGUGGUGAGUUGAUCAGUUUCUCCUUCCGAGCAGAAAGACCCAAGCUAGCUGUCAUUUAUCUCAACAUGGUGGAAGAUGAUGAAGAUCACGAAGAUGAUGAAGAUGAUGAAGAUAAUGAGGACCCACUCGAUGAAGAUGAUGAGGACCCACUUCAUGAAGCCAUCGUAGCUCAAAGAACAAGGCUGAGUGAGGAGGAGGUGUCCAACCUGUGGGACAUAAUUCCGCCACAUGCUGACUUUGUCGGCGUGCCAUUCGUGACUCGCUUGACAAAUACCAUGGUUGAUCGACAUGAUAUGGUAUGUUAUACUUACAAAUGCAAAUUAUCCGAUGAAUUACAUAGUGUACAGUCCAAUGAUAUGGUAUGUUGUGUGGAAUCUAGUCGAUGAUAUGUUUUAGUGUAGAGUUUGAUCAAAUGCUUAUUAGUGUAGAAUCUAACGAAACUAUUAAUAGUGUAGAUAAUCCAUAUGUACUUAUUUGCGAGGCUAUUUAUUAAUUGAUAUGUUUUUCUUAUUCAGAAAUUGGCAAAGAGCAUACCUGUGAGUUAUGGUAUCGAGCCUGAUGAAGAAGGCUCGGCUGGACUACGCAUUACUGCAAGGGGCUCUGUCACAACCUGUACUUACCGCGUGGACACGGACGGUCGCACACACUUAAAGUCGGUUGGGUGGAAGAAAUUCCUCGAUGACAAGAAUCUUCGUGUUGGACAGGCCAUCCUAAUUACUAUCAGGAACACAAACCGCCCAGGCUUAAGGAUGAUGAUUGUCUUCGAUAUCAUCUAGAACUACAUAUGUGUGUGUGGCUAUAUCAUCUAGAACUACAUAUGUGUGUGUGGCUAUAUCAUCUAGAACUACAUAUGAUGAUCUUCGUCGAUAUCAUCUAGAACUACAUAUGAUGAUGGCCGUUGAUAUGACCUUUUACUGCUUGAGGAUGCAUGUUGACUAUGCAUGAAAUUGUUAUCUAGUACUCCCUUCGUUCCAAAUUAGUCGUCGUGGUUUGAACUAAAACCACGACGAGUAAUUUGGAACGAAGGGAGUACUACCUAGUAAUGGUUUAUGAAUUUGACAUCUACUAGAAGUACCUAGUAUCUAGUAUCUGAAAGGGAAACUGAAAGGGAAAGGGGUAAUGGGAAAAUGAUGAAAGAUAUAGCAGUAGCGAGGGAUGGCAAAAUCGUUACAGCUAGGUAAUAGUAGCGCGUUCUUAAAAAGCGUUGCUGAUAUCGUAAACAGUAGUAGCGCGGGUAAGGGCCGCGCUACUACUAUGAGUUAGCCGUAGCGCCUUAUUAGUAGCGCGGCCACCCGCGCUGCUGCUAGCCUCAAAACCCGCGCUACUACUAGGGUUUUCCCUAGUAGUGUAAGGAUGACUGUACAACAAUAUUUAAGCCGCUACCAGUAUCAAAUGCAGUUCAAAAUUCUUCAGGUCAUAAGGAGCAACUAAGGUUCUAUGUCAUUUAUUUAAACCAGACACCUCGACAGUAGUGUUUAAGAGCAUUUACCAGAAAGAAAUUUCCAGGUGAUAAAAACAAGUUUCACAGAUGACAGUUAUUAUUUUGGAUCAAAAUAUUGCUCUGAAAGGAAAUUUUUCUAGACCUAAAAACAGGGCAGAGAAGUUCUUACACUCGAAGAGGGUUUCCAAACAAGGGAAAUGAGAUCUAUUUCUAUGCAAGAUCAACACAAACAAGUACCGCAGCAGCUCUACAUAAUUUUUACGAUCUAAACAGGGCAUUGGAGGUAAGAACUAGUGAGGGUUUGUGUCGGGCGGCGAUGAACACCGACGAACUCGACAAAGUCCUAAUGCAGAUCUAAGAAAGGGAAGGAGAGGAACUCACGGAUGUGGAUGAGCUGCACAGGUUCGUCGUCGAUCUAUGGUUGGAGUCAGGUUGAUGCAGCGGUCCGAGUCAGUGAAGACGAGGGGUUCCACGGCAGUGGCGGUGGAGCUCGAGAGGAAGCAAGAGGAAGAAGACGACUGAGAGAAGGAAGAAUGAAAGACCUAGGUCGCCCUAUUUAUAAGGAAAUACUGGCUGAGAUGGCGCGAGAAAUGAGGAGACCAAAACAUCAUUAUCUAGCAGCCCUGACACCUCGAUUCUCAGGAUGGUCAGUAAAGGCAAAGAUUCAUGGAAGAUAUGACGGAGUCAAAAUAAAUUUUACUGAAGAUGACGUCACGAAGACUUAACCCGGAUCCAGAUGAUGACGUCACGUCGGGUUAAAAUCUUCAUGCAAGACAAAAGACUAAGGACAGUUCCAUGAGGUAUUUUAAGAUUGACAUGAACAUGUUCAAAUCAAUCUGGGGCCUAAUGUUGGGGAUAUAACUAUUUGAGUAAGCCGCCUAGGAGGGGCCGGGUUACACAAAGAAGACUUACCAGAGAGAAGGCCCAAGACCAACGCAUGAAGAUGGUGGUUCAUAGAGGGCUUAAGGCCCACAGGCAACUUAAGGCCCGGUCUAGUAAACCGCCAUAAUGACAUGACUUGUAUCAUAAGGUAGUUUUGACUAGUCACCGAGCCGGACACUGUUAUGAGCCGGUCGGGACUCUAUAGGCCACAGGGCGUCAACCCGUGUAUAUAAGGGGACGACCUGCUGGCGGCUUAGGGCAAGAAACAACUCAUCGAGAACCGGGCAUAGUGUAUCUCCAUCCCUGGUUAUCGAAACAUCAAUACCAACCCAACUAGACGUAGGCCUUACCUUCACCGUAAGGGGCCGACCUAGUAUAAACCCUCUCGUGUCCUUUGUCCCGAUUAACCCCUUCAAGCUUCAUAGUUGCGAUGGCUCCACAACUAAGUCCUUUCACGAGGACAUCUGACGUGACAAUUCCACGACAAUACUUGAUGAAGACAUGACACAAAACCUCCAGAAAGAAUUGAAAUAGUUGAAUGAAAAGAACUUAGAAGGAAGGAUUGAACGGAGUUGUUGAGAAAAUCAACAACGAAAGAAUAAGCUUGUAGUGGACUUAUGGAUAACCUCUCAGAAAUUAUGAGGUGGUAACUGGCCACAAAUGGAAAAGUUUGAAUAGCUGAGAAGAAUGAAGAAAUGCUAAACUCAACUUCAAAAGAAUACAGAGAUUUAACUGCACUUCGGGAUGCGAGAAGAAAAGAUACUUGAACUUCUCCAACAAAAAUCUUGAUGAACUCUUGAAGAAUGAAUUAAAUCAUGAAGAACCACCAUGAAGAACUCCGGUGACAAAAGAUGAUGAGAUUAAAGCUUGUGAUGAUUUAAAUGGAGGUUCCAGCGAAAUGGCCGAGGAAAUUUGUACUCGGGAAAAGAAAACACUUGGGACUAGAAUUUAUUCAACAAGACCAAACUCUGAAGGAAGGGAUUACUCACUUGGAUGAAAUAAGAAUAAGAUUUAUUGUAUGCUUAUCCUUCAUCAAAUUAAAUUGAUGACAAGCAAUGGAUUUUGCAUGCUACUUAUUCUUGUUGAAAAAGAUUAAAGGGGAAAAUAGCGUGAAAUUUGGGAAGGUCUUCAUGAACCACCGGUAGGAUUGGAAAGAAUGAAUUAAUAAAAUUGAUAAUCAAGGAAAAAGAAUCUUGAACGAACCACCGUAAGAAUUCGCAAAUGACUGAUGAAUGAGAAAGAAUCACCGGGAAGAAUUAGAAGAACAAAUAUGCUUAAGGGGAUUUAGAUGCAAAAGAAUGGAAAUAACUCGAACUGAUUAAAGAGCACUUGAACGAAGCGUCGGGAUAAAUAGAGAACGAUAACUAGAAUGUGAGGACAAAGAAUUCUUCGGGAACGAUGGCCUCCGGAGAAAAGAAACGGGAAAAACAACUUCUAACAUACUCUGGAAGAAUGAACGAGAAGAAGGGUUGAACCAAGGCAUGUGAAUUUGAAAACGAUCUUGGAGAAGGCAUGUGACUGAUGAAAUCCAUUCUUACGUCACACUUUGAAAAGAAUUGAGAAUAACCCCGGGGGAAUUAGAAGAGUCAGGUAAGAUCCUGGGAAAGGACCUGUGGGUUAUGGGCCCACUAAAAUAGAACACCGUUGGAAAGGGAUGUUGAACAGAUAGAUGAAGCACCGGAACAAUUGAAAUAUUUUAAUGAGGUGACAACCACGAAUUAAUUGACACACAGAUGAAUCUCUGAGAUGUCUUCCAAACUCCGGAAUGAUUGAAUGGCGAGAGGACAAUGAGCAAGGAGAAAACUUUAACCAAGGAAAAGAAUAUUAUCAACAAAAAAACUUGAAUUGAGUGCACCGGAAAAAUAAAGGGAGGAAGAAUGUCGAAUAAAAGAGAAUUCACCGGUUGAAGUGAUUGAGGGAAGGCUGAAGAGGCUCUGUACGAAUGAAAUUGAUGCUCNNNNNNNNNNNNNNNNNNNNNNNNNNNNNNNNNNNNNNNNNNNNNNNNNNNNNNNNNNNNNNNNNNNNNNNNNNNNNNNNNNNNNNNNNNNNNNNNNNNNNNNNNNNNNNNNNNNNNNNNNNNNNNNNNNNNNNNNNNNNNNNNNNNNNNNNNNNNNNNNNNNNNNNNNNNNNNNNNNNNNNNNNNNNNNNNNNNNNNNNNNNNNNNNNNNNNNNNNNNNNNNNNNNNNNNNNNNNNNNNNNNNNNNNNNNNNNNNNNNNNNNNNNNNNNNNNNNNNNNNNNNNNNNNNNNNNNNNNNNNNNNNNNNNNNNNNNNNNNNNNNNNNNNNNNNNNNNNNNNNNNNNNNNNNNNNNNNNNNNNNNNNNNNNNNNNNNNNNNNNNNNNNNNNNNNNNNNNNNNNNNNNNNNNNNNNNNNNNNNNNNNNNNNNNNNNNNNNNNNNNNNNNNNNNCAAGCUCCGGGAAGAAGAGGGUGGGAGGGCGGGAAAAACAAAAGCACCUUGGAAGGGGGAAAACCGAUGAAUAACUUCAAGAGGAAACACCGGUGAAAGAAAGCAAAGGCUUCGCACGAGUAGGAUGGAUACUCAAUUACGGACUCCGGCUCCGAGAUGAAAAAAGGGCGGGCGGGUGGGAAAAGAAAACAACUGAGGAUUGAACUUGGCAAAGAUGAAGAGGCUCGAAUCAACUUGACGAGAAAUGCACCGAAUGAAAAGAGCUGAGAGCCAACGAUCGGAAAACCAACUGCGUGAUCCUAAAGAAAAAUUGAAGGGGAAGAGGAGUAAUUCAGAACACCUACAUCAAGAUUCCUUACCAGAGCGACAAAGGGGAUGAGGAGUAAAAAGAAUUCCUACUCUCCGAUAUAACUAGACUCCGAAAAAGUUUUCUUCUAGACUCGACAUCGGCCAAACCACACGAUCAAUCAAGGGGGCUCCUAGGGUCGGUCGAGGCUCUGAUACCAACUUGUCACGUCCAAUAUGCGAUAUUAUCCUAAAGAAACUCGAAGGUCCCACCAAGGAUAGAACCGCAUAUUGAAACGCUCUUGCAAGGUGGAUAUCAUUACAUCAACAUUACAUAAAUAGAUGGGGAUACAUACAAGAGGCAUGCAAUGCCACACGAAUACAACAAUACAUCAUCCAUAAGAUCAACAUCCGACUACGGAUGAAACACAAACAGAAGCUCAAACGACAUCCACCCUGCUAUCCCAGGCUGCCGACCUGGAACCUAUCCCCUGAUCCAAGAAGACGCAGAAGAAGAACUCCAAAACAAGCAAAUAUCGCUCUCGCGUCAUGAUCAUCGCAUAACCUGUACCUGCAACUGUUGUUGUAGUAGUUUGUGAGCCACGAGGACUCAGCAAUCCCAUUACCAUGGGUAUCAAUACUAGCAAAGCUUAAUGGGAAAGGAAGGGGUAAAGUGGUGAGGUUGCAGCAGCGACUAAGCAUAUAUGGUGGCUAACAUACGCAAAUAAGAGCGAGAAGAGAGCAAGCGGAACGGUCGUGAAGCUAGCAAUGAUCAAGAAGUGAUCCUGAACUCCUACUUACGUCAAACAUAACCCAAAACCGUGUUCACUUCCCGGACUCCACCGAAAAGAGACCAUCACGGCUACACACGCGGUUGAUGCAUUUUAAUUCGAAUCAGGUGUCAAGGUUAUCUACAACCGGACAUUAACAAAUUCCCAUCUGCCACAUAACCACGGGCACGGCUUUCGAAAGUUUAUACCCUGCAGGGGUGUCCCAACUUAGCCCAUGAUAAGCUCUCGCGAUCAACGAAGGAUAUACCUUCUCCCAGGAAGACCCGAUCAGACUCGGAAUCCCGGUUUACAAGACAUUUCGACAAUGGUAAAACAAGACCAGCAAGACCGCCCGAUGCGCCGACAAUCCUGAUAGGAGCUGCACAUAUCUCGUUCUCAGGGCAACACCGGAUGAACAUUACGUACAACUAAAACCAGACCUCAAGUUUCCCCGAGGUGGCGCUGCAAGUGGCUCUAGUUUGGACCAACACUCAAAGGAGCACUGGCCCGGGGGGGUUAAAUAAAGAUGACCCUCGGGCUCCGAAAACCCAAGGGAAAAAGGGCUAGGUGAGGCAAAUGGUAAAACCAAUGUUGGGCCUUGCUGGAGGAGUUUUAUUCAAAGCGAACUAUCAAGGGGGUCCCAUAAAUCACCCAACCGCGUAAGGAAUGCAAAGUCCGGGAACAUAACACCGGUAUGACCGAAACUAGGGCGGCAAGACUGGAACAAAACACCAGGCAUAAGGCCGAGUCUUCCACCCUUUACCAAGUAUAUAGAUGCAUUAAUUAAUAUAAGAGAUAUUGUGAUAUCCCAACAUAAUCCUGUCCACCAUGGAGCAAUCUUCAACUUCACCUGCAACUAACAACGCUAUAAGAGGGGCUGAGCAAAGCGGUAACAUAGCCAAGCAAUAGUUUGCUAGGAAGGGUGAAAAAGUUUAGAGGCUGACAUGUCAAUUUAGGAGGCUUGAAGAGCAAAAGAUAGGUAGCGCAGCAUAGCGAUAGAACGAAGCAACUAGCAAAGCAAUGAUAGUAAUGAGAUCCAGGGUGACGGUCAUCUUGCCUGGAAUCCCGCUAGGAAGAAGAACGAGUCCAUGAAGAAGAUGAAGCCACGAAGACGAACCAAUCAUAGACGAACGAAUCCUCGUGAUCGUAACGAAACAGAAACUAUCGAGAAGAAGCACACAACAUAGUAAACACACCACACAUAGACAAGACAUGAUGCACAACAAGCAUGAUGCAUGACAUGGCUACAUGAAGCUACUCAUGGCAAGAGAUGAUGCAUACAAGAGCAACACAUCAAAGCAAGUUUAAAUGAGGCCGGGAACAACAUAUAACAAUUCCGGUAAGUCCUUAUAUGCAAAUUUCAAAAUUGGUCCAGAUCUGAACAAACAUUAAGUUGAAGUUGUUAAACAGCAAGUUAAAUAUCACCAAGAGGAUCUACACGAAAUUCUAGUCAAGUUACAUAUAAAGUUCAUUUAAUUCGGAGCUACGACCUUGAAGAUAUGAGCAAAACAAGUCAAGCAUGGCAUUGAUGCAAAAUGCAUACAAACAUCAACCAAACACCUCAAAACAAGGAUGCAACAUGAUAAUAUGAAACUACAUGCAAAAUCAAGCAAGUUUCAUAUAGAGCACACUCAAAACGGAGCAACGGUUCAACACACACACACUAAACAAGAUAUAACAACAGUCUGUCCAAAACAGCAACUAGGCAUAUUGCAAGCACCAAAACAACAAGCUACAGCAUCUCAACGUAAUAACAAAAGGCAUGGGCAUGAAGUACAGGUAAAGCAUGAUAAAACGUGAACACUGAGCUAUCUCCAGAAAUCACUAGAACAUGCUCAAAAGGACAUGGCAAGAUUGCAAAUAAUAACAGUUUCAGGCUUUGCAGAAAUAACAUCAGGUUGCAAUGUUUAGAUCUAUCAAACAACAUGCUACAGGAACUUAUCGUGGCAAACAAAGGCAUGGCAUGAUAGUAAUAAAUGCAUAGAACAAAAGUCCCUUACUGACCAUGAACCAAAAUGGCACAGAAAAUAUGAUGGCACCCAUGUAAACAUGGCAAAUGAUAUGACAAAUUCAUGCAUGGCAGGAACAACAAUAAGUAGGCAUGUUGGUGAGAUUGUACCACUCACCACAGAGCAACGCAUGGCAUGGCAAGGUGAAUAACAGUAAGAAUACAUGUUUGUGAAUCUAAGCAUGGCAAGAGCAAGUUCAUAGGGUGCAUGGAUCACUAACAACAAUAAUGGCAACAUUGAUCUUAGAGUUAACAGGCUGACAACAACAUUAUUAAGCAACUUUGGAGCAUGAUAACAACAAGCUACAGCAGUCUAUAAAUGCAACCAGGGGCAUGGAUGAAUGGAUCAUGACAUGUAUAACAAAUCAUCCUUAGUGAACAUCUCCAAAUUAUGCAUAGAAUGACCUGUAGUAGCAGGUUUACAUAGCAGCACGAAAUAACAGAUUCAGCCUAGCAAAACAGUAACAACAAGUACCCUACUUCAUGAGCUCAAUGCACUCAGUACAAGAAUUACAAAAAUACAUGGAUGGCACCACUGUGAAGAUGGCGUGAUGUAGUUCAAAACACAUGUAGACAUCAAGCUCAUAGGGUGCACACAUCAAAUGCAACAAAAAUGACAAAUCAACAAGUUCUGUUAAUAGACAACAGUUAACAUCAUAUAGCACUCUUGAAACGAUGAUUCAGGCAUCAAGAUGGACUCAAACAAACAUGACACAAUGGAACAAAAUGUAGAGCAUCUCACAGCGAACGAUUUGAUAUAUCACACGCACAAAACGGAGCUACAGAUGCAGAGUUAUAAUGUGAUGAACAGGGGCCAAAAAUAUGCAAUUAUUUUCGGACUUAGGGAAAUCGGGGUCUACCUUCGGUUACCUCAAAUCCAGAUCCGGGGUGUGGGAACCGAGGCGGUGGCGCGAGCUAGCCGAAGUGGGAGAGGACGGUGGCCGGAGGGGUUGGAGAGGGGCGGAGGAGGCCGAGGGCGGCGCCGGAGCCCAGCGAGGCUGCGGGAGGAGGCCGGCGCCGGAGAAGCUGCGGUGGCGCACGGGGCGCGGCCGGGCUGCGCGNNNNNNNNNNNNNNNNNNNNNNNNNNNNNNNNNNNNNNNNNNNNNNNNNNNNNNNNNNNNNNNNNNNNNNNNNNNNNNNNNNNNNNNNNNNNNNNNNNNNNNNNNNNNNNNNNNNNNNNNNNNNNNNNNNNNNNNNNNNNNNNNNNNNNNNNNNNNNNNNNNNNNNNNNNNNNNNNNNNNNNNNNNNNNNNNNNNNNNNNNNNNNNNNNNNNNNNNNNNNNNNNNNNNNNNNNNNNNNNNNNNNNNNNNNNNNNNNNNNNNNNNNNNNNNNNNNNNNNNNNNNNNNNNNNNNNNNNNNNNNNNNNNNNNNNNNNNNNNNNNNNNNNNNNNNNNNNNNNNNNNNNNNNNNNNNNNNNNNNNNNNNNNNNNNNNNNNNNNNNNNNNNNNNNNNNNNNNNNNNNNNNNNNNNNNNNNNNNNNNNNNNNNNNNNNNNNNNNNNNNNNNNNNNNNNNNNNNNNNNNNNNNNNNNNNNNNNGGGAGGGCCCGCGCGGGCCUGACGGGCCGGCGGCGCGGGAGGCGGCGGCGCCCAUGUGGCGGCUCGGGAGAGGCUGGGAGCGGCGGCGCGGGGACGGGCGGACAUGUCCGGCCGUCACGGACGUGUCCGGCGGCGCGGGGAGGAGCGGGGCUAGGGUUUGGACCCGAAAUUUCGGAGGAGGGACUAUUUAUAGAUUCUGGGAGCUAGGAGAGUCCAAAUGAGGAGCGGUUUUCGGCCACACGAUCGUGAUCAAACGGUGGAGAGCAUGGAGGGGGUUAGGAUGGGUUUUGGGCCACUUUGGAGGGGUGUUGGGAUGCAACACAAAGAGGGCUUUACGGUUCCCCGGUUAACCGUUGGAGUAUGAAACGACCUCCAAAUGGCACGAAACUUGACAGGCGGUCUUCCUGUGCUAUACCAAGGCCACUUGGCAAACAUCGGGCCAUUCCGAGAAAGUUUAACACCCGCUCCCAACGAGAGACAAAAAGGGGGACGCCAGAGGACAUAGGAGUGCCGGAUUGCAAAACGGACAACGGGGAAAAUGCUCGGGUGCAUGAGACGAACACGUAUGAAAUGCAAAACACAUGAUGACAUGAUAUAAUGCAACACGCAAGAAAAUGACAUGGCAACUACGGCAUUUAACUAGCAGACACCUUGCGCAUCGAAUCCGGGGCGUUACAGUUAACCUAGAUUAGAAGUUCUGCCACCGGAAGGCUCUGUAGCCACCGAAAACCAAUCUAGAACCCGUUCCGGCACCCUGCCGGAGGGGGAAUCAUCACCGGUGGCCAUCUUCAUCAUCCCGGCAGCCACCACGAUGAGGAGGGAGUAGUCCACCAUCGGGGAUGAGGAUUUCUAGUUUUCUACUAGUAUCUAUGUGUUUAAUCUAUCUCUCUCGUAUUCUUGAGAUGCAAAAUCUUGAUGUAUUGCGGGCUUUGUUACUAUAGUGGGAUCAUAUGUGUUUCCCCCCUCUAUGUUGUUGUGAUGAAUUGAGUUUUCCUUUGAGAUUUCGUUUUAUCGGAUUGAAUACUUUUAUGGAUUUGAGAACACUUGAUGUACGUCUUGCAUAUGAAUACUCGUGGUGACAAUGGGGUAUCGUAUUGAUUCACUUGAUAUAUGUUUUGGCACUCACUCGCUUAUUCCCGAGGUGACAUUGGGUAAUCUAUGCAUAGGGGUUGAUGCACGUUCUUGUCUUUGUUUCUCCGGUAGAAUCUUUGGGCACUCUUUGAAGUUCUUUGUGUUGGAUUGAGUAUUAUGAAUCUAAAAUUGUUUAAUGCAUAUCGUAUAAUUAACUCAUGGAUACUCGUGGUAACAUUGGAGUAUCUAGGUGACAUUAGAGUUGGGUGAUGUGUGUCAUAUGGUGUUAUUUUAGUAUGAACUCUUGAUUAGAUCGAUCAGGAAGAAUAGCUUGCUGUUAUUUUAGUACGAACUCUAAGAUAGAUUGAUCGGAAAGAAUAGCUUUGAGGUUGUUUCGUACCCUACAAACAAUUUCUUCUUAUGUUCUCCGCUAGAUAGGAACUUUGGAGUGAUUCUUCGUUGCACGUUGAGGGAUGGUUAUGUGAUCCAAUUAUAUUAGCAUUGCACUAGCGAAAGUACGGACCUGAUGCCUCGUUUUUAAGUAUUGUAAUACCGUUUUUGCACACUUUUGUUACUUGCUACCUUGUUGUUUUUUAUUGUUCCUGUUACAAAAACCAAUAUCUACUAUCAUUACUACACUUUUAUUACCAUCUGUUUGCCGAACUAAUGCACCUAUACAAUUUACCAUUAUAUUUGGUGUGUUGGGGACACAAGAGACUUUUUCUUAUUUGGUUGCAGGGUUGCUUGAGAGAGACUUUCUUCAUCCUACACCUCCCACAGAUUGAUAAACCCUAGGUCAUCUACUUAACGGAAAAAUUCGACUGUCCUACCAAACUCUACGUUGGAGGCCCAACACGAGUCUACAAGAAUAAUGUUGCGCAGUAGACAUCAUGGGCCCACAGGCCUGACCGGGCCCUUUUAGGCAUAUAAAGCUUCCACUUUUGCGCUGUAGAAGGCACGCCGUCGGCGUCGCCACCCCCAGUCCGAGCUGCUCCUCUUCCUCACCACGCAGAAGACAACGAAGCUACGCUGGGGACCGACCUGCUAAGACCCAUAUGGGGCCCGCAGGGCCCAGACUAAGCUUGUGACGCACCACCGGCCACCCCGCGCCACCACGCCACUCUGCCACCAAGGAGUAGCACCGCCACCACGUACGCCAUCGGCCACCCCGCUGGGUCACCAGACCGCUGCCUUGCCGAGCGACGCGUCCGCUGCCCCCUGCCCCGGGGUGGGAGGACGUGCGCGGGAAGAGGAGAUCUUGCCGCCUGCGAUAGUAAGGAAGAGGAGGAGGGAAGAGAGGCCGAGGGCGGAGGCAAGGGAGCUACCCCAGCGGCCUGUCCGAGAGGCAGCGCGAGGACAAAAAGAGGGAUGGGGAAGGAAGGGCGGGGGAAGGGGGGCCGGAUCCGAUCCGCAAGCCAGCGAGGGCCGCCGGAUCUAGCCGGAGACAGGCUAGGGAGGUGGCGACGGCAAGGGUUUCAUGGGGAGGGAGAGUCGCGAGAGCGCGAGCUCGUCUAUAUGGAUAGCCUCAAAACCUCCAUUCCACCUCCUUUCCCAGGUACUCCUCCACAAGGGUUGGAUAGACAGGAUUGAAAACAGAAUAUACUCUUUUCCACACAUUGGUUUGUUAGCAGAUCUGGUCUACAGAGACCUCUACCAAUCGCCAGAAAGCCCGCGGAGAGUCCUUUAGCUGAAAGGCUACACUAGUCGGCGGAAGAGCGAAUGCACAAUUAGCACUAGGGGUCGCCUGAGGUCAUCUCAUGCAGUGGGCGGCGGAGUGGCUCGCCAAGGUCACAUGUGGCGGAAUCAAUGGGGACACGUGGUACUAUCGAUGGGGUCAGGGCGGCAUUACCGAGAUUGUUGGUCGAUUCCCUGUGGUAGAACCGAAUGCGACACAGGGUACCGUCGAUGAUGUCGGUGCAUCACUCGGCAGGGGUAGUUGACCAAUCUAGCAUGGCAGCGUUGCUGCGCUCGCCGGAUCACUCUUGAUCGAGGAGGGUCGGGCUAAUGGAUACAUGCUGCUGGUGGGUUUUCUAUUUUGAUUAGGGUGACUUGUCCGUUACUGAUGGCAGAAGGGGAAGCGAACUGAGGAUGUACGCGGGAACCGGGCCUUUAAAGAAUUUUUUCUCUAGUAGGGUUGAUGUGGCAACUUGUGGCCGGCCUCUCCAGUAACUCGGUAACUGAACAAUAAUGUGGCAGGGCUGCUGAGGUGGAUAGAAUGCAUGUCAAGAGAAAUAACAUAGUGAAGAUGUACUAUUUAGGUAUUAUACAUUAGAGAUGACCAUGUGUCUGUCUGUCCACUCUGCUUUCUGGUUGGCACGCUCAACAUUUCUGCAUUCAUGGAUUGUUUCCUCAUCUUCUUAAUACGCCCUGAACUGAAUCCGGUAGAAAGAACCUACAGUGUAGUACUAUGCACACCCUAUUUACCGUCCAUUUUCCACCUGACCUGAUAGAGUUAGGCACCCGGCCCGUUCUGGAAUUUUUUUUAAACACAGUACAGAUGCAAGCAAAAAAAUGGAUUUCGCAUAUCACCUGGGGAUGGGAUCAUGGGUUGGCUUUGACGUGGCGCUCCCACCGGUUGUUGCUGACAGCAUCCUGCAGACAAAGGCAUCCUCUACAGGAUCGCCUUUCGUGACCAAGGCCGUUAUUCCUGCUCCCGGGAGGGCACCAUUGAGCUCAUCGGAUGGGACAAUGAAACCGUGCCCAAGCCCAAGAGUGCCACAUCCAACCAUGCCCAAGAGCUCUGCUCUGUUCUACCGAUGAAGAUGGCUAAACUAAAACUUUCUCUCUCUCAAAAAAAAAGAAUAAACUGAAACUGCACAAUCGUAAGACAUCCAAACAACCUCGGUGUCGGUGGCUGAUCAUAGUCUACUAGACACAAGGGGUGGGAAUCAACGACAAUAGAUGGAUCAAUGAAUGAUCUGCCUACCAUGCGUCAAUUUCGUUCUAUAUUACUUUUGCCAUAUUUCGGCAGAAUAUCCAACCAUCCUUGAAGAAUUCAGAUAGACUACCGCUUGAGUUGGACCGAUUCGUCUAGAGGGUCUUUGAUUUUUUUUUUCGGUGCAUAAUUGCAAUGUUAACUGCAUGACUGCAAGUCUACAAAACUACAACCCAAAAACUGGGUUGAAAUAUUCCUUUCACCUAUAACUAUCCGUUCCUUCAGUUCAUGAUUUCCCAGUGUAAACAUGCUACACUAAUACCUACAGGUUUUCCGUGACAUCAUUUGUGUACACAGCUAGUUGUUUUUCUGUGUAGAACUGGCAGGUGAUGGUUAGCUGUACUCUAUACCAUGUCCAAUGUGCUAGUACUCAAGUGAUAUGGUAUUUAAUACUAGAUUUGAGAUGAUAUCGCAUUUAAUGGCACACACUUAAGAAUAUCUUCUAAAUUUAUAUUUGCAUAGAUGGAAAGAUAACAUCCAUGAAAUGGAUACCUUCUUAUAGAUAGAACCAUAUUUUACAAAUUAAGUAUAGUGAGACGGCCAAAUCUUUGUGAUCUCAUUUUGAGCGAGAUGGGAGUAAAUAUUCUCUAGCCAUUAGUCUAUAAAUAAAGAUACAAUGAUUCUAGACGCCCAAACCGAGUCAGGAGUAAGAAGUUUGUGUCUUCUCUUAUGGAAGGGAAAGCUAUUCUUCUUUGCCUUAUGGUGCUUGUGCACCUAGGAAAUUCCAUUCAUAUUGGUCCCUAUAUAUGUUUCUGUAAUCCUAUCAACCAAAGUAGGAUAAUAUUGUCACUUAAACAUCAUGAAUAUUUUCAUAUUUUUCCCAACUUGGACUUCUUUUUAUGGUGUGGAUUUUUCUUUACAGAUAAAUGCAAGGAUCUAGUUCACCCGCAAAGAACAACAUGCAAGGAUCUAACUGCUUCUAUCGGCCGUGAGUGCAAUCUGUUAAAAUGCCAGGAGACCUGCAAAGUUUUGUUUCGAGCGGAACUCACAGCCUCAUGGUGUAUCAACCCCGUCCCAUACUCUUGGCAUUGUAGGUGCCGUAUCUGUCUGUUGGUAGAGAUGCACUGAACAAUCAUGUCGAAAAAAGGACAAAUGAUGUGAUCCAAUAAUAAAAUCUUCCUGUGACAUGCAUCUAAGAAUACAUAAUGAUUGCCAAAUUUAGGUGUUCUAUUCGAUUUUGUCAUGUGCGAUAUUGAUCUGGUAAUUUUAGGUUUGCAUGGCCUCGUGAU
rnacentral:lncRNA from 1 species